rnacentral:lncRNA from 1 species
UAUCUUUCUAGAUAUUCUUUAUGUGUGCCUUGGCCUUAUGCCAAUAGGAUAUGUAGUUUGACUAGAUCUAUGUAUUCUUAUCCUUACCAUAUUGGUAUUGUGUAAUUCCUUAUAUAAAGCCUCUUAUCAAUGAAUAAUACACACAUCUUUCACGAUUCUCUAUUCUGAAAUAUCUCUCACUUCAUUAUGUUAUCAUGCACAUUGUUCUAACCCUAGAGCCAAUAGGCCACAAUUUGUUUUCUAAACCCUAAAAACAAUUUUUUUUUCUUUUCAAACCAAAAGUUCCCGGCCCUGCCUCGGUCCCUACACUGUCGUUGCUCCCAACCCGUCGCUUCCCAGCCGUCAGCUCCGCCUUCUUUUCUGGUUUCGCCGAUCAAGCUUUAGAUCAAGAAAUCCGAGUAGUUUGAAGAAAUUUUACGGUAUGUUUUAAAUCCUAAACUCUUCAAAGUUCAAUAAGGGGAGAUAAAGUGUUUUCUCCCUUUCUCCAUCUCCAUUCUAUGGUUGGGAUUUUGUGCGUGCAGGUACCAAAACCCCAGAAUUUUAUUCGCGGGUCAAGAGUAUGUUUGAUCACUCUUGCUUCCUUGUUCGGGUUCUAUAUGAUCAACCUCGACCUUUCUCCGGAUUGUGUUUGAUCAAUCCGAGCCCUUUGUCGAAUUGUGUUUGAUCAAUUAGCGGCUUUUCCGUAUUAUGUAUGAUCAAUCCGAAGGACAAACCAUUAAAAGCAUUGUUUGUGACCUCUAUCGAGUCUCAUAACAGCUUGGUUUUGUAUGCAAGAGCAACGUAACAUUCUGCUCCUUUAAGUUUUGACGUACUCGAUACCUAAGGCGAAUCUUUGCUUGGUAGCUGUGGAACCUUUCAUUGGAAAAGAUUAAACCACAUGUUUGACCCCCAGGCUAACAAGCCUAGAUGCCGAGAUUUCACAUCUCAUGCGCUCAAACUCUUUGACACGCCACAUCGACAAAAGCCUUCAAUGGCAAUCUGUACAAAAAGUAAUGACCACAAAGUACUGUGGAAUUGACACGACCCACCUCGAAUUUCACCCUGAAACCCGGAGUAAGUGGUGCGGGGACCACCUCCAAGAAAGAUAUUACCGAAAAAUCGGCAUAACCUCCCUUGAAAAUGGACAACCCUUCUUAAAGAAAACCUGCAAACACUUCCAAAAAUUUUAAUCCAACCUUAACUCCUGGAGCCUACGUGCUCCCCAAAUACAACUACCACCAACAACACAACAUUAUCCAAACAUCAAAUAUAAUUAUCCAAAAGAUAACAUAAAUCCUCCAACAAAUAUUCUAAGACGUCAACAAGUCUUCACCCACAACCGAAAUAAUACACAUUAAACCCAAGUAUUCAGAGCUACUAACACUAGCGGAAAAAGAAACCACAGGUAGGUUAAAUAGGUAACCUACUGAUGAAAAGUGGUGGAAAUGCGGGUGACUAUGCCUCGUCUCCUACUAGGUCCAACCCGAACUCUGCAGACUGGGCAUUUUAAAACGAAGGGCCUAGGGGAAACAUUUGAACACGUUAGAGUGAGUGGACAAAAAUAAAAUAAAUGAAAUAAUUCUUUAUGCUUUCCCAAUUUUAUUUUUCCAUAGAAAAAUAUGCUGCAUGCGACAGCUCAAAACACUCAACACGAAAACUGGAAAUUUCAUGACUAGCUCCGGCCAGUCUCUAACGCUCAAUAAAAUACAGCCUCUCAGGCUAAAAUAAAAUAUGUAUGUAUUACACUCGUCAUAUCCCUUGUAUGAAUUUUCUUGAAACAACAAAAACAAAUAGAAAAUUCACACAAGGCUACGACGCUUGCGUCUAACGCUCACGUCGCACCAUAAUGGCAUUUUACCUCAUUAUGGUGGAAAGACGGUGUAUAAAUAUACGCGCAUAUCCCCUAUAUAAAUUAUUAUUUUUAUAUAGGGCUACGAUGAUUGCGUCUAACGCUCACGUCGCACCAAAAUGGAAUUUUACCUCAGUAUGGUGGAAAAGCACGUAUAGCUAGCUAGCAUUCUCUCAUAUACAUAUUAUUCUCAUAAUCAUCCACAUAUGGAUAUAUAUAUAUAUAUAUACUCACCGAAAUUUUCAAUUUCGGUUAUUCUCCAACAACAUAAAUUAUUUCGCAUGCACAUUAUUUAAAACAAAAGUCCACUCACAAAUUAGGCCUAAGCCUGAUGUCGAUCUGGGGCCUCGUCAGCUCGAGCCUCCUCACGACCUGUUCCAAAUAUAAUAUUAAGUUCCCAAUUAACAAUCCAAUAAUUAAUCAAAAUAGGCAAAAUUACCCGAGAGCCAUAAACACGCUCAUCAUUACCUAACUUCGAUAUUCUUGAAUCGGAACGAUCCGAACUUAAAUAUCAUCCUCGACAGUCGUAAAUAUAACCUCCCAAAAAUACGACUUAAAUCUUACGGCCGGAUUCUACAUUAAUUAACCGCCAAAAAUACCAAACUUCGGAAAUUCACAAACCUAUCCAAAUCUCAUCCAAAAAUUCCAUAAAUCACCUCAAUAUAAUCCCCUUAAUAUUCCACAUUUAAAACCCUAAAAAUCUCCCAAACCGGCAGCGGCUCCGCAGGCAGCGGCGGUCGGAGGCUAAAAUCAGCGACCUCCAAUUCCUAUGAAAUUUUAACAGCAUCUUACUCUCAUCAUGCUCUACAACUUUCCUAACUAGCACAAACCCAAAAUCCAAGCCUAGCUAUGCCAAUCGAACAAAAACAUCAAAAACGCCCUAGAGCUUCCACCUCAAAUUUCUCCUUACCUGAAGCAAACCGGAGUGAGUCCUUUUAGGGCAAGGCAGCUGGGUUGGAGACCUACAAAACCAUACCAAGCUUGCCCGGAUUGGUGGCCCGAGGAGGGAAUUCCGGCGAAAAGCUUCCCGGCGUCUCCGGCGAGUUUUCUCUUCUUCCAGCGGGCUAACGGCUCGGGGGCUAGGUCGGGGAGGGAGAGGAGGAGAUCGGGGUCCGAACUGGGGUGGAGCGGCGGCCGGUGGCUGGCCGGACGGCGGCAGACGGCGGCUGGACGAUCCGGCGGGGAGGAAGACUCGGGGGGGGGGCGCUGAAGGGAAAAACGGGAGAGAAGGGAGGGAAAAGGGUUGGGCCUCUCCAACCGGUCCACUCCCCAUUAUACCCAACUCCCACAAAAAUAAAACACCCCGAAAAAUAAUACCCGAAUAAAAAUUACCUUUUACUAGCUAAAAUUUACUAUUUUUACCGUCGUCGUAUUUUCCUCAUACGAAUAAUCCUCCGCACAUAAUCGUCCCCGAAACCCCUCUAGGGACCAAUUAAACUAUUAACUAAAUGAUCGAGACGGUAAAAUUCUUAUUAUAAUCAUGCUAGUAAAUAAGGUAAAAAUAUAAGGGUCGGGAUGUGACAGGAAUGUACUCUACUUGUUGACACGACCCACCCCGAAUUUCACCCUGAAACCCGGAGUAAGUCGUGCGGGGACCACCUCUAAGGAAAAUUUACUGAAAAGAUUAAGAAAAUCUCCCUUGCAGAUGGACAACCCUAACUCGAAAAUUCCAAAUUACACUCUUAAUUCAACACGUCCAAACAUCACAUAAUUAUCCUUCAGAAAUUCUACGCAUAAUAUACAAUAAUCCCAAAGUAUUCAGAGCUACUAAACACUAGCGGAAGCAAGAAAACACGAGUAGGUUGAACAGGUAACCUACUGACGAAAACUGGCAGAAAUGCGGGUGACUAUGCCUCGCCUCCUACUAGAUCCAACCCGAACUCUGCAGACUGGGCAAUUUAAAACGAAGGGCCCAGGGGAAAACAUUUAAUAACGUUAGAGUGAGUGGACAAAAAUAAAAUAAUAAAUAAAAUAUUUAUGUUUCCCCAAAUUAAUUUCUAAGGAAAAAUCGAAUGCAUGCCGCAAGCGAUAAAACUUUUAUCUCAUAAAAUAUUGAGCCUCUCAGACUCUAUAAUAUAUGUAUGUAUUUACACUCGUCCAUACUCCCUAUAUAAAUUCAUGGGUCUAUAUAGGGCUACUACGCUCGCGUCCAACGCUCACGUCACGCCUUAAUGCGGUGCUACACUACGCCAUCAAGGUGGACAGACGGGUGUAUAAAUAUGUGUCCAUACCCCUAUAUGAAUUAAACACACAAAUAGGGCUACUACGCUCACGUCCAACGCUCACGUCACACCAUAAUGCGGCUAUAUGCUACGCCAUUAAGGUGGACAGACACAUAUGGCUAGCUAACAUUUAUAUACAUACUCUCUCAUAAAUACAUAUUUAUAUCCACCGAAAAUCCCAUUUUCGGUAACUCUCCAAGAGAAAUAAAAAUCGUCAAAUUAAAAUGACAUUAAAAUAUUCUGCAACAUUAAUUGUUCAACCAUGAACUAUAGCAUGCAUUUAUAUAAAAUAAAUGUCCACUCACAAAUUAGGCCUAAGCCUGAUGUCGAUCUGGGGCCUCGUCUGCUCGAGCCUCCUCACGUCCUGUUCCAAAUAUAAUAUUAAUUUCCCAACCAAUAAUCCAAUAUUUAAUCAAAAUAGGCAAAAUUACCCGAGAGCCAUAAAUACGCUCAUCAUUGCCUAACUUCAAUAUUCUUAAAUCGGAACGAUCCGAACUUAAAUAUCAUCCUCAACAGUCGUAAAUACAACCUCCCCAAAAUACGACUUAAAUCCUACGGCCGGAUUUUACAUUAAUUAACCGCCAAAAAUACUAAACUUCGGAAAUUCACAAACCUAUCCAAAUCUCCUCCAAAAAUUCCAUAAAUCACAUCAAUAUACUCCUCUUAAUAUUCCACACUUAAUACCCUAAAAAUCUCUUAACCGGCGGCGGCGCCGCCGGCGGCUCCGCCGGCAGCGGCGGCCGGAGUCCAAUUCCGGCCACCUCCAAAACCUAUGAAAUUUUGACAGAAUAAUCUCCUCAUCAUGCUCUACAACUUUCUUAACCAGUACAUUACCCAAUUCCAAGCCUAACUAGGCUAAUCGAACGAAAACAUCCUAAAAGCCCUAGAAAAUUCAACUCCACAUUUCUCCUUACCUAGCUCAAGAGGGAGUGAGCUGAUUGGAGGGGUUGCUGCACGGGAGGAGGGCUACAAAACGAGCCAGGGAUCGCCGGUUUUGGUGGCCAGAGGAGGGAGUUCCGACGGCCGGAAGUUCGGGGCAGCCUAGCCUUUCGGGCGGCACCGCUCUCUCACGGCGGCGCUAGGGGGGCUGUCACCGGUCCUGGAAGAUAGCUGGGUCGGAGGGCAACCGAACGGGACCGGAGCGGCGGCAGAUGGUGGCCGGACGGCGGCGUACGGACGGCGAGAAGUUUCCAGCGGGGGAGAGGCUCGGGAGGAAAACGGGAAGAAGAGAGGAAGAAAAAGAAAAAGUGAGGGUUGGGUUUGGGCCUGACCAACCAGGUCCAUCACCUAUAUAACAACCCAAUUCCAAAAAUAAAACACCCCGAAAAAUAACACCCGAAUAAAAAUUACCUUUUACUAGCUAAAAUUUACCAUUUUUACCGUCGUCGAAAUUUUCUUUUACGAAUAAUCCUCCGCACAUAAUCGUCCCCGAAACCCUUCUAGGGACCAAUUAAAUUAUUAACUCAAUGACGGAGACGGUAAAAUUCUUAUUAUAAUCAGGCUAGUAAAUAAGGUAAAAAUAUAAGGGUCGGGAUGUGACAAUUCUCCCCUCCUUAUAAAAAUUUCGUCCUCGAAAUUUACAUACCUGUCAUUCGAAGAGAUAGGGAUAUUGCUGCAUCAUUUGCUCCUCCGAUUCCAAAGUAGCUUCUUUUACUUGAUGACUUCUCCAAAGCACCUUGACAAGUGGGAUUGUCUUAUUCCUAAGCACUUGCUCCUUUCGGUCGAGAAUCUGAACCGGUUCCUCUUCAUAGGUCAAAUCUCUCAUCAAACUGAUCGGCUGCUCUUGCAGCACAUGAGAAGGAUCGGCAAUAUACUUGCAAAGCAUGGAUACAUGAAACACAUUAUGUAUCCUAGCUAACUCUGGAGGCAAAAGUAGCCGGUAAGCAAGUGAGCCAACUCGCUCAAUAAUCUCAUAAGGGCCAAUAUACCUCGGACUGAGCUUCCCACGCUUACCGAAACGCACAACCCCUUUCCAAGGAGAUAAUUUCAGGAACACCUAAUCACCCACUUGAAAUUCAAGAUCUCUCCUACGGACAUCCGCAUAACUCUUCUGCCUACUUUGAGCAGUCUUGAGUCUAUCUCUAACCACUUUAAUCUUCUCAUUCGUACAUNNNNNNNNNNNNNNNNNNNNNNNNNNNNNNNNNNNNNNNNNNNNNNNNNNNNNNNNNNNNNNNNNNNNNNNNNNNNNNNNNNNNNNNNNNNNNNNNNNNNNNNNNNNNNNNNNNNNNNNNNNNNNNNNNNNNNNNNNNNNNNNNNNNNNNNNNNNNNNNNNNNNNNNNNNNNNNNNNNNNNNNNNNNNNNNNNNNNNNNNNNNNNNNNNNNNNNNNNNNNNNNNNNNNNNNNNNNNNNNNNNNNNNNNNNNNNNNNNNNNNNNNNNNNNNNNNNNNNNNNNNNNNNNNNNNNNNNNNNNNNNNNNNNNNNNNNNNNNNNNNNNNNNNNNNNNNNNNNNNNNNNNNNNNNNNNNNNNNNNNNNNNNNNNNNNNNNNNNNNNNNNNNNNNNNNNNNNNNNNNNNNNNNNNNNNNNNNNNNNNNNNNNNNNNNNNNNNNNNNNNNNNNNNNNNNNNNNNNNNNNNNNNNNNNNNNNNNNNNNNNNNNNNNNNNNNNNNNNNNNNNNNNNNNNNNNNNNNNNNNNNNNNNNNNNNNNNNNNNNNNNNNNNNNNNNNNNNNNNNNNNNNNNNNNNNNNNNNNNNNNNNNNNNNNNNNNNNNNNNNNNNNNNNNNNNNNNNNNNNNNNNNNNNNNNNNNNNNNNNNNNNNNNNNNNNNNNNNNNNNNNNNNNNNNNNNNNNNNNNNNNNNNNNNNNNNNNNNNNNNNNNNUUUUAUCCCAACUCCCUCUGAACUGCAUGGCACAAGCCCUCAACAUAUCCUCCAAAGUCUGAAUAGUCCUCUCGGACUGCCCAUCAGUCUGAGGAUGAAAAGCAGUGCUGAAGAGUAAUUGGGUACCUAAAGCUGCCUGAAGAGCUCCCCAGAAUUUAGAAGCAAAUCGAGGAUCCCGAUCUGACACUAUUGAUUCAGGAACACCAUGAAGCCUCACAAUUUCAUUCACAUAAAGCUCCGCCAAUGUAUCCAAUUUAUACUUUUUCCCACUGGCAAGAAAUGUGCAGAUUUGGUGAGUCUAUCCACAAUCACCCAAAUACCGUCAUGCCCUUCACGGGUAUGAGGUAAACUAAAAACAAAAUCCAUGUUGAUGUGGUCCCACUUCCACACUGGAAUAGGCAACGGCUCAAGCAACCCAGAAGGCUUCUGCCUUUCAGCCUUGACUUGUUGAAAAAUCAGACAUCUACUCACAUAAGCUGCAAUUUCCCUCUUCAUGUUUGGCCACCAAUAAUAAUCCUUCAAAAUCCGAUACAUUUUUGUGCUACCCGGAUGAGCAGCAUAUGCAGAGCUAUGAGCUUCCUCCAUAAUCUCACUUCAACUCUUCAUUUCUUUUUGGAACACAUAGCCGGUUCUUAAACAAUAGAGUCCCAUCUCUUCUAACUGAAAAAAAGAUCGGCUGCGGCUCCAUUCGAAGCUCUUUCCAUCAAUCGAACUAUGGAAGGAUCAUUAUACUGUGCUUCCCGCACUCUAUCAACCAAAACUGGCCUCACAUGAAAACUGGCUAUCAAAGCACCUACCUCAUCCACUGAUAAAUCCACUCCUGUAGCUCGCAACUCACAAAGAAGCGGAACAUGAACCAUCUUUAUAUGAGAUAAAGAUAUGGAGGGAUUUCGAUUAAGAGCAUCAGCUACCACAUUAGUUUUUCCAAGAUGAUACUCAAUAGUGCAAUCAUAAUCAUUGAUUAACUCCAUCCACCUUCUUUGUCUCAUAUUAAGCUCUCUUUGAGUGAACACAUACCGAAGACUCUUGUGAUCGGUAAAUAUCUGACACUUGGCUCCAUAAAGAUAGUGUCUCCACAACUUGAGAGCAAAAACUACCGCUGCAAGCUCCAGAUCAUGAGUAGGAUAAUUCCCCUCAUGCGGCUUCAAUUGCCUAGAAGCGUAGGCAAUUACUCGAUCAUGCUGCAUCAAAACUCCACCUAGACCACGUCUAUAAGCAUCACAAAAAACCACAUACUCUCCACUAUCAUCCGGAAGUGCCAAAACAGGAGCACUUGUUAAGCAAUUCUUCAAUUCUUGGAAACUUUGCUCACAUUGAUCUGACCAUUCAAACUUAACCCCCUUCCUGGUCAAUCUUGUGAGAGGAGCAGCAAUAUAUGAAAAAUCUUUCACAAAGCGCCGAUAAUAACCUGCUAAUCCCAAAAAACUACGAAUCUCCGUCACAGUGGUGGGUCUUCUCCAAUUCGACACUGCUUCCACCUUUUGGGGAUCCACACUAACUCCUUCUGCGGAAAUCACAUGACCCAAGAAUCCCACUUUAUCUAGCCAAAACUCACACUUGCUAAACUUAGCAAAUAACUGCGACUUUUCCAAAGUCCGCAAUAUUAUUCUUAGAUGCUUGGCAUGCUCCUUCUCACUUCUUGAGUAAACCAAUAUGUCAUCUAUGAAUACGAUCACGAAACGAUUAAGGUAUGGACUAAACACCCUAUUCAUGAGAUCCGUGAACGCCGCGGGUGCAUUAAUAAGUCCAAAUGGCAUCACGACAAACUCAUAAUGACCAUAUCGUGACCGAAAAGCAGUCUUGGCUAUGUCCCCCUCUCGGAUCCGCAACUGAUGAUAACCCGAUCUCAAAUCAAUCUUAGAGAAAACAGAGGCACCCCUCAACUGAUCAAACAAAUCAUCGAUCCGAGGCAACGGAUAUAUAUUCUUCACUGUGACCUGAUUCAACUUCCUAUAAUCAAUGCAUAGUCUCAUGGUGCCCUCUUUCUUCUUAUCAAACAACACCGGAGCACCCCAUGGAGACAUGCUAGGCCGAAUAAAACCCUUAUCUACCAACUCCUGCAAUUGAGUCUUCAACUCUUUCAAUUCCGCUGGAGCCAUUCUGUAAGGCGCCUGAGAGAUAGGCAUAGUUCCGGGAAGUAAUUCUAUAGAGAAGUCUAUCUCCCUUGCAGGAGGCAAACCAGGCAACUCCUCAGGAAAAACAUUCGGAAACUCUCCUACUUCUGGAAUAUCUUCUAAUCCCACAACUCCCAUACUUGUAUCCACCACAUGAGCUAAAAAUGCCUGACAGCCUUUACUCAACAAUUUCCUUGCAGCAACAGCGGAAAUUAUGCAACUAGAAAUAACAUCUCUUUCCCCUUGGAAAGCAACCUCAAAACCAUCUCGACUUCGAAGCACCACUACUUUUUGAAAACAAUCUACCAUAGCUCUAUAUGCUUCCAAAAAGUCCAUUCCCAAGAUCACAUCAAACUCCACUAUAUCUAAAGGAAUUAAAUCAGCCUCGAAAUUAACUCCUUCCACUAAAACUUCACAGCCACUAAAUACCCAAUUUAUUCUCAUCACCUCACCGGAGGGUAGAGACACAUGCCACUCGCCUGGAAGAGACGAUGAUGGUACAUUGGCAUGGAGGGCAAAUCUACUAGACAUGAAUGAAUGCGUGGCUCCGGGAUCAAUUAAAGUAAAACCAGGCUGACCAAAAAUUAAUAACGUACCAAUGAUGACAUCUGGAGAAGUACGACCCUCCUGCUGGGUCAUAGCAUGCAGUCUAGCGUGAGUCAUGGGACGUCCACGCUGACCACUUCCCCGCUGAGAGCCACCUCUAACCGAAACACUGCCCUGGGCACCACUACUAGAGCCUCCAGCUGAAGACUGACCAACUGGCUGAGUAGGGGUGGGAGUGGUCCUCUGAGCCAACAAUGGGCAAUCUCUCCUGAAGUGGUCCUGACCACCACACUCAAAGCACCCAGAAAACUGCUGCUGCUACCCAUAUGAAAAAGUCUGGCUACCGGAUGACCCACCAUGGAAACUGCCACCCGAACCAUACUGCCCAGACUGCUGCCUACCCAACUUACUCCUAGUAGGUCUCCUGUGACGUCCUCUAACCCUGAACCGAGAAUUAGAACCUGAUCCCCCACUACUGCCACUACCAGCUGAUGAACCUGAAGCGGAUGAUGAAGCAGCUUUCUUGGAUGGACCCUGACUGGGGCCACCGAAAUCUCAUGGCCGAGCACUAUAAAUCCCCAUAGACUCAAUGGCCAUGGCUGCAUGAACAGCGUCAGAGAAAGUCGGGUAAUAAACACCCGUCAUUUUAUCUGCAAACACUCCACCAAGUGCCCCAAUGAACAUCUUCAUCCUGGUCCUCUCAUCAGGAACCAGAUAUGACACAUGAUAGCUCAGGGAAGUGAAUCUCUCCUGGAACUCUAUAACACCCUCAUCAUCCCUCUUCUUCAUAUUCAGGAAAUCCGACUGAAUUCUGCUGCGGUGGGCAGGACUGAAAUAUUGCCCCAAGAAAAGCGUCUUAAACUGCUCCCACGACAUAUUCAGAGCAUCCUCAACAUUCCUGCUAGCGAGCGACCACUAGUGAUGUCGCUGAAUCAUCCAGGAAAGUCACUGCCAUCUUCUUCAUAUUCAGGAAAUCCGACUGAAUUCUGCUGCGGUGGGCAGGACUGAAAUACUGUCCCAAGAAAAGCGUCUUAAACUGCUCCCACGACAUAUUCAGAGCAUCCUCAACAUUCCUGCUAGCGAGCGACCACUAGUGAUGUGCUGAAUCAUCCAGGAAAGUCACUGCCAUCUUCACCUUCCUUUCUUCUGGCAAAUCUGUGCUCGCAAAAGCCUUUUUCAUUUUGUCCACCCAAGUAUAAGCAUCAAGGGGUCCCAUGGCACCCUUGAACUCUCUUGCUCCAGCCUCAUAAACUUCUCUCCUCUUCACUGCAUGAGGGUGUGGAGCUCGAUCUAUGACAUCCCUCAGCAUAUUUCCAAUAUCAUCAACCAGUCCCCUGACCUCAUUGCCCUCAUCGGCAUUGGUCGAAGUAGCCACACGGGGUUGCCGUGGGCGCCUAGGAGGCAUAGUACCUGAGGAAGAAGAAAUUUAGUAGUCCAUAAACAAGACUAACACAACAAUCACAUAUACCCAAUAACACAUAGCAUCAAAAGCAUAAAAUGCCAAUGAAUCCGCCGCGGUCGGAUCAUCACUCUAUAGACACUACGUGCUACUUAGGCAAAUAUGAUAGUGACAAGGAAGCCGGAAAAGGAAACCUAUAGCUCUGAUACCAACUGACACGACCCACCCCGAAUUUCACCCUGAAACCCGGAGUAAGUCUUGCGGGGACCACCUCCAAGAAAAAUUUACUGAAAAGAUUAAGAAAAUCUCCCUUGUAGAUGGACAACCCUAACUCGAAAAUUCCAAAUUGCCUAACUUCGAUAUUCUUAAAUCGGAACGAUCCGAACUUAAAUAUCAUACUUAACAGUCGUAAAUACAACCUCCCCAAAAUACGACUUAAAUCCUACGGCCGGAUUCUACAUUAAUUAACCGCCAAAAAUACCAAACUUCGGAAAUUCACAAACCUAUCCAAAUCUCAUCCAAAAAUUCCAUAAAUCACAUCAAUAUACUCCUCUUAAUAUUCCACACUUAAUACCCUAAAAAUCUCUUAACCGGCGGCGGCGCCGCCAGCGGCUCCGCGGGCAACGGCGGCCGGAGGCCAAUUCCGGCGACCUCCAAAACCUAUGAAAUUUUGACAGAAUAAUCUCCUCAUCAUGCUCUACAACUUUCUUAACGAGCACAUUACCCAAUUCCAAGCCUAACUAGGCUAAUCGAACGAAGACAUCCUAAAAGCCCUAGAAAAUUCAACUCCACAUUUCUCCUUACUUAGCUCAAGAGGGAGUGAGCUGAUUGGAGGGGUUGCUGCACGGGAGGAGGGCUACAAAAACGAGCCAAGGAUCGCUGGUUUUGGUGGCCGGGGGAGGGAGUUCCGACGGCCGGAAGUUCGGGGCAGCCUUGCCUUUCGGGCGGCACCGCUCUCUCACGGCGGCGCUAGGGUGGCUGUCACCGGUCCUGGAAGAUAGCUGGGUCGAAGGGCAACCGAACGGGACCGGAGCGGCGGCAGAUGGUGGCCGGACGGCGGCGUACGGACGGCGAGAAGUUUCCGACGGAGGAGAGGCUCGGGAGGAAACCGGGAAGAAGAGAGGAAGAAAAAGAAACAGUGAGGGCUGGGUUUGGGCCUGACCAACCCGGUCCAUCACCUAUAUAACAACCCAAUUCCAAAAAUAAAACACCCCGAAAAAUAACACCCGAAUAAAAAUUACCUUUUACUAGCUAAAAUUUACCAUUUUUACCGUCGUCGAAAUUUUCUCUUACGAAUAAUCCUCCGCACAUAAACGUCCCCGAAACCCUUCUAGGGACCAAUUAAACUAUUAACUCAAUGACGGAGACGGUAAAAUUCUUAUUAUAAUCAGGCUAGUAAAUAAGGUAAAAAUAUAAGGGUCGGGAUGUGACACUUGUUGAGUUAUUAGUCAUGUGGAUUGCUUACCACCUUAAUUGACUACAUAUUGUCGAUGAACUUUUAUGGCAUCAUGAUCCAUAAUUUUUAGCGGAUUCGAUCAUCAUCAAGUUCUCUAGGUCCUCCAAGUUGGUUUGGAAUUACCAACGGGACUUGAUUUUUAUCAUACAAUUGCAAACAGGAAUUGUAUAUACGCUAAUGUGAUAAACAUAUUUGACAUUAUCCCCUAAUAUGGGGACAACAAUAUGGGUCAUGUCAACGGCAUAAAAUGCCAUGCCGAUGUCUAGAAAAGAGGGGGAGGUGUCGCCGGCCCUAAUGGCGACACUCCCGGUCUAGACAUCAAUCUGUCAAAACUACUCACGUCCGCUUAUGACAAUGCAACCAUUGUGGAUCUCCGGAUCGUUGGUUGAAGAGUUAUCGAGCUAUCCUUCAAAUUGUUAAUGCAUACAAAAGGGUACAGAAAAUCAAUAUGAGGAGAAGAACGUCAUCCUCAUGAUCGCGGAUUUCAAAGAUUCGGAUCCUGCUCUAGCUACCCAUGACUUUGACGUCAUUGGCUAGACAUUGAUUUUCUUUCCAAGCUAUAUGUAAUACAGCGUCGUAUCGACGUCCUUCGUCUAUUUGAGACCUCGAUGUACUCACAUUAGCAAUAAUGAAUGCCUUGAGAAUUUUUUUUUCGAAGUGAAACUAUUCUCCUCUUAUGGUUCGUAUUGAUUUACAAAAAAUAUAUACAUUCUUACAUCGUCCUUAGAAACAUGGCAUAUUGUGCCAUUUUGGUCCCUUCCUUUGAAGGUGACUCAUGGCACCGCAUCCUCAAGGAGGAUCGCCCACGUGUUUCCGGUUGAGUCUUCUACCCUAUAGCGGAUUUUCCAUCAUCAAUUGUUCAACUAGGCUCAUCUAAGUUCAGUGUGAUGUCUUAGAAUUGUCCGAAAUUAAGAAGAUAGUGGUUUAAGUGUGCCUCGCACUACCGACCCUCUACGGACAAGCCUGGUCAUACUGAUUUGGAGUUACCGAAAGCUUUUGAUUUUGGAUCCCCGUACGCUAUUAAACCAAUUGUCGUCUUGCAAAAGAUGUUGAAGACUUAUCAAAACCGGACAAUCAUCAUCAUGAUCGAAUCCUCUAGGUCUUCUGAGUUAGUUUAUGUUCAUGUCAAGGAGCUUUUGCUAACUAGUCAUGGAGUUUACGACCUUGGAACGACUGAAAGGACUUGAUUUUGAUCAUGCACACAUCACUUUUGGCUAAGGCAAAAGCCUACAUGCAACCUGCAAGCUUCACAGCUUCGCACAUGCCAAUUCUGCGAAAAACAGCAAUCUGUCUCUUCUAGACAGUCAACUUCGUUUGAGCUUUGUGAACAGCUCUGGACGAACUAGAUAGUGAGCUUUAUAUCAUUGGAAAGCUCUACGAGUCUAGUUUUCAGAACCUUUCGCGGUUCAUCCAUAUCUAUUUUAACAAAGAAGUUAUGGCUGUUUUAGUGCGCAAAAGUCAUUCCGCACGGAAAUUUUAAUGCACUCUCAGGAUUGCAGCUUUUUGUAGCUUCUUUCAAUCCUUCUAAAUGGUUCAAGUGGAACUAUUUACUCUCCUAUCUACUCCAUUUUGUACAUCUGUCUCAUAGAGACAUUAAGUGCUUCGCAAACAGUGGAACUAUUCACAACAUUCUAAGGAACCGGCAACUAUCUUUGGAUAUUAUGCCUUUGUAAAUCUUCUGUAUUGAGAGACACGGUUUAGCUUGAAUUUUGAUGCCUCAUGGCACCAUGAUCAACGUCACAGAUGCCCUCUAUGCAUUGAGAGGCAACCGAACCAUGUUGAGCUUUAAAGACAUUCUUGCUAAUAGUUUUUAUUUGAAAACACAUUAUGAGAAUGAACAAGAAUUCUUUUGUGUAUACAUUCUCAUGAAUGUGGACUGAAAUGCAUCUUGGAGAAGUUCAUGAGUCAAUUUAAUGGAUUGUAUGUCACUACGAUUCGAGUAUCGAAUCCCAUGUUGUCGCCAAACAUGAUAUUUGGGACACCGACUCAUAGAGGCUUUGGUUUGACCAAAUCGGUCAACCUCGAAGAGAUAUAAUGGUCCAAAUUUUGAGAAACAUCCAUUCUUCUGCUCAAAACGAAGACAUUCGGGAUCUAACAUCACCAUGAAGCAUGGUGGUGACCCAGGGGACAUUUGUAACACCCCGGACCAAAUUCUACCUAUUUACUAGGUAUUCUACGAGUUACUGAAGAAUUUAACUGUGUUCGGUAAUUUGGUAAUUUAACACUCGAGUUUAUUGUUGAGUUUUUCUUAAAAUGUUAAAUUCCUCUUUUAAGGCCUCGAUAUAGUAGUACGUGUCGACACAGGUUCAACAGUGGCAUUGGAUUAUUUGUUGGAGCUUCGAGUUAUUUUUUCUAUUAUUUAUUAGAGGUUUGGUUUUAGAAAUUUAUUUUCUCGGAAGAAAAUAACUUUUAUCCGGGCUUCCAUUAGGGUUUUGAUAUGAGUUGUAGAAUUUAAGCUUAAAAGGUAAAGAGGAGGUUGACCCAGUCAAAGAACCCAACUCGGGUUUGACCGAGCCCAACAGAGUCUCCUCCUUCUCUCUCACUUCUCUCUCGUCGUUCGCCUUCUCCGGCGCAAUGGCGACGAUUCCGAGCACCUCCCACAGCGUAACUACCACCAAAAUAUUCUUCUCUUCAAUCUCUACAAAACCCAUACCUCAGUUCACACAGGCAUCCACAUACGAGGGAGAUCGAUGUCGAAGAGGCACGGCUGUGUUUCUCGUUUUCCGGCGAGCUCCGACGGCGACGGCGAUAGUGAGGGGUAGGAUUCUUCUCCUUUUUCCUUCUUCUCCCUUCCUAUGUCUUUAAUCUUUUGAUUCGUGCCCUAAUCAGAGGAACCCUUUUCUCCUGUUUUUGGGUUUUCACGGCGUAUCUCCGGCGACCGAGUUCUUGCCGUUUCCGACCUCUUCUCCAUGUUCCGACAAGCAAGGCUACUUCUUGGCAGACCCAGUGGCCGAGUGGAGGAGGUGGUUGGAGUUUGGUAGCAGAUGGGGUUCUUCUGGUUGGGACAGUGAGAGGCAGAGGGCUGCAGGUCGGUCUCCGGCAAGGAGAAGUUUCUGGGUUGGGGUUUUGAGCGGACUGAAGGUAAAGGUUAAAAAUCUGAGCUGCUGUGUUGUUGCUAUGUUGUGCUUAUUGUGUUGUUUAGGUGUUGAUUCGGCUGUUUCCUUUGUGAUAUGUCGAGAACUUGGUGUUUUGAAGAACACGGGGAGGUUAUGGCCAUUUUCUGGUGAGUGGCCGGAAUCCGGUAGAAUAUUCCGGCAAGUCGCCGGAAUCCGACGAAGGCAGUAAUUUUGGAAGAAGGUGAUGAGGUAGUUAUCGACGUUUUUCCUUUCUGAUUUGUAUCGUUUCAGAAAUGGAAAGUUUGUCGGUUUGUAAUCGGAAAUCUUUCUAAGGGAGGAAAGUUUCUAUUUUAGGAAACUUUCCCUUUUUUGGAAGCUUCCUAUUUAUGGAAACCCAUUUGGGUGCCCUUAGUAAAUUUUGGAAGUAAAUUGGUUGUUGUAUUAAAGGCAUGGAAAUUGAUUAUGACUUCGAUUCCAAGUUAAGGUUUUGUUUAGAGGCAACGUUCGAGGAGUAUUCCAAGCAUUAUAUUGAGAAGUUUAAGCCUAACACUGUGAGUGGACAUUUUGGUUUUUCUUAAAUAUGCGUGCAUGACUUUAUAAAUUAUGAUUUUAUUUUCCGAGCAUAUAUUAUAACUUCGGCUUACUAAAUGAUCUUGGAAAUUAUUUUAAGUUUGAUGCAUGGAUUAAUUGUGCACCAUGAUUUAUGGAUUUGAGCUCGGAUCAUUAAUUUGGUACUUGAGUUUGGAUAUCAUUUAUGAUUUCCGGAUUUAAUUAUUAUCGGCUUUAUUGUUGACUUUGAGAUUUAUUAAAGACUACCGAAACUGGGAUUUUCAGUAAUUCUCUUUUUAUAACUUUCUCGGUUAUUUGUGGUUUAUCGACCUUGACAUUGAGAAUAUUUUGACGUGUGAGACACGUCAUUGAGUAUUGUUACAUUGCUUGGUUGAGUGGGCCGGGAUACUUAUCUCGUGAGCUUUAUCUAGUGGGCCGGGAUACCUUUCUCGUGAGCUCUAUCUAGUGGGCCGGGAUAUUUAUCUUGUGAGCUCUAUAUGAUCUUCUUAUUUCAUUAUAUAAGGGUUGUUGUAUAUUAUUAUUGCUAGCUAGCCUUUAGCGUGGGACGUUAUUAAUAGAGUCUGGGAGGCUCCGACCCUAGCCUGGGAGGCUCAUCUUUAUGGUGAAACCCCUUUCUAGUUUCUUGGAUUUAUUCGAACCAACGGGAUUGGUUCGUCAUUUGUACUCUUUUAGAAGUAUUAUGAGUGAGCAUCAAGUGUUGCAUGCAUAGUUGUAUUUUCGUUGAUCAAAUCGGGAAAACAUAAAUAUUUUUAUUGGUUUAUUUCCUUUAAAUUUAUUCUUGUCCACUCACUCUAACGUUUUCGAAUGUUUUCCCCUAGGCCCUUCGGUUUUAAAUGCCCAGUUUGCAAGUUAGUAUAAUUGAGGUCGGGCGUACUUGGAGUCGAGGCAUAGUCCAUCGUAUAGCUUAAGCUUAAAUAUAUAUUUAUCUCCCCUUCACUGUUAGAAUUGCUCUGAACCUAUUAAUUGUUGGUUAUGGGAUUUUUGUUAGAUUAGUAAAUAUAAAUUUUUUAGAUGUUGUGAUUUGUGGGGAGCACGGAGGCUUCAGGAGUUUAUAAGAUUGAAGUUGAAAUUUUUAGAAGUGUUUGCAGGUAUUUUUAUUUAGGAAGGGUUGCCUAUUUUCAAGGGAGGUUAUGCCGAGUUUUCGGUAAAUUUUCCUUGGAGGUGGACCCCGUAGGAUUUACUUCUGGUUUCAGAGUGAAAUUCGGGGUGGGUCCUGACAACAUUGACGUCACCCGAACACGGCUCCAACUUCCCGAAGGCCGUCCGGUCAAUUCCUCAAGCAAUUGAGGUGCACCGGCCUUCCCUCUAUGUCUCAUUGGCCCCUGUAAUGCUCAUUGCUCGUUUUGAAAGCCUAUUUUUAACUAAAUUAGGAGUGAGACUCUCCUAUGCUAAAUUACACAAAGUGAACAUUCCAUUCUUACAUCAACCUAUGUUGAUAGAUACAACCAACUUGCGAACACCUUUUUUUAUGCUUUAUGGUGUUGGUUGAAGUGUUAACACACUGGUCACGUGUUACACUAUUAUCUACUGCUUAUGCUGCUUAUACUUCUACGGGCUCACUACCCAUUCUUUAAAAAAGUUUAUCGGGAUGUCAGUUGAAGUGUCUUGUACCCCAUGUUCACACGCAAUACGGUCUCACCGAGGCUACGACCAAGCAACUUUAGCUUGUCGCUCGAACAUUAUUGAUGCACACCAAUCUUUUUAUUGCGUCUUGGGGCUAUGCAAUAUUUGCAUGCAGCUUUACUAUUCAUCUACGACCCACCAUCAUUGAAUAUUUUUGUACUACAGCUCGUGACUGUCACUACCAGGACAAGCACUUUAGCCGACGAAAAAGUUUCAUCGGCCAGUUAGCUUAAUUCGUCGGCUAAGAUCUUACCCGACGAGCCUUCGUCGGCUAUAGUUUCGUCGGGAAAGAGGCGUCGGUGAUGACUUUAGCCGACGAAAUUAGAAAACGUCGUCGGCUAUUGUCCCAGUAUUUAGCCGACGACAGAAGACGUCGUUGACCAUAGUCUGAGACUUUAGCGAACGAAACAUUUAAGAUAUUCGUCGGCUAAAGUAUGUAAUAAAAAAUUAAAAAAUAACUAUAGCCGACGAAAUAUAGUCUGUUUCGUCGGCUUUAGAAGUGUUUAGCCGACGAAACAUGCCAUAAUUUGUCGGCUAAACCUUAUAAAAAAAUUAAAAAAUACUAUAGCCGAAUAUAGUCGGCUAAAGUAUUUAAAUAUCGUCGGCUAAAGUAUUUAAAUAUCGUCGGCUAAAGUAUUUAAAUAUCGUCGGCUAAAGUUGCUGGUUUUUGAAAAAAAAAACUGUAGAAACUUUCGGCCACCUCCAAUCAUCACCAAAAUUUGACAAAAUCUUCCUCUCAACAUUUCGAACAACUUUCUAGAAGAAGUCAAACCCAAUUCUAAGCCUAAACAGGUCAAUUGAAUCAAAAUAUAAAAAUCCCUAAUUUUAAACCCUAAAAACUUUAAAUCUUCGAUUCUCUUCACACACACCGAAUCGAGCUACCAAAUUCUAGGGGAAUGUAGUACUAAUCAAACUCAACUUAUCCAUAUAUAGAACUCACCAAAUGGUGACCUAAGGAAGGAGAAAUUCGAUCGACACCGAAUCCAAACCGGCGGAGUUUUAGAGCUCGAUUUAUCCCUCACGGCGGCGCCACUCAAUGCACCACCUGUCCAGCAAUGAAGUAGAGAUGACGGCGAAGUUUUUAGGACAAGUGUGGCGGUCUCCGGUGGCUUGACGGCGGAGCUAGGCCGAGAAGAAAAUCCGGCAGGCGAAACAAUAACUUUUUCUGAUUUUCUGACUUCUUACCAUCCACCUCUGGUAAAACUCCUAUAUAAAGAACUUUACCCGACGAAAUUCUUUAUUUUCAUCGGCUAAACUCUUUUGAAAAUUUUGAUUGACCGCAAAAAUUUUUUUGACAAUAGCCGACGAAAUCAUAUAUUUUCGUCGGCUAGAGUCCUUUGAAAAUUUUCCUCCAAAUUUGGUUUACCACCAAAAAAAUUUUGACCUUAGCCGACGACUUUUUUAAGAUCUCGUCAGCUAAAGUCUAUAAAUUCACGAAAACGCUCAUAUCUCCCUCUAUAGUAAGUAGUUUGGUCAAACCUUCCACACGAAAAACUUUCACGUAGAUGAGACGCAACCGCCUAUAUAAAAAUUUGAGACAUUUACCUUCCGACGAUAGGGCUCCCCAUAGGGAAUAAUAACGGUAAAUAGGGUUGACCGCUACUAUCGGUACCGAGACGUUACCUGAUUUACAUGAUUUUUGAACCAUAGCCGUAUUUCACCAUUCUAAACACAUCUUAUUUCACGAGAUUUUUGAUAAUUUUGCUUCCUAUGUAGAGUUGGUUCACAAAGUUGUAUUACCUACUAAACAAGUUAUACAACAUUCGUAGACACGUUGUGAUUACGAUGAUUAAAAUUCACAAACCAAAAUUCGACCAUCAGAUAUGAUCAUUAUGAUAAAAGAUGUCUGGAAUUCAACUGGAUCCGACAACGUUAAGGGCUCGAUCGAAACGGUCAACCCUAAUCCAUCGUCACUUAUCACACAAAAACGCUCAUAUCUCCCUCUAUAUUACAUAGUUUGGUCAAACCUUCCACAUGAAAAACUCUCACGUAGAUGAGACGCAACUGACCAUAUAAAAAUUUUGAGACAUUUACCUUCCGACGAUAGGGCUCCCCAUAGGGAAUAAUAACGGUAAAUAGAGUUGAUCGCUACUAUCGGCACCGUGACGUUACCCGGUUUACGUGAUUUUUGAACCAUAGCCGUGUUUCACCAUUCCAAACAUGUCUUAUUUUUACAAAAUUUUUGAUAAUUUUGCUUCCUAUGUAGAGUUGGUUCACAAAAUAUAAAAAUUUUGAGACAUUUACCUUCCGACGAUAGGGCUCCCCAUAGGGAAUAAUAACGGUAAAUAGAGUUGACCGCUACUAUCGGCACCGAGACGUUACCCGGUUUACAUGAUUUUUGAACCAUAGCCGUAUUUCACCAUUCUAAACACGUCUUAUUUUCACAAGAUUUUUGAUAAUUUUGCUUCCUAUGUAGAGUUGGUUCACAAAGUUGUAUAACCUACUAAACAAGUUAUACAACAUUAGUAGACACGUUGUGAUUCUGAUGACUAAAAUUCACAAACCAAAACUCGACCGUCAGAUAUGAUCAUUAUGAUGAAAGAUGUCUAUGGUAAAAAAUUCAACUGGAUUCGACAACGUUAAGGGCUCGAUCGAAACGGUCAACUCUAAUCGGAAAUAAGAAAACUGCAUUUUGAAGCCCUAAAUAGACUUGGAUGGCCAAAAAGGCCCAUAUUUCAUGGCAUAGCAAUGAGUUUGACUCGUAGGGCCGUUACGCUUCCGGAAAGGUAUCAUAAUAGUCAAUCGGACACUGAACGCCAAAUCUGCAGCAUACCGGGUUUCGAUUGUUCUACAUCAGAGACGUUACCCGAUUUACGUGACUUUUGAACCAUAGUCGUGUUUCACCAUUCUGAACACAUCUUAUUUCAUGAGAUUUUUGUUAAUUUUGCUUCUAUGUAGAGUUGGUUCACAAAGUUGUGUAUUUGUUUAAAACCUACUAAGCAAGUUAUACAACAUUUUAUUGUUUUUCUUUUAGCAGACGGAUAAUAGCCAACGAGAUUUUUUUUCGCCUACUAAAAUACUUUAGCCGACGAGUAAAAACUUUGGCCGACGAAAAAAAAUUUUGUCGGCUAAAGUAUAGUAUAGCAGACGAAAUUUUUUUUCCGUCGCACUAGGAAGAAAACAAACUUAGCAUAACCUGAUCCAUUGAUCAGUGAUACUCAAAUCUGUCUCAUGAAGUCUGAAUUGUGAUUAUCGUUGGGGGACACCUCAAUGUCAAAUCCAAUCCAUAUAGAGAUCUAUACAAGUAUUACACUAGUGUACAUGAGGACGCGGGAUAAUGAGUCUACUAUCGAACCACCCUUCGUUGAUUGGCCAAAUGGAAAGAUGCGAUCCAGCAUUAACAAAGAGAUAGGUCCUUGGGCAGGUGAUGCCGACACCGCAAGUUAAACCCUAUCAACUAUGCCUUUGUUAGAUAGCGUAGUGAGAACAAGAGCUUAGACUCACCUUAUGGCGCAAGGUCUCUCACUAACAAGCACUGAGAUCGACUACGAUGAGAUAUGCUCUCGUAAUGGAUGUCAUUGCACUCCACUACUUUGUCAGUUUGGUAGUUUUCCGAAUAACUGAACAUGCAGCCUAUGAAUGUGGUCAUAAUAACAUCUCUACAGGAUCAGAGAUAUACAUGAAGAUCUUAAACAGACUUCAUUCAUCUUAAUCAAGUUGCUCCAGACCACAGGAGCACGCGUUCGCUAAAGGUUUUGAAACGCACAUUAAGUAACUAAUUUGCGUGUUCAUUCUGGAUUUACAUGGACUCUUGAUGGAUCAAGAGAUGCCAAUAUGUAUCAACAUUUUAAGAAAAAGAUCUUGAGAAGACACAGUCUCGACAAGGCACUCGAUGAUUGUAUUGAUGAUGAUUUUCCAUCAAUCGGCUUAGGCGCUCUAUAACUAGUGAGGCCUACAUAUACUCCCAUGAUUAGUCAAAGUCUUUGCUUUAAAGAGAGAUCCGUUUUUUUGUCUAAAGCAAGAUGACAAAUAUGUGUUAAGAGAUGGAGUUCCCAUCUAAGUACAAUAAGAUGCAUCAAUGUACUCAACACAAUACGAAACACUUGACAUCUCAUUCGUUAUGAAAAGUUGUAAAGCUAAGUGUAGCUAUGCGCCCACGUAACGCCAAUGUAAUGGCAGUAACUCUUUUUUUAAAUAGUUAAUGGUAUGAAAGGUUGAGGCUUAUUCUAUCCCUACAUAAGAAAGACACAUCAAUAGCGAAAUUAGAAUCUGCCAAGUUUCGUAGGUCAAUUUCUACGGGACCUACAGGAAAUUUCACUCACUGGAAAAUGGUGAAAUUGGUGCCACUGGAAAGCUCUAUGUGUCUACUUUCCAGGGACACCAACCAUUUAAUCAUAUCUAUCAUAUUGAGUGAGUUAUGGCUUUUUUCGUAAAGUAGGACGAAUCUGUCCGAGAAUCUGAUUUUGGCAAAACAGUUAAAUUUGACAGGACUUUGUGAAUAGCUCCUGACGAACCAGAACAUGUGUAAUAUACAGUUGGAAAGCUAAAUGAGUCUAGUUUCCAAAACCGUUUACGGUUCAUUCAUAUGUAUUUCCUAGAGGAAGUUACGGCUGUUCUAGUAACUGAAGGUCAUGCUGUGCGGAAAUCUGAUUUCCUGCACGAACUUAUGUUUUGAGUUCACAAGCGGUCUUCUCCUCAAGAUCUAAAUGUAAAAGAUCAUGUUUGAGGACAAUACGGCAUGAUCUAGUUAAUCAUUGCCCAAUGCCACAUUUGAAGACAUGUUAAAGAGCAUUGACAUGCGAAGUUAUUGAAGUUUCCGUGAUUAGUAAGAAUCAGGAAGAGCCCUAUGAUUGAUGUAAGGGAAAAUUUCAAAAACAGUACACCAAUUAUGGUCCACUCUAAAGACUAGUACAUUAUCUUUUGAGAAAAUCAAAACAGUACAUGAAGUUGUAAUUAUGACCCAAAAUCGAUACAUGCCGUUAUUUUUUCUGUUAUUUGGUGUCUCUACCAUUAAACUUCAAAGGAUAAAUUCGUCCUUCUCUUGCUUCCUCCUUCUAUCUCUGAAACUAGAAAAAGCUGCAGCAAUUUUGCAAACUCUUUUAAAUAUAAAACAGAUGAGCAUGAACCAAAAAAAACCCAAAAUCCCAAAACCCUGUAUGGUUCAUUGGUUCUUCUACCAAGGGUUUUAAUCUCCAAUUUAUUUAUGAAACCCAUUGCUUCCUAGUGAGCCCAACCGCUGUCCUCUCACCAGAAUCAUCGUCUUAAAUGAAAAAAGUUAAAAAAAAAAAAAAAAAAGUAGAUUCCUCCUGCAAUUAUGAAUGGGUAUUGCAUGUUCUUCUAUUUGUUCAUAUCUGGGUAAUAUUGUUGCUUUUUUUUGUUGUUGCUAUGGUAUGGUAGGAUUGUCAAACUUCAAGAAUUUGUGAAGAACAUUUCAAACCCGUCACCAUGCGAACUGAAUUUCCAACCCCAAAAUCAAUAGAAAAAACCCAAACUCAUCUAUUUUAUAUUUAAAAAAGUUUGCAAAGUUGCUGUAGUUUUUUCUUGUUACAAAGAUAUAUAGAAGGAGGAAGCAAGAGAAGGACGAAUUUAUCCUUUGAAGUUUAACGGUAGAGACACCAAAUAACAGAAAAAAUAACGGCAUGUAUCGAUUUUGGGUCAUAAUUACAAUUUCAUGUACUGUUUUGAUUUUCUUGAAAGAUAAUGUACUAAUCUUUAGAGUGGACCAUAAUUGGUGUACUGUUUUUGCAAUUUUCCCUUGAUGUAAAGAUCAGGGGGAGGUGCGAACUUCAGGGGGAGUCUAGCACAUACAUACAUGUCACUAUCAAAUGUGAAGGGUGCGUUGUACUCUUUUUCUCCUACGAUUAAGGUUCAGUUUUUCUCCCACAGGGUUUUUGUGACUUGACGAGGUUUUUGACGAGGCAAAAAAUCAGCACCAUCGGCAUAUCAGCGCGCGGCACAAGGGAGAGUGUUCUAGGAUAUUCUGUAUCUUUCUAGAUAUUCUUUAUGUGUGCCUUGGCCUUAUGCCAAUAGGAUAUGUAGUUUGACUAAAUCUAUGUAUUCCUAUCCUUACCAUAUUGGUAUUGUGUAAUUCCUUAUAUAAAGGGCUCCUAUCUUUGAAUAAUACACACAUCUUUCACAAUUCUCUAUUCUCAAAUAUCUCUCACUUCAUCAAAUUAGUAAUUAAUGGUUAUUUGAAUUAUGAGACUAGAGUUAGAAUAAAAAUUAUGAUACUCAUCCUAAUUUAAAGAUAUUGAGGAAAAAGAUGCAGGAAAUGGCCUCAACUUGAAAAGUUAAAACUUAGAAGUAUAUACCUAUCUUCUCAUCAGGAAUGGAGGUAGAAAAUCCCUUUAAGAUUGGUUUAUAUUAGUAAGGAUGUCUAACACAACAUCACACACUAAAUUCAUAAACAAGAGAACCCUGACAAGCAACGAAUUGACAAACACAAUAUAGUAUGCAGGUCUUCAAAUUACAAAGCAAACCAAACUAUCUAACUAGUUGUGCAACAAAACCCCUCAAUUAUAAUUGGUUUUUAGACAACCCAUUUGAUAACUAUUACUUUGAAAAAUUAAUUAUGAUUUGUUGGCAAGUUUGGAGAGCAAGGAACGAUACUAUCUUUAGGGGUAAGAAUCCCAACCCCAAAUCUAUUCCAGUUCUUGCUGCUUGCCAUCAAAGCAAUGCCCUACAAAUUGAUAUGCAAAGGUCUACAAUGCAUGAUCCUGUUGAAAUGAACAUGAUUAGGUGGUCACCACCCCCUUCAAAUUGGGUUAAAAUAAAUUUUAAUGGUUCUGUAAGAAGUAAAGCUGCUGCUGGAGGUUUUAUUUUAAGAACAGAAGAUGGUAAACCUCUUGUGGCAGCUGCCUUCAACUCUAGUGUUGCUAGUCUCUCUCUUGCCGAAACUCUUGCACUAAGAAAUAGUCUAGUAUGCGCUAAAGAGAAAGGCUUAUCAAAGAUUGAAGUAGAAGAUGAUUCCAAGCUCAUCAUUGACAUUGUGAAUGGAGUUUGUGAUCCCCUUUGGAGGCUUCUGAAGAUAUUCCAAGAUAUAAAUUUUUUUGAGAUGUAAUUUUGUAUCCAUCAGCUUCAAACAUGUAUUGAGGAAAGCUAAUUUCGUGGCCAAUGUUUUGGCUAACAUAGGGCAUAGGGUUGAGAAUUGUCACUUCUGGGAGGAGUGUCCCGAAGCAUUUCUUGCCCUUGCCUUCGACAAUGUAAACUCUGGGUGCCGGCGAGCACCUCUAUUUAAUAGAUUUUCUUCUCAUCAAAAAUAAAUAAAAAACAAAACCCCUCAAUUUCCAUAAACUCUAACUGCUCCAAUCAUCAGAAACAACAGUUUCGUACACAUUCGAUUGCAUACACAGAGAAUUAAACCUAUAUUUAUGAAUCUCAAAAGACUGGAUUAUGAAAUUACCUCGAGCUUUUCCUCGUUGUUCGCCAUAUUGAGUUCGGAGCUCUAACACGAUCUCACCUCUCUUUCUUCCUCUCUACCUCUCUCCUCUCUCUCUCUCUCUCAAUCUCACACUGGCACUCUCUCUAUGUGUGUUUCUCGUUCAAUUUUGUGUUUCACUAUAAACCCGUCUAGUGGCAGUAGGGUUUGUUCAGCUUGAGGGGGACAUGUGGCGGCAUCCUACUUGAUUGUAUACUGUCCAAGUUUUAUGAAACAUCGCCGUAUUAAACUGAAGAGCAGGCAUGACAUUGGACAAAGAGAGUCCACCCUAAUAGUUUUACCUAUAUAACUCCACUUUUCUUACUCAAAUUAUUUCCCCUUGACUGUCUUACCCUUGUGCAUAAAGAUAUUAGACCUGUGGCGCUCAAAAUGUCUCUCAUUGCUGUCACCCAAAGGGCCAAAACCUCGCUCUGCAACGCCGGCUCGACUACGAUUGCGGUCACCACCGACAACAACGUCGGCUCGACCUCGACUGCAUCUCCAAUUCUAUCGACGAUGACCUCCGACUCGACAUCGGCUGAAUCUUCGAUUUUGACCUCGAUUGGAUCUCCGAUUCUGUCGUCGACAACCUUGAUUGGAUCUCUUAUUCCGUCCUCGACCGGAUCACCAAUUUGGCCGACAAAAACCUCGAUUGGAUCUCUGAUUCUUUCAAUGACCACCUCAACUCGAUCUCUGAUUCCAUCGACUGAGUCUUGCUCGACCUUAGCUGCAUCUCUAAUUCGGUGACAUAAGUUUCUAAUCUCGUUGGCUUUGGUUUACACGAAUUUAAAACAAGCAACUAUGUGCUUUGCUUAUAUUUGUUGUGUGAUGGUGAUGGUUUUUAGGAUGAAAGAGAAGCACGGGAGCCUCAAUGUGAAGGCGAAGUAGAGAAAUAACCAAUUAGGAUCCGGAUCGAGGGAUAUCUAUUUUUACACAAAUUUUGACACUCGUUUUUAGCUUUUAGAUUUUAAAUUUUUUAACGGUGUAGAUUAAUUGUGGAUAUGAUGUGAACCACUACUAGAAAUAAGUUCUUAGGUGACGAAAUUUUUUCGUCACCUAAGAGCUUCUAUUGUCCUGUAUUGAUGUAUACACUAAUACGACGAAAAUUUCGUCACCUAAGGUUCGUCAUCUAAGGGCGGUGGUUAGAGCACUUAGGUGACGAAAAUAUGAAUUUCGUCAUCUUAGUAAUGACUAAGAUGACGAAAACCUUUUUGUCGCCAAGAUACUUAGCUGACGAAAUAAUUUUCGUCGCCAAACUACUUAGUUGACGAAAAUAAUUUUGUCGCAAAUCUGGUUACAUGACGUAGUAUGACCAGCUAAGGUGACGAAAUCAGUCAUUACGAAAACACUAACACUACGAAAACAGUCAGUUUGCUGACAAUUCUUUCAUCGGGCUAGGGCCACGAAAGUUGAAUUUUCAUCACCUUAGUGCUAUUUAUAUUUAUUAAAUUUGAUCAUUAAUAAUUAUUAAAAUCACAUUUAAUAUUAACAAAAAUAAAUUUAAAAAAAAAGUCUCAAUAUUUCAAAAACCCACUAUUGGCCAAAGCAGCACCUAGGCAGUAGCAAACAUAUAUAUAUAUAUAUAUAAUCAAGUUCAUAUACAAACUCAUCAAGAGUAGUACUUGAUCAAUAUAGACUUGUUCAUACAAAAUAUAUACUAGCUAGAAAAUGAACUAGUGACUAUGAAGGGCUAUCAAUUGAAUCAAUGCCUCCAUCAUCAUGAUCAUCAUCAUUGGGAUGCUCCUGGGGUGGGACUGCCGGCUGGCAUACGCCGAAUUUGGUGAAAAGAAACUGCUCACAUUGUUGAAGACGUGCCAUGAUUUGUAUGUUCUCUUCCUUGGCUUUUCGGGCUUCCUCAUUGGCUUUCCGGGCUUCCUCCUUAGCCUUUCAAGCUUCCUCCACAGCAAUAUCAACAAGUGCAGCUCGUUGGGAACGUGAAGUGCAGCUCCUAUCGGGCCCUUGACUCAAACCAUAACUGCCUACUAGUCCCAUGACCCAGAUCUCAUUCAUGUUUCUAUGUCUAAAUGCUUUUUCAAACACAAUCGCUUGAGUUUGUUGGUCAAAAUGAAGAUCAAUAUCUUCUUCCGGAAUGCCAGGGUAUUCCUUCCUCACAUUGUCACGGAUCUCAUCAAGCUUAUCCAUCAGUUUAGCCUAACAAAAGAAGUAUAUGUUUUACAAAAACAAUUACUAUGGAGAAUAGAGUUUUGAGGGCAGUAAUAUCUAUAUUGCUGAAAGUCAUUAAUCAUAGGCUCUCAUCUAGCAUUAUUAACCCAUCUAUAUAUAUUGAUUACCACCACAUAUUAAUCAACCUCCAUAUAUCAAGGUAUCAAGAAACUUAGUCUGAGAUGCACUAUGAAUGACAUUAACUGCCACAAUUCUUUUUUGAGAAGUCACUAGUAUAUGUUCCUUAUUGUGGUUUUUGCUUAUGACAUGCAUUAUUAUAUAUUACAAGUUACUCAUGCAUUUGGCAGGAAGUAAUGCAAGUUAACUAGUUAAUAUCGUGCAAAAAAAAACUAAUUCACAAUAUUGUUGCUUCCAGAGACCAAGAAGUAAUGCAAAGGCAGGAUGUAAACCACUUACUUCAUUUUCAGCUGCUUUCAAGUUGUGAGCUGAGUCAUACACCUGUGAGUAACUUUUAAUAAAAUAGAGGUGUUCACCCUUGUCCUUCAAUUCCUUCGCAUUGUAGAUGAAAGGCCUCGCCCCGGUGUAGUGGUACAAUGUCUUCUUGUCCCGGUUACUCUUGUUUGCAGCCGAUCUUCUCUGUAAUUUCAUCAUAUUAACAAUUUGGUUAUUAACAUCAAGCUUAAUCAUCAAAAACCAUAAACACAAAACUGACCAAAUGAACAGUAGUAAUGCAAAACCCAGAUAUAUACUUGUACCCAGAGAAACUGUUGUAGUAAUGCAAGUAAUAUAUAUAUACUUGUACCUAGAGAAACUACUGUAGUAAUCAGUGGAAUAUAUAUACUUGUACCUAGAGAAAAUGCAAGCAAUAUACUUGUACCUUAAUCUACCUUGUACAGCAAAGAAAAAACUAAAGCCUUAUUUAUUUUCUGCUGGAUACAAAGUUAACCAAUUGAACUAAUCAUUCGAAGGAGCCAGAGAAUGGGGAGUAACAAUUGCAGCUGAUCAAUGGAUUGCCUUGUCAUCAGUUAAAAAAAUCUACCAACUUUUUGUGUAACACAAAAUGUCUCAAACUUUAAAUAGAUCAAUACUUUUGGUAGUCCAAAAUCCAGUAUACUUCUUCUCUACUCACAAGUUUGUGUUUGCUAAUAGAAUGAUGGGGCUAUUUCCGCAUUGCUUAAAAAAACCAAAUUCUAAACCACUUUGGUAAUUCAACAUGGAAGGAUUCCAUAAGGGAUUCCAAGAUUUCAAGUCCAUGGGAUAGAGGCGAAAUGGAUGACGUUAAUAUGAAAUAACAAGCACAAUAUAUGGAUGCAAUAGAGGUUCAAUAUCCUACACAGAUUCAAAACAAGGGUAUCUGAGGACUAAUUAAUCAAGAACUCAAGAAAAAGACAUGCAAAAGCCAAGAAACUGGUUUUCCAAAAAUCAAAUGGUCAGAAACAAGGCAGAACAACAAAGGUAAAACAACCUUGGCACCAACUAGCAAUAGCCAGCUACACAUAACACUGAAUACAAUAAGGGAGAAACUAAUCCUUUUGAUUAAACCAACAAAGUUUUGAAUAAACCAACAAACUUUCAGUAGCAACAGUUAGUUAUAAAAUGAAAGUAAUAUACUAUGAAUCCAUCAGACUCGAAGGGUUUGAGGAGCCAGUUCCACUCAUCCAGCCUGUCACACCCCGGUUCUUAAGUUAUUUUACGGUUAUCUUUGGUAUUAUUUUGGUCUUUUACUGUUUACUAUUUUAAGACUCCAAAAGUUGACUUUUUCUUCCAUUUGGACUUUAGGAAAAAUUCCUUCAUGAAAGUCGUAGAGGACAUUAAUACGAGUUCGUAGCAUGCUAUGCGUUAAAUUCGAUGUUUGCAUGACAAAGUUAUCAAUUAAAAGGGUAAACAUUAGUUGGUAAGGGGUAAAUUUUUAUUGGGUUUUAUUUUGUGGGUGUUUUAAGUGUUGGACCGGGUGUGGAGAAGCCCAACACCCACAUUCUCUUUCUCUCUCUCUUCACUCUCUCUCCCGAGCCUUCCCCGAGCUCUCGCUCCCGCCGAAAACUUUCCCAGCGUCGUCCGCGGCCGUCCGGCCACCAUAGACCGCCGCACCGGUCCCAAACGGUCGGCCGUCGACCCAGCUCUCUUCUUGGACCGGUGGGAACCGCCCUAGCUCCGCCGUGAGAGAGGAAAAGCUCUCGGAAGCUCCGGUUGCGUGGUGGAGUCCCGACGCAGGAACUCGCUCCUCCGGCCACCAUCUCCAGUGAUUUCAGUCCCAUUUGGAAGUGCUCUCCGUGUGUAACAUUUCCAUAGAAGGUAAUGAUCCAAUUCGAAGUGUGUAGGAGGAUUUUCGGGCUAGGGUUUGAAUUGGGGGAUUUUUGGAUGUUUUGAUUUGAUUACCCUAGUUAAGCUUAGAAUUGGACUAAGUGCUAGUUAUGAAAGUUGUUAUGCUUGAUGAGAGGAUUAUUCUGUUAAAUUUUGGGAGGCAAUGGGCACCGCCGGAGGUUUUUUUUCAGGUUUUUGGGUUUGUUAUAAUGAGAGGAGUCUAAUGAAGUAUAGUUUGGAAUUUUUGGAGGAGUUUUGAUAAGGUUUGGGAUUUUUAAAAGAUUAAGGAUUUUGCCGGUUAUUAGAAUGAAAAUCCGGCCUUGGAUUUCCUUGAUAUUUAUUAUUGGAAAAUGGGAAAGUAAUUAAGUUUGGUUAGUUAUGUUGCGAUCAGUUACUUGAUUAUUUUUCGUCCACUCACUCUAACGUUUUUAAAUUACUUUCCCUUGGGCCCUUUGGUUUUAAAUUCCCAGUUUGUAGGCUAAGUCUAAGUGAGGUCGAGCGUACAUGGAGUCGAGGCAUAGUCAGAGGCUGCUUCCGCUUAUUCUUUAUUCUUUGUUUUUCUUUCAUUAUAGAUGUGCUCUGAUAACUAUUUGAGAUAGUUGUUAGUUGAUUAAGGUUUGUUGUAUUUUUGGGAGAUGUGUGGAACUUGAGGAGCAGGAAGGCUCCAGGUUGAGGCUGGUUUAUUUGUUUAUAGAAGUGUAAAUUGGAUUUUUCAGGUAAGGGUUGUCCAUUUUCAAGGUAGAUUAUGCCGAAUUUUUGGAAAAUUUUCCUUGGAAGUGAACCCCGCAAGAUUUACCUCGGGUUUCAGGGUAAAUUUUCCAAGGUAGAUUAUGCCGAAUUUUCGUUAAAAUGCUCAAUGAAAUAACCAAUCCAAAUAAUCAACAUAUUUCAAACCUCAAAUCCUUGAAUCAUUAUAAUUAAUAUAACUUAAAAUACCAAAUCUUUUACCCAAGCUCAAAUUCAUAACUUCCUCAAUGAAUUCAUAAUCAAUGGGUCAAUCACACAUAAAUCCCAUAACCAAUUCAAAAGCCGUAAUUAUAAUUUAAGCUUGGAAAAAUGUAUAAUGAACAACUUAAAAAUCAUGCAUGCAUAUUAGUUAAUAACCAAAAUGUCCACUCACAGAAAAACCCGCUACGUCGGUCCGCGGUCAAAACCCUUCUCACGUGGGGUCUCCUCUCAUCCUGUACAAAAUGAGAUUUAAGACCCGAGACAACAAUCACAAAAUUAAUCAAUUAUAAGGAAAAGCUAUCCUAGCACUAAUCUCACUCACCCAAACUUUCCAAAAUCUACUUAUAGCUCUACUUUAUCAACAACUUCCUACAAUACGACGAGGAAUGGACCAAACGAAUGAGCCUCCUCAAUUUCUCCCCUACCAAAACUAAUUCCAACACCAUAUCCCAAAUUUCAAGCAACCAUCUCCAAAAAUCCCCUACACUAAAUCAACAUUAGUCCCUUCUAAAAAUCAUCACCAUGUAAGGCAGCAGCCACCAGCAGUGGCGGUCAACCACCACCACCAUAUCAACUUCAACCAAAACUAGUAAAGCAUAUACCAAUCUCUUCUUCUCAACAAACACAACAACAAUCAAAACUAGCACGAACUCUAGAAAUCAAAGACUUGGCCGAAAAUUACCUCUAAAGCACAACAACACCAAAAAUUCCGAUUUGCCUUCUACUCCGAAUCAUUCUACCACUUUUGGGUGGUUGAAUGGCCAAUCAAUGAGCUAUAAAACCCCUCAAAGAUCACUUGAAUCGGUGGCCGAAAAAAUGGAGUUCUGGCUAGGGCAAGACUCACGACGGCAGCAGCGUCACCGCGCCUCAACACCGCCGAUUCUGGGCCGGUCACCACCCUAGGCUGGACGAGCGGCGUCUCAACUAUCAAACGUGACCCGCGAGGCAGCCAGGCGUGAUCGGACGACGGCGAUCGGUAGGGGAGAGGUUGGACUGGUCUGGGUCGGGGUCGGGGUCGGGGAGAGAGAAGGUGAGGUGCGGUUAUUUCUGUUUUCUAUCUUAACCCAAAAAAAUAACAAGUUUCCCCCCACUUAUACCCCAGCCCAAAAAUGGUAAUUAUCAUUAUUUUAGCUACCCUUCACUUACAAACUCCAGUUCGGGUAACUAAAAGUCUACACGUUUGUCUACACCACCUCUACCGAAAAUAAAAAUAAAUUCCUGAGUUGACAAGCUACAGUUAAAUCGAAAACCACAAUAUAAAAAUAAUUACUAGGUUCGGGGUGUAUCACCACUUGUACCACUACUGCAAACCCACCUCUCGACAUGCAAACCCGACUUCUCCUCUAGCUCAGCAAUUCUGUCACUCAGUUAGCUACACGAAUCGAAGGCGUUGAGAGUCGCGGGAGCCAGCGACCUCUAUUCUCGGGGUAUGGACAUCGCCCAAGUCCCUUCACGGCACGGGUGCAAAUGGAAAAGAGGCCACCCAAGGCCAAGCCUUUCAAAGUGGACAAAUAUAAGGGGACUGGGGACCCUCAUCUCCAUCUCGAAACAUUCCUUUCGUUGUGUAGUUCCACUCGAUACACAGAUGCCAUGGUUUGUCAUGCCUUCUAAGAAACCCUCUCAAAUGAAGCACUCAGUUGGUUCCUCAACCUGCCACACAACUCCAUUGAUAAUUUUAUGAAAAUCUACCGAAAUUUGUAUUCAUGCAUCACUGGUGUCUCCCUUCUUUCUAUUUUCAUAAUGUAUUACAUGCUAUUCAUAUAUUGUAAGUUUGCAUACAUCUAUAUAUAUAAGCGAAGAGUGUUUUUCACUGUUCACGUGAACAGUGACGUGACCCUUUUGUCUUUCCUUUUUAAAUCUUUUUACACCUCUGCCAUUCAGUUCUUAGGUUUUUUUUUUUUUUUUUUNNNNNNNNNNNNNNNNNNNNUUACAAUCCACCCCCCUUCGGGAGUCCGACGCCCUCGUCGGCACACUCGCACCACACGGCAGAGUGGCUCUGAUACCAUUUGUCACACCCCAGGACCCAUUCCGCCGUAACACGAUAUUGUCCGCUUUGGGCCCACCGGCCCUCACGGUUUUGUUUCCGGCAGCUCAGGAGCAGCUUCCUAGUAGGUCACCCAUCUUGGGAUUGCUCUAGCAUCAACAUGCUUAACCUCGGAGUACCCAUCCCCUCCGAAGCCGCUGAGCCACCAAAAGGCCUCGUGUUAGAUUGGAGGUGGGCAUGUAUAUAUACAGCACAUAACCCCUCUCCGUUUGGCCGAUGUGGGAUAUUACAAUAAAAAAUUUGGACCAUUUCUAGAUUUAUGCGUGUCAUCCUUGCGCAGGGGCCAUGCUAAUCUUCUCUAUAUCGUUCCAAUUUUAUCGGAUGUCCACGUAACACGAUAUUGUCCGCUUUGGGCCCACCGGCCCCCACGGUUUUGUUUCCGGCAGCUCAGGAGCAGCUUCCCAGUAGGUCACCCAUCCUGGGAUUGCUCUAGCAUCAUCAUGCUUAACCUCAGAGUACCCAUCCCCUCCGAAGCCGCUGAGCCACCAAAAGGCCUCGUGUUAGAUUGAAGUUGGGCAUGUACAUAUACAGCACAUAACCCCUCUCUGUUUGGCCGAUAUGGGAUAUUACAGUUUAAUUCAUAUAAGGGGUAUGGACACAUAUUUAUACACCCGUCUGUCCACCUUGAUGGCGUAGUGUAGCACCGCAUUAAGGCGUGACGUGAGCGUUGGACGCGAGCGUAGUAGCCCUAUAUAGACCCAUGAAUUUAUAUAGGGAGUAUGGACGAGUGUAAAUACAUACAUAUAUUAUAGAGUCUGAGAGGCUCGAUAUUUUAUGAGAUAAAAGUUUUAUCGCUUGCGGCAUGCAUUCGAUUUUUCCUUAGAAAUUAAUUUGGGGAAACAUAAAUAUUUUAUUUAUUAUUUUAUUUUUUGUCCACUCACUCUAACGUUAUUAAAUGUUUUCCCCUGGGCCCUUCGUUUUAAAUUGCCCAGUCUGCAGAGUUCGGGUUGGAUCUAGUAGGAGGGGAGGCAUAGUCACCCGCAUUUCUGCCAGUUUUCGUUAGUAGGUUACUUGUUCAACCUACUCGUGUUUUCUUGCUUCCGCUAGUGUUUAGUAGCUCUGAAUACUUUGGGAUUAUUGUAUAUUAUGUGUAGAAUUUCUGAAGGAUAAUUAUGUGAUGUUUGGAAGUGCUAAAUUAAGAGUGUAAUUUGGAAUUUUCGAGUUAGGGUUGUCUAUCUGCAAGGGAGAUUUUCUUAAUCUUUUCAGUAAAUUUUCCUUGGAGGUGGUCCUCGCACGACUUACUCCGGGUUUUAGGGUGAAAUUUGGGGUGGGUCGUGUCAUUGACUAUGCCUUUUCUCCAUGUACGCCCGACCUCAACUAUACUAACCUGCAUACUAGGCAUUUUUGAAACGAAGGGCCCAAGGGAAAACAUUUGAAAUUGUUAGAGUGAGUGGACAAAAAUGAAUUUAAUGAAAAAUGUCACGCCCCGGUUCUUAAGUUAUUUUACGGUUAUUUACUUUAGUAUUAUUUUGGUCUUUUACCGUGUUAAGUAACCGGUUACCCCUUAAGGACCCUAAAGUUGACUUUCUUUUCCGUUUGGAUUUUGGGGAAACUUUCUUCAUGAAAGUUGUAGAGGACGUUAAUACGAGUUCGUAGACAUGCUAUGUGUUAAAAUCGGAGUUAGCAUGAAAAAGUUAUUAUUAAAAGAGUAAAUUUUGAGUUAGAAAAGGGGCGUAAUUAUUAAUGGGUAUUAUUUUUUGGUCGGGUUUAUAGCUGGGCCGGCUGUGGAGAAGCCCAAAACCCUCACCCCUCAUUUCCUCUCUCUCCCUCUCUCCCUCACCCGUCACUUUCUCUCCCUCCCUCACCCGUGCAACUUGACCGCCGGAGAAGAGCCUCUGUCCGCUGCCGUCCGGCCGCCAGGGACCGCCGGACCACCUCUACCUGGACCCCCCGCCACCUCCUCUCCCUCCCCGGCCUAGCCCCCGAGCCGUUAGCCCGCUGGAAGAGGAGAAAACCCGCCGGAGACGCCGGGAAGCUUUUCGUCGGAAAUCCCACCUUCGGCCGCCAUAAGUCGAAAUCUUUAACUCAUCUUGUAGCCCUCAUCAAGGUGAGUAAUCCCUCAAAAGGAAUUAGUCUAUCUCGUUGUGGUUAUAGAGAAAUGUAUAAUUGAAGUUUUAGGGAUUUAUGGAUGUUUUGGUUCGAUUGCCCUAGUUAGCCUUAGAAAUGGACUAAGUGCUAGUUAUGAAUGUUGUUGAGCAUGAUGAGAGGAAUAUUCUGUGAAAAUUUGAGAAGUAUUGGAGGUCUCCGGAAAACGGCUGCCGGCCGCCGCCACCGGCAGGGCAGCUGCCGCCGCCGCCCCUUAAGGGCAGUUUUUCCUGUUUUUGAGAUGGUUUUAAUAAGAGGAGUUUAUUGAAAUAUAGUUUGGAAUUUUUGGAUGAGUUUUGGUUUGGUUUGGAAUUUUUCGGAGAUUGGAGAAAAGGCCGGUUAUUAGAAUGAAAAUCCGGCCGUUGGAUUUCCUUGGUAUUUAUUAUAGAAUGUUAGAAUUGAUGAAUUAAGGUUGUGGUGGAGUUUGGUGUGAAUCCGGCAAGUUUAACCCUAUUAAGAGUAGAGGGUUAAACGGAGGAGAGUUAGAUAUUUUAAUUCACGUAUUUAUUUUCUAGAAUUGAAGUUUGGUUCUAAGCAUGGUUGUUGUACCAGGAUGCGAAGGGAACCUCGCUUGAGUGGCGUUGCGGUUAUCGUCGGGCUUAUGCCCAAAUUUCUGAGUGGACAUUUUGGUUUUAAAAAUAAAUAUGCAUGCAAGAUUUUAUAAUCUAUCAUUUUAUUUUCCGAGCAUAUAAUAUAAUUUUUCAGUUCAUGAGAUGAGCUUGAAAAUUAUUUGAGUUUGGUGCAUUUAUUAAGUGUUGGUCAUGAUUUAUGGAGUUGAGCUCGGAUUAUUAUUUUGAUAUUUGAGUUUGGAUAUUUUUAUAAAUUCCGGAUUUCAUUAAAUGGUUUUAAUGGUGGAUUUUGAGAUUUAUAUAAGAUUUCCGAAAAUGGGAUUUUCGGUAGUUUCCUAUUUUUAAUUCUCGAAAUUAUUGGUGGAAUAUCGAUCUUGACUUUGAGUUUUAUAAAUGAUUACCGAAAAUGGGAUUGUCGGUAGUUCUCCUCAUAAUUUAAUUGUUCAUUUGAGGCAUAAUGAUUUUGACUUGGAGAAUAUUUUAGCGAGUAUUUCGGGCGUAGAUACUAUUAUUUAUGAUUCAUAUUUGUUAUUGAAAUCUCGCUUAUAUUUAUAAAUUGGAGAAUAUUUUGACGUGUGAGACACGUCAUUGAGUUGUGUUAUGAUUUCUUCUGAUGAUUUUCAUGUACGGUUGGGAACCGUACCAUUCGUUUGGUCUUGGGGGAAGUUUAAUGGAUUUAAGUGACUUCGUAUGUUUUAGUCACCAUAUUAUAGGGUCGUUUAUCUUAAUUAUUGCUAGCUAAUCUUAUUGGCGGUCCUCAUCAUAUGUGAGUCGCUAUUAUAGCCUUAUUAGCGGUCUUCUUCAUAUGUGAGUAGAGCGCUUAGCAUGGGACGCUAUUAUAGCUUGGGAGGCAACCGAUCGGUAUUUAUAUUUAUUAGUUAGCUAGCCUUAUUAGCGGUCCUCAUCAUAUGUGAGUUGAGCACUUAGCGUGGGACGCUAUUAUAGCCUUAUUUAGUGGUCCUCAUCAUAUGUGAGUUGAGCGUUUAGUGUGGGACGCUAUUAUAGCCUAGGAGGCAUCGACCUGAGCCUGGGAGGCUCCUUUUUCAUGGUGAUAACUCUUCCCCUAUUUUAUUCUUCUCAAUAAUAUAUUUGAUUAACCAGCGGGGCUGGUUUAUCUCCUCUUAUGAGAUUUAUGUUUUAACUAACCAGCGGGGCUGGUUUGUCCUUUAUUAAGUGAUUUUGGAUUUAAAGUUUUAAGGACGUUUAAGUUGCAUGUUGUUAAGUUUUAAAAGUUGAAAAGUGGGAAAGUAUAUAAGUUUUAUAAUUGUUAAGUUACUGAAUUUAUUUUCGUCCACUCACUCUAACAUUUUUAAAUUAUUUUCCCCUAGGCCAUUUGGUUUAUAAAUGCCCAGUUUGCAGGCUAAGUUAUUUGAGGACGAGCGUACAUGGAGUCGAGGCAUAGUCAGAGGCUGUUUCCGCUUAUUCAUUUUCAUUGUUUUCAUUCAUCAUUAGAUAUGCUCUGAAAGUCCAAUAAUAGCUUAUUAAAUGUCUUUGUUGUUGAUUGUGGAAUUAUUAUUAGAUGAGAAAUUGUUAUUGGGAGUUUUGAUGAACUUGGGGAGCAUGAAGGCUCCAGGAGACGAGGAUGGAUGUUUGUUUAUAGAAGUGUUAAGUUGGAUUUUUCAGGAAAGGGUUGUCCAUUUUCAAGGAAGGUUAUGCCGAAUUUUCGGUAAAUUUUCCUUGAAGGUGGACCCUGCAGGAUUUACCUCGGGUUUCAGGAUGAAAUUCGGGGUGGGUCCUGACAAAAAAUAUUUACGCUUUCCUAGUUUAAAUUUCCAUAGAAAAUAUACUGCAUGCGACAGCUCAAAAGCUCUCAACUCAUCAAUUGGCAAUUACAUGACUAGCUCCGGCUAGUCUCCAAACUUAAUAAAAUAAAGCCUCUCAGGCUAAAAUAAUAUAUAUAUAUAUAUAUAUAUGUAUUUACACUCGUCAUACUCUUUGUACGAAUUCCAUGAAGGAAUAAGAAAAAUAGAAAUUCAUACAAGGCUACUACGCUUGUGUCUAACAUUCACGUCACACCGUAAUUGGAUUUUACCUCAUUAUGGCGGAAAAGCACGAGUGUAUAUAUACGUGCAUAUUCCCUAUAUAAAUUACUAAAUUUAUAUAGGGCUAUGACGAUUGUGUCUAACGCUCACGUCACACCAUAAUAGAAUUUUACCUCAUUAUGGCGGAAAAGCACGUAUAGCUAGCUAGCAUUUAUUUAUAUGCAUACUAUCCUCAUAAUCAUCCAUAUACAUAUGCACCGAAAAUCUCAUUUUCAGUAACUCUCCAGAAAGAAUGAAAAUUGCCAAUUAUAAAAGACGCAAUAAAUAUAUGACUCCACCGAAAAUCUCAUUUUCGGUAACUUUCCAAAUAGCGAAGUUAACAAAUAAAAUAAGAGCAUUUACUUCCAAAAAUAACUUCGCGAAAAUAAACAAUUCCACAAAUUGAUAUUCAAUAAAAUCACCGCAUGCUUAUAAUUUAAAACGAACGUCCACUCACAACUUUAGGGAUAAGCCCGACGAUAUCCAAUUUGCUACUUAAGUGAGGUCUCCUCGAAUCUUGGCACAAUAACCAUGCUUAGGACCAAACUUCAAUUUCAGAAAAAAUAAUUCUUAAAUAUAUCACCCAAAACUCUUCCGCCUAGUCCACUACCCUUUCUAGGGUUAAGCUUAUUGGAUUGACGCCAAACUCCACCCAAAGCCUCAAUUCAUUCAUUUCAACAUUCUAAAACAAUAAUAAGGGAAAUCCAACGGUCAGAUUCUACCCCAUUAACCGCCAAAUUCACCAAUCUUUCAAAAAUCUCAAACCUAUCCAAAACUCCUCCAAAAAUUCCAAACUUCACAUCAUUAAACUCCCCUUAAUAUUACACAUUUAAAACCAUGAAAAUCCCCCUAGGGUCGUCUGCUCCGUCGGCAGCAGCGGCCGGCGACUGACUCUGGAGACCCCCAAUGCCUACUAAAUUUUAACAGCUUCAUCCUCUCAACACGCUCUACAACUUUCCUAACUAGCACCAAGACCAAUUUCAAGCUUAACUAGGCCAAUCGAACAAAAACUUACAAUAAAACCCUAGAACUUCAAACACUUGAAUCUCCUUACCUAGGCCAAGAGGGAGUGAAACCUUUGGAGGGAUGAAUGCACGGGAGAAGAGCUUCCUUUUGAGCUAAGUAGCUUCGGCUAUGGCAGCCGGAGGAGGAAGUUCCGGCGACGGAACACCACGGACAGCCCGAGCUUCCAAGCGCGAUUUCUCUUUCACAGCGGCGCUAGGGAGGCUGCCACCGGUCCAAGAAGGAAGAGGAGAUGAUGGCCGACCGUUUGUGACCGGUACGGUGACCUACGGUGGCCGAACGACAGCGGAUUGACGACGGGAAAAUCCGGUAGGAAAGAGGGAGGGCGUCGGGAGGAAAGAGAGAGAGAAGAGAGAAGAAAAGUGUUAGGCUUUUCCCAACCGGUUUCUACCGAAACCAAAUAUAAACCCAACUCCAAAAUAACACCACCAAAAUAAUACCCUAAUAAAAAUUACCUUUUUACUAGCUAAAAUUUACUAUUUUACCGUCAUCAAAUAUUUCUUCUACGAAUCAUUCCUCCGAAAAAAUCGCUCCUCAAAACCCCUCUAGGGACCUUUGAAACUAUAAACUCAUUUAUGAAGACGGUAAAACUCUUAUUAAUACCAAGCUAGUAAAUAAGGUAAAAAUUUAAGAGUCGGGAUGUGACAUGUCUUGUCCGGACCCGUCCCGGAUUUCACCUUGAAACUCGAAGUAAAUCCUGUGGAGUCCACCUCUGAGGAAAAUUUACCGAAAAUUCGGCAUAACCUCCCUUAAAAAUAGACAACCCUUCCUAAAUAAAAACACCUGCAAACACUUCUAAAAGUUCCAACUCCAACCUUAUAACUCCUGGAGCCUUCGUGCUCCCCAAAACACAACAUCUCCCAAUUUAUUUACUAACUUUAACACUUAAAAUCUCACAACCAACAAUCACAGUUCAGAGCAACUCUAUUAGAGGAGAAAAGAACUAGAAAUAUAGAAAUGAGCAGAAGCUAUACUAUUAACUAUGCCUCUUCUCCAUGUACGCUGGACCUCAAUUAUGCUAACCUGCAUACUGGGCAUUUUUAAAAUAAAGGCCCAGGGGAAAACAUUUGCAAACGUUACAGUGAGUGGACAAAAAUGAAUUCAAUAAAAAUUAUUUAUGCAUUCCCAAUUUAAUUUUCAUAGAAAAUAUGCUGCAUGCGACAGCUCAAAGCUUUCUACUCACAAACUGGCAAAUACAUGACUAGCUCCGGCCAGUCUCCAAAACUCAAUAAAAUGGAGCCUCUCAGGCUAAACUAUAUAUAAAUAUAUAUGUGUAUGUAUUUACACUCGUCAGACUCCUUGUACGAAUUCUAUGAAUAAAAUAGAAAAAUAGAAAUUCAUACAAGGCUACUACGCUUGGGUCUAACGAUCACGUCACACCAUAACGGAAUUUUACCUCAUUAUGGCGGAAAAGCACGAGUGUUUAUACGUGUAGACUCCCUAUAUGAAAACCUAUAUGAAUCGGAUAAGAAAGUAGUUUUCAUAUAGGGCUAUGAUGCUUGUGUCCAACACUCACGUCACGCCGUAAUAGAAUUUUACCUCAUUAUGAUGGACCAAGCACGUAUGGCUAGCUAGCAUUUAUAUACAUACUAUACUCAUAAACAUCCAAUAUACAUAUCCACCGAAAAUCUCAUUUUCGGUAACUCUCCAAAAGAUGAAAAUUGCCAAAUAUCAAAAAAAGCAAUAAAUUUCAGCAGAAGAAUAACUGAUCAACAAUAGAAUGCAUCGCAUGCUUUUAAUUAAAACAAAAGUUCACUCACAGUGAUUCUGUUGCAUUUGCUGUCAAGACAAGACAACGAAGACGAGCUCGGAAAAUCCUCCUAUUCUUUUUCGAUUUAACCCCCUUCUUUCACUUCUAAGAAUGCACAGUAAAGUCCCUAAUAAAAACUAAAGGGUAAGAGAACAAUAUAACCAACUCCCCUUCAUAACCAUUGAAACCAAUUCUCUUAUAUCCUUUUAAUUAAACAAACACACACAUGACUCCCAAAACAAUAAUACCCUUAACUACCAUUUAACUUAGGAGAUUCACCUCUCGGUCAAAAUGGCAAAUGCACCCAAAAUACUCUUUGCAUUCAGAAGUUUUCAUUGUGCACCCAAACCUUUCCUCUAGUCCAAGCCUACAUGCAACCCCACAAUUCCAUAAUUAUAUUCAAAACUCACAACACAAUUCCGAAUUCAAUAGCCGAGAAUUAAAACCUUCUCACCUUGCGGUUUCAAAAGAUUAACACACGGUGCUCCUCCAAUUACUCUUUGCACCCAAAGUGGAAAUUAGCAUCCAACACCAAUCUUCAUUUGCUACACUGCCCUCCACCAAAACUAAACCCAAUAAUAACAUUAACUCCAUCUCCCUAUCCAACACCAAUCUUUCUAACUGUUAAUUUGCUGCCACCUAUUAAUGUAAAAACACUUGAAGUUUAUCUUCCAGUGCCAGUAGUUGUUUUUAAACUUGAUGCCCAAGUUUAAGCUGCUCACUCGGCAGCUAUUUGCAACCCACAAGUCUGAUUGAGGUUUUCAGACUUUCACUUGUGAUUGGCUGCAUGUAGUCAUGUGUUAGGCAUAAGCUAGCAAGUAGGUGAACCAGCAUUUCAAAUAAGACAAAGCAGCAAUCCAAAUUAUUGUUAUUAUUAUUAUUAUUAUUUUUUUUUUAAGUUUGGGGUUUCACAGAACGUCACGGGGUUAAGACUUAACAUGGAUCUCCUGGAAGAGCGCCGCGACAGGGUACACCUCAGGAAUGUCAACUACAAACAAAAGAUUGCUCAACACUACACCAAGAAAGUUGUUCCCCGCCCCCUAAAGGUAGGCGAUUGGGUUAUGAAGGAAGUCAUUCCCCACCCCACUGGACUCAAAUCAAAGUGGGAAGGCCCUCUCGAGAUAGUCAAUGCCUCAGGACCAGCUACAUUCUAUCUCCGGGACACUGAUGGCUGAGUACUACCCCGCACCUGGAACGCUCUCCACCUCCACCUCUACCCCAUUUAAAUUAACAGACCCGGCAUAGUAGCUAGUACUUCAUUAUUGUGUACUUCAACCCGUUAGUGGCUCACAUUAAGUGUACACCUUGCCCAUUAGCGGCCUACCCUAAAUGAAGAUGUUAUGUUUUUUAUCAUUUUUAUAACAUACCGUAUCAAGAACACGAAACAACAAAGCAAACAGUAGUCCACAAACAAAAGCAUUCAUUAAAACAAAUAAGAAUCAACAUGGACUCCUAAGCAAUGCAUAAAAAACAAAUUGUUCAGAUGGCUAACAUUGUUUUACAAGCAAACAAAAGAAAGCAAAUAAACCUAACAAUAACAGCAAAUUACAAAGCAUCAUCAUUUCUCCCCAGAGGACGCGCCACUUGACUUAUUCACGCUUCUGCCACUCCUUGAACCGCUACCACACCCACGACUGUGGCUGAUAUUCACCGACACCCUCUGUCCAUAAGCAUGCUUAGAGCGGUCACGUGACGUUGGUGGAGGCCUCACUGAAACAUUAGGGCGCACCAGGGAACUCACUUGUUGCACCUCAGUGAUAGGGGACUUGCUCGCUGAGGUCUUUUGCACUUCAGAACGCGGUGGCGCCACAAGUCUAGGUGCUUGAGGGAUAGUUGGUUCAAUAACAGAGGAUGUGACCUGAGAUACCACCACUUGAGCAGAAGGGGAUCCCUCAGGACGCGAAGCCCUUAGUGGAGAAGCAACGAUCACCGCAAGUGGCUGAGGCGUACCCACAGUAGGAACUUCUUUUGGCACGGCAGAGGAUGUAGCGCGCUAGGCCUCAUGCUGCUUAGCCAGAGAUCAAGAGAUCUCAGCUUGCUUCCUUUGCUCUGAGGUCAUCUGUUCCCAAGCCUUCUUCGCCACAUCCCUCUCGGCAUACCACUUGCGGAUGGCCGCUUCAUUUAUCCAGCCAAUUUGGCACCAGUCUUGCUUAGCUCAUCUUGUCCCCGGUUAUAAGCGCUCCUCAGUUGCUGCUUACACACUUCACUCUCCCGAAACACCCUCUCCCCAGCCCCAGCAGCCCUUGCACACUUCAGCUUCCACACUCUCUCUUACUUCGCCAGGGCUUGCGUUAACCUCGCCACCUCAGCUUCCAGAGACACCGCCUUGGCAAUGGCCACCUCCCCAGCCUCCACCUGCUUGUUUUUCUCCUGCACAGCUUCCUUCAACUCAGCCACCUCCUUCCCAGAUGCAGCAGCCUGAUCUCGGAAGAUAGCAACAUCUUGCUCCAGACGCUGCGAGAGGGCUCGGUUAUUCUCUUCCGCCUCCCUCAACUGCUGGCAUUUAGCCUCGGCAUCCCCCUGCAAGUGAGCAACAACCCUCUCACUUGCAGCAUACAUCAGCAGCGUCGCCUGCAGACAGCACCAAAAUGUAAGCAAAAAGGCAGGGAACUAAAGGACAAAAUGACCAUUGUGCACACUUACCCGAGUUAGUUUCUCCUUGGCAAGAGCUACACAAGCUAGAGGAUCAAUCUCCUCCAUGCAUGGAUGUCACGAGAGCGGUGACACAUGUCAUAUGCCAUCUGAGCUAGGGAAGGCUGCACCUCCCCGGUCCCCUCUAGAGCUUGGGUGAUCUCGGCCAGGCUCCCCAAGCUCUUGGAACGCCCCUCCUUACGGGACUUCUUUGGUUGGCCUUCACGUGACGACUCGACCCUUUCUUUCCUCUUUCGGGUCCUUGUCAUGACAACCUCUUCUUACCCUUGCCCAAUGGGUUCCACCUCCUUCACCACAACAUCCUCGCCACCAGUUUGGGGCUCACCCACAUUACCCAAAGACGUAUCUUCCACUCCUACUGGCUCCGCAUAAGCUCUUCCUCCACCGGAACCUGCUCAUGAUAGUCCCCGUGGUCGCCACCCUCAGUGUCCGUUUCCUCGUCAUUCACCUCUUGAUCACCCAAGCCCAUAUAUUGCUUCUGCCACCAAGGGAGGCAAAUAAGCAUAAUCCUCGUCCGCCAGCUUCAACCUCAAAAAAUCAUCCUCACCCUCAUCCAGCUCCACCUCUUUCCUCUCGCUAGUCUCCAAGUCGAUAUCGUACCGCUUGACAUGAUCAACCUUGGCACGUAACCCAUCCAGUACGUCCUCAUCCGACACCUUGUCAUAAGGACCUUCCUUCUUCCGCGACCCACCGUCCCGAGGCAUUGUCACUACACCAAACAAAAGAUGAGGAUCAAGUAGAGACCAGAAAGCAUAACCGAAAUGACUAUAUAUGCCAAGGCAGCAUAUCCGAUACGAGCUCCUAGACUCGAAUGCCCACAGCACCCGGCGUAUUCGACGCUCCAUCAGCUCGGUUAAUUUAUACUCUUGGGGCAUGACUUGUAUACAAUUCAUGCAAGCGAACGUAUCGUUGUCAAGAUAGGGAAGUAUUUGUGCCCAAGUUAUCGUACCAUGGGGAUUAGUGGCUAACCCACAAUCCUAAGCUAAUCGGAACAAAAGUCACUAAGCAAACAAAGAAAAAGAAAAAAAAUACUACUCUAAAGCACCAAGCCUUAGCAAUGCUCGGCCUCAGUUAUCACCAAAGCCUAAUCAAUACUAAAUGCCUAGUGAUGGGUAAUUACAAUGAGUCGAUAUAUAAAAUGGAGAUUGAAUGGGGAAUUAACUAAAUUGACGAAAAACUAAAUAAAAAUAAACUACUAACUAAUGAACUAGAGAAUGAUGAGAACAUGGGAGUGUCGGGUGAUUCACACUAACUCAUAUGCAAACAUCGAUACCAAUUUCACAAAUGCAUAUCCUAUUGUAUCAAAUCCCGUAUCUAAUACCGGUUAAGGCUACUAGACCAAUUAUCCUUUCGGUGUAUCGAUUAUGCCGGUUAAGGCCACAAUCAACUCUCUAACAUGGGCAUUACAUCGGUUAAGGCCGUAACAUCCAAAUUAGAGGCCUAGAGUGCAAGAUAAUAGAGACCCAAGCAAGCUUAGCUACAAUCAAGCUAGCUAAUGGUUACCACACUUCAAAUCCUAGAUGCACAAGACUAAUAAGUUGUCAAUUUAUCAAUCUAUCCAUCAAAUUGUCCACAACAUAAUCUCAAAGGGUGACAAAACCUAGAAACAUAUUUCUAAGGACCAACACAUUCAGAUUCAAAGCAUACACAAUGUAAAUUGCAUUUAUAUCAAUCAAAGUACCAACAUUAUACAAAAUGAGUUUAGGGCUUCAAUACCCUAACUCCCAAAAUUAAAUCACUCACAACCCAUAGUCAAAUAGAUCAUCAAUAGCAUAUAAGUUAAAUAGCUAUCAUUCUAGCAUUGGUAUGGCGCCCUUUGAGGCUCUUUAUGGGAGGCAGUGUCGUACGCCUUUGUGUUGGAAUGAAGUAGGGGAAAAAGAGCUUUGUGGCCCAGAGUUAAUCCAUGUUACGAAUGAGAAGAUUAAAGUGGUUAGAGAUAGACUCAAGACUGCUCAGAGUAGGCAGAAGAGUUAUGCGGAUGUCCGUAGGAGAGAUCUUGAAUUUCAAGUGGGUGAUUGGGUGUUCCUGAAAUUAUCUCCUUGGAAAGGGGUUGUGCGUUUCGGUAAGCGUGGGAAGCUUAGUCCGAGGUAUAUUGGCCCUUAUGAGAUUAUAGAGCGAGUUGGCUCACUUGCUUAUCGAUUAGCUUUGCCUCCAGAGUUAUCCCGGAUACAUAAUGUGUUUCAUGUAUCCAUGCUUCGCAAAUAUAUUGCCGAUCCUUCUCAUGUGCUGCAAGAGCAGCCGAUCAGUUUAACGAGAGAUUUGACCUAUGAAGAGGAACCGGUUCAGAUUCUCGACCGAAAGGAGCAAGUGCUUAGGAAUAAGACAAUCCCGCUUGUCAAGGUUCUGUGGAGAAGUCAUCAAGUAGAAGAAGCUACUUGGGAAUCAGAGGAGCAAAUGAUGCAGCAGUAUCCGUAUCUCUUCGGAUGACAUGUAUGUUAAUUUCGAGGACGAAAUUUUUAUAAGGAGGGGAGAAUUGUCACAUCCCGACCCUUAUAUUUUUACCUUAUUUACUAGCGUGAUUAUUAUAAGAAUUUUACCGUCCCAGUCAUGGAGUAAAUAGUUUAAUUGGUCCCUAGAGGGGUUUCGGGGACGAUUAUGUGCGGAGGAUAAUUCGUAUGGGGAAAAUACGACGACGGUAAAAAUAGUAAAUUUUAGCUAGUAAAAGGUAAUUUUUAUUCGGGUAUUAUUUUUCGGGGUGUUUUUAUUUUUGGAAGUUUGGGUUAAGUGUUGUGGACUGGGUUGGGGUGAGGCCCAAAACCCUUUUUCUCUUCUCCCUCUCUCCCGAUUUUCUCUCCUCCCACCCGGUUUUCCCCUCUCUACACCCAGAAGAAUUUCCGGCCGUCCUUCCGCCGCCGUCCGACCUCCGUUCGCCGCCGGACCGGUCCCGUUCGGUCGGUCUCCCUCCCAGCAACAUUUCUAGACCGGUGAGAGGAGCCCUAGCUCCGCCGUGAGAGAGCGGUGCCACCCGAAAGCUCCGACUGCCGAAUCGGUUUUCUCGCCGGAACUUCCUCCUCCGGCCACCAAUCCGGGCAAGCUUGGUACGGUUUUGUAGCCCUCCUCCCGUGCAACAACCCCUCCAAACAGCUCCCUCCCUCUUGAGCUAGGUAAGGAGAAAUUUGAGGUGGAAGUUUUAUGGUGUUUAAGUUGUUUUCGUUCGAUUAGCCUAGUUAGGCUUGGAAUUGGGUGAUGUGUUAGUCAUGAAAGUUGUAGAGGAGAUUGAGAGGAAGAUUCUGUUAAAAUUUGGUAGCAUUUGCAGGUUGCCGGAAAACGGCUGCCGGCCGCCGCUGCCGGCGCCGGCGCCGGUUAGGAGAUUUUUAGGGUUUUAAAUGUGGAAUAUUAAGAGGAGUAUAUUGGUGUGAUUUAUGGAAUUUUUGGAUGAGAUUUGGUUAGGUUUGUGAAUUUCCGAAGUUUGGUAUUUUUGGCGGUUAAUUAAUGUAGAAUCCGGCCGUAGGAUUUAAGUCGUAUUUUGGAGAGGUUGUAUUUACGACUGUUGAGUAUGAUAUUUAAGUUCGGAUCGUUCCGAUGUAAGAAUAUCGAAGUUAGGCAAUGAUGAGCGUAAUUAUGGCUCUCGGGUAAUUUUGCCUAUUUUGAUUAAAUAUUGGAUUUUUUUGGUUGGGAAUUAAUAUUAUAUUUGGAACAGGACGUGAGGAGGCUCGAGCAGACGAGACCCCAGAUCGGCAUCAGGCUUAGGCCUAAUUUGUGAGUGGACGUUUAUUUUAAAUAAAUGCGUGCUAAAGUUCACGAUUGAAUAAUUAAUGUCGUGGAGUAUUUUGACGUCAUUUUAAUUUUUGACGAUUUUUAUUUCUCGCGGAGAGAUACCGAAAAUGGGAUUUUCGGUGGAUAUAAAUAUGUAUUUAUGAGAGAGUAUGUAUAUAAAAUGCUAGCUAGCCAUAUGUGUCUGUCCACCUUAAUGGCGUAGCAUGUAGCCGCAUUAUGGUGUGACGUGAGCGUUGGACGUAAGCGUAGUAGCCAUAUUUGAGUGUUUAAUUCAUAUAGGGGGUAUGGACACAUAUUUAUACACCCGUCUGUCCACCUUGAUGGCGUAGUGUAGCACCGCAUUAAGGCGUGACGUGAGCGUUGGACGCGAGCGUAGUAGCCCUAUAUAGACCCAUGAAUUUAUAUAGGGAGUAUGGACGAGUGUAAAUACAUACAUAUAUUAUAGAGUCUAAGAGGCUCGAUAUUUUAUGGGAUAAAAGUUUUAUCGCUUGCGGCAUGCAUUCGAUUUUUCCUUAGAAAUUAAUUUGGGGAAACAUAAAUAUUUUAUUUAUUAUUUUAUUUUUGUCCACUCACUCUAACGUUAUUAAAUGUUUUCCCCUGGGCCCUUCGUUUUAAAUUGCCCAGUCUGCAGAGUUCGGGUUGGAUCUAGUAGGAGACGAGGCAUAGUCACCCGCAUUUCUGCCAGUUUUCGCCAGUAGGUUACCUGUUCAACCUACUCGUGUUUUCUUGCUUCCGCUUGUGUUUAGUAGCUCUGAAUACUUUAGAAUUUUUGUAUAGUAUGCGAUGUUCAGAAGUGAUAAAUUAAGAGUGUAAUUUGAAAUUUUCGAGUUAGGGUUGUCCAUCUGCAAGGGAGAUUUUCUUAAUCUUUUCAGUAAAUUUUCCUUGGAGGUGGUCCCCGCACGACUUACUCUGGGUUUCAGGGUGAAAUUCGGGGUGGGUCGUGUCAUCGGAGCUAUUUUUAAUAAUAUUUGGAAGUUGGUAUUAUCCAGAAAUUUAUUAAAAAUAAUAUUCUAAGUCGGUUUAAUCUCAGCCGUUAGAUUGGGAAUACAUAUACGUUUGGGUUAGAUUGUAAAACAGAAGAACCGAGCUUGGACCGACUCGGUCUCGAGUUGCGAUUCCUCCUCCGUCGAGCGGCUGUCUCUCGACAUCCAACCGGUGGCCAGAGCUCCAUAUCGUCGUCCCCAACAUGACUGUGUUGUUAGAUUUCCAAAACAAGCUCGGAGAAGGGAGAAUCGAGUAGAAGAAGGAUUUCUGGGUUCGCCGGUGAUCUUCGGAUUCCGGCCACGGCGGUGAGCAUGAACGGUGCUGGUAGCUUUGCCUCAACUCCCUGAACAUCGUUGUGCUAUUGGUUUUUGAAUAGAAGCCUUGAGGAGGGAGAAUCGAACCUCAAAAGUUUUUAGGGUUUUCCGGUCGUGUUCUUCAUUUUCCGGCGAGCUUCAAGUAUCAAUUCAGGUAUCAAAGUUGGUCCAUUUGUCGAACUCUACCUGUUUAUAUGCUUGAAUUCGAGUUUGAUUAAGUUUUGGAGAAGUUGGUGUUUGGGCAGACGUCAGCCGCCGUGAGUACUGCUGUGUACGGCGAUGACAGGUGGUGGUUCUUGUAGUUUCUGGUUUUUCAUAGUAUACUGAUUGUGGAGGGAUGCUUUGAUAUGUAUUUGAAUGGCAGGAGAUUGAAAAUUGGAUGAAGUGGGUUUUGGGGCAGUGUUGUUCGGUGGCGAAAAUGAUGGUUGAUAGUUCUGGGUUUGGUUUAUGUUUUGGAUGAAAUUGCAGGACAUGAUGUUGGUGUUGUAUAUGCUUGAAGUCUAGAAAUGGAAGAGUUGGGAAGUAGAGGAUUCAAGUCGAAUUGUGUUGUUGGAAUGAAGAACAGUAGUGUUCUUCUAUUCAUUGAAGUGCUUGAAUUCAAGAGUUUGAAAGUUGAUAUCGGCAAAAUAGAACAUGGGUGUCCAUAGUAGAUUUGGAGUCAAGUUGGUACUUGGAGCGCAAUUUGGAUAUGAUGACGGCAUUGAGCGUAAAGGCGAAUAAGAAUGUGGAAAUAAAUUGAAAUGAGUACAUUUGAUUCGGAAAUCAUUGGAAAAGAAAAAGGAUUCGGUACGAGGAUCGAAUGCGAGUAGCUGGAUUGCAGAAGGAUAAGGAUUUCUGAAUGUGUGUUGCAAAGUUACUAAUUUUAGCUAGUGUCAGAAGUAGCACUUGGAUUCCAGGUAGGGUCUCUCUCGGGGAACUUUUCUUUAAAUCGGUAAUUAGAUUUUAAUUGAAAUGGGUGAUUUGUGUGUCAUUGAGUGAUUAACUCUUGGUUGUUACCAUUUUCGAUAAAAGUAUGUGAUAUCGUUGAAAUAUAUGAACGAUGUUUUCGCUUAUCAGAAAAGAAUGUAUUGAAUGUUAUGAUAUGAGUAUUGAUAUUUGUUGCAUACAUUUUGCAUUGUGAGAAAUUGUGAGAUUAGUGAGAAUGGUGAUUAUGGAGAUGUGAAUGAGAUUUGAUAGAAUGGAUACAUUUUGUGUAGUUGAGUUUCCUGAUGGGUUGUCCAAGAUCCAAGGUAGCCCACACGUGCACAAAUUCAGGGAAUGUAUGCCUUUCGAUGGCAGACAUCGACAAAACGAUCUUAUCGGGUUUCGGGUUUGGAGGCCAUGAGUAUAACAAGAUGACUAACAAAAGAGGUACAAGCGGUGAGAUAUUACUGAUUGUUAGAUCAUAUAUUCGAGACAUCUGAGUCACCCCCGGUUGGUAAAAUACACGGUAUGGGACGUGUAGGCUCACAUGUCUUUGAUGUAUGGACUGAAUGCCAGUAAUCGAGGAAGUCAUUCAUUAGCAUAAAUGCAUCAAAUUUUCGUUAUAUAUUUAAAGUAUUGUUUGAUUGUUUGAUAACUUGUUUGUGCGAAGUAGUUAAGAAUAACUUAAGAAGGUUAGGCCCUACUGAGCGUAAGCUCACCCCUAUAGAGUUUUUGUUCAGGUUUGUACGAGGACACAUGUUUCUAGAAGACUAACUGUGACGUUAGCUUAAGUGUACAAGAGACGAGAAGUACUGAAGAUUAGAAGCCUCAAGACCUAUUUUGUUUUUGUAAUUGGUUUUGUUAUUUGUAAACGUUUUAUUUUCUUUUAUUUCUGGAAAAGUAGUUGAAAUUUGUAUUAUUUUUUUUACUUUUCCCGCUCACGCCUCGGGUUCGGCGUCAGGUGCUUGGAAACCACUGACACCGGGUUCGGGGUGUGACACCACACGUAUAUACACCCAUCCUCUUCGGUCAUAAUGAGGAAAAAUUUGAUUAUGGCGUGACGUGAGCGUUAGAUGCAAGACUCGUAGCCUUGUAUGAAUUUCUAUUCUUCUACUUUGUUCAUAGAAUUCAUACAAGGAGUCUGACGAGUAUAAAUACAUACAUAUAUAUAUAUAUAUAUAUAUUUAUGUAUAGUUUAGCCUGAGAGGCUCCAUUUUAUUGAGUUUUGGAGACUGGCCGGAGGUAGUCAUGUAUUUGCCAGUUUGUAAGUAAAAAGCUUUGAGCUGUUGCAUGCAGCAUAAUUUCUAUGAAAAUUAAAUUGGGAAUGCAUAAAUAUUUUUAUUGAAUUCAUUUUUGUCUACUCACUUUAACGUUUGCAAAUGUUUUCCCCUGGGCCUUUAUUUUAAAAUGCCCAGUAUGCAGGUUAGCAUAGUUGAGGUCGAGCGUACAUGGAGAAGAGGCAUAAUCAAUAGUAUAGCUUUCGCUUAUUUUUAUAUUUCUAGUUCCUUUCCUCUCAAUUAGAGUUGCUCUGAACUGUGAUUGUUGGUUGUGGGAUUAUUCUUAUUAAAGUUAGUAAAUAAAUUGGGAGAUGUUGUGUCACACCCCGGUUCUUAAGUUAUUUUACGGUUAUUUACUUUGGUAUUAUUUUAGUCUUUUACCGUGUUGAAUAACCGUUUAUUACCUAAGGACCCUAAAGUUGACUUUCUUUUCCGUUUAGAAUUUGGAGAAACUUUCUUCAUGAAAGUUGUAGAGGACGUUAAUAUGAGUUCGUAGACAUGCUAAGUGUUAAAAUCGGAGUUAGCAUGAAAAAGUUAUUAUCUAAAAGAGUAAAUUUUUGAGGUGGUAAAAGAAGGUAUUUUUUUAGUGGGUAAAAUUUAUUGGGUUUAAGGGUUAUGGAUUGGCUGUGAGCAGCCCAUAUCCUCCUUCACUCUCUCUCUUUCUCCCUUCCCUCUUUUCCCCGAGCUCCCCGAGCCCCUCUCCGCCGGAAGCUCCCAGCCACCAGCUGCCAUCGUCCGGCCAGCGUUCGGCUGCUGCUCCAGCCCAGUUCGGACCCCCAUCUCCUCCUCUCCCUCCCCGGCCUAGCCCCCGAGCCUCUAACCCGCCGGAAGAGGAGAAAACCCGCCGGAGACGCCGGGAAGCAUUUCGCCGAAAAUCCCAUUUCCGGCCACCAAAACUUGCAAUUCUUAGCUCAUUUUGUAGCUCUCAUCAAGGUGAGUAUCCCCUCAAAAGGAAUAAAUCUUUCUCGUUGUGGUUACGGAGAAAUGUAUAAUUGAAGUUUUAGGGAUUUUUGAUGUUUUUAGUCGAUUACCCUAGUUAGCCUGAGAAUUGGACUAAGUGCUAGUUAGGAAAGUUGUUGUGCUUGAUAAGAGGAUUAUUCUGUUAAACUUUGGUAGAAAUUGGAGGUCGCCGGAAUCGGCCUCCGGCCGUCGCUGCCGGCCGAGCCGGCGCCGGCGCAGGAGCUGUUUGGGAGAUUUUAAUGUUUUUAGAUUUGGAAUAUUAAGGGGAGUUUAUUGAAGUGAGUUAUGGAAGUUUUGGAUAGGUUUGUGAAUUUCCGAAGUUUGGUAAUUUUGGCAGUUAAUUAAUAUAGAAUCCGGCCGUAGGAUUUAAGUCGUAUUUUGUGGGAAGUUGUUUUUACGGCUGCCGGUAUGUUCGGUGAAGUUUGAACCGUAUUGAGUUAAGAAUGGCGAAUUUGGGCAAUGAUGAGUGUGUGGGAGGCUCACGUUUAAUUUUGCCCAUUUUGUUCAAUUAUUGGAUUUUUGGUGGGAAAUUAAUUAUAUAUUUGGAACAGGACGAGAGGAGGCCCGAGCAGAGGAAGCCUCGGAGCGUCAUCAGGCUUAGGCCUAAGUUGUGAGUGGACCUUUAUUUUAAUUGAAAAGCAUGCGAUGAAUUAUCUGUUGAUCAUUUAUGUCUUUUCCUGAGAUUUAUUUAUUUCUCGGAUAUUUGGCAAUUUUCCUCCUUUGGAGAGAUCCCGAAAAUGAGAUUUUCGGUGGAUAUGUUUAUUGGAUGUUUAUGAUGAUAGUAUGUAUAUAUAAAUGCUAGCUAGCCAUACGUGUUUGAUCCGCCAUAAUGAGGUAAAAUACCAUUAUGGUGUGACGUGAGUGUUAGACACAAGCGUAGUAGCCCUAUAUGAAAAAUAUUUUCUUAUUUGGUUUAUUUAAGUUUUCAUAUAGGGAGUCCACACGUAUAUACACUCGUGCUUUUUCCGCCACACUGAGGUACAAUUCUAUUAUGGUGUGACGUGAGCCUUAGACGCAAGCGUAGUAGCCUUGUAUGAAUUUCUAUUUUUCUAAUUUGUUCUUAGAAUUCAUACAAGGAGUCUGACGAGUGUAAAUACAUACACUUAUAUAUGUUUAUAUAUACUUUAGCCUGAGAGGCUGUAUUUUAUUAAGUUUUGGAGACUAGCCGGUGCUGGUCGUGAAGUUGUCAGUUUUUGAGUUGAGCGCUUUUGAGUGAUUGCAUGCAGUAUUAUUUUAUUUGGAAAUUAAAUUGGGGAAGCAUAAAGAAAUACUUUUAUUUUAAUUUAUUUUUGUCUACUCACUCUAACUGUUCCACAUGUUUUCCCCUGGGCUCUUCGUUUUAAAUUGCCCAGUCUGCAGAGUUCGGGUUGGAUCUAGUAGGAGGCGAGGCAUAGUCACCCGCAUUUCCGCCCGUUUUCAUCAGUAGGUUACAUGUUUAACCUACUCGUGUUUUCUUGCUUCUGCUAGUGUCUAGUAGCUCUGAAUACUUUGGGAUUAUUGUAUUUUAUGUUUAGAAUUUCUGAAGGUUAAUUAUGUGAUGUUUGGACGUGUUGUAUUAAUAGUGUAUUUUGGAAUUUUCGAGUUAGGGUUGUCCAUUUUCAAGGGAGAUUUUAUCAAUCUUUUCAGUAAAUUUUCCUUGGAGGUGGUCCCCGCACGACUUACUCCGGGUUUCAGGGUGAAAUUCGGGGUGGGUCGUGUCAUGUUGUGAUGUGGGCAGCACGAAGGCUCUAGGAGUAGAAGGUUGUAGAUGGAUUUUUUUGAAGUGUAUGCAUGUAUUAUUAGGAAGGGUUGUCUAUUUUCAAGGGAGGUUAUACCGAAUUUUUUCGGUAAUAUUUUUUUUGGAGGUGGUCCCCGCAGGAUUUACUUCAGGUUUCAGGGUGAAAUUCAGGGUGGGUCUUGACACAGAAGCUGAAGAUACUAGGAGCUGAAAAUACUUACCUGUCUUCCGUACCGUCUCUCCCAAACAGGGCCAAACAAACUAGAUGGCAAAUCCACAACCCAACCUCUGCCGCUCAGAUUGGGCCUGACACGAAGUACGUUCUCGCCCAUCCAACGACACCGCCUCAAGGAUGUGUCGUCGAACUGGGCAUGCACUAUGAACAAGGGGCUGCUAGAUAGGGUUUUGAAGAGAAAAGUCUCUUUGUUUUAUCAAUUCUUGUUAAAAUUUGUAGCCCUGAUUUGAUGUCAACAGGUGAAAUCAAUCCUAAAAAUUAAUCAAAUAGUAAUUAAUCAGAGAUCUCCAAUGACCUAAUGUAUGGAUUUGUUACUAAGACAAUUGCGGUAACAAAAUUUGGGUACAAGGUUGGUUGUAACAGCUUGGAAACAGUCCCGCAUUGAUCAAAAAGAACAAAUUGUUUUUUUUAUGGAAGGGCCCUUACGACCAAUUUCAUUGAUCAAAAGCCAAAAUGGCGCGGAUACAUGCUUUCCCUUGCCAAACGUUUGGGAAAGUUAAUGACUUGACAUGGCAUGCUAGUACCAUUCAUUACAAAUUCCACUCACUUAAUUCGAUACAGAAAAGAAAAAAGUGAACCUAAUUAGACCAUGAAACAAAUCACAACAAUUAGGCACACACACAAAAUGCUUAGACUCCUAAAAAAGGAAUUAUUGUAAAUAGACAAGCUACAUACUUAGAAAAUGAGCUAAGGCAUGAACCCUAGCCCAAAUCUAGGCCCAAGCAACUCCAAAAUGGCCCAACCCAAAGCUCGAACAAGGGAGACCCAUGCCUGCAUCCACCACACCCUUUGCCGUCACUACUUCCCAAAGCAUCUUUGAAUCCUUCGUCCACGCCAUCGCCAUCCGAAACGAGUCAGAUCCACCAUGACCCUUACCACACAUGACAACAGCCAUGAUACCAUCAAUUUGCACCGAUCCAACAAGCUUCGCUGUCGACAAUAGAUAGCAAAAAAAUUCUGACGAAAACACGCCGUCGCAAUGCUCAGAUGAAAACAUGCCGCCGCAGGACUCAAAGCCAACAAGCCCCGAUCCCUUCGCUCAAAACUUCAAGCCAAAAAAACCAUGAAGAAACUACUUGGCAACUUGUAGAUCCCGUCCGACGGUCUCUACUCGGAGUCAUCAAAGCCCAAAGGCCAGCCUCUAACCGAGUUCGGCCACCGGAUGAGAUGGAGAUUUGGGUGUGGGAGUCGAGUGUCUUUCGGUUAUGUGUCUUGACCUAAUCGUUUCUUUAUUAUAAUAGAUUACAACAAAAUAACAAAAUGACAUGACAUGGACAAAGAAAAACGUGGUGUUAUAAGAAGUACAACACGAACAAUCAUAGAAAGUGCCAUAUAAGUUGAAGAAGCGGAGACACCAAUGCAAAGAGGAGUUAGCUACACUUCACUAGACUACAGAUUACAGAAUAAAUACAUAGAGCGAGGGAGUGUGUGAGGAAGAAAAGGGAUCAUGUUCCAUUGCCAGCCAAUCGUUCAUAAAUAUACGUCCCCCAUCUUUGUAAUUACCCAAAAAGCCCACUUCAAAGCUGGCACACCCAAACCUCAAAAACUUAAAUAAAAAAUAAUAAUAAUAAAAAGAAAAUAGAAACGGGAUGUUGUGGACUGUAGGAGCACUCUGCACUCCUAUUGAAGAAGCACCGCCCAAUUACUAAACUAGCAGCAUUUUUUCAGUCUUAGACCUAUUUUUGAAAGAUAAUAGUAAUUAAAAAUAAAUAGAAUAAUAGUUUUGGGAUUUGAGUAGUGCCCCCAGAUUAUGUAUUACAGAAAACAACCAAAUGGAGUGGCGCCCAUGUUCUAGUCAAUAUCAAAAUUCCCCACUUGGUCAAUCACCAAACCCCCGCUCUCUCUCCACUGCCCUACUCCCCUCGUCCCCUCACUAUCUUUAAGAUCAUAGCAAUCCCACAUCACAUAUCAACAUGCUUAACUGAUUUCUGAAAUUCUAGGGUUAUAAAAAAGUAACCCAACAUUUUUCUAUUUAACCCUUUCCCAAAAAAAUCAACUCUAAACUUUGAUUGAUCGUAACUUUAUCGUACGACAUCCGUUUUACGCGUGCCACAUGUCUACGAACUCGUAUCGCCGUGCUCUACAAAUUCCGUGAAAGAAGUUUCUUGAGAAACCCAAUGAAUAAAAAGUCAACUAAAAAGUCAACCAAAUAAAAUAAAUAAAUAAUAAUAGAAACUAGUAUCUAAAUUCCGGGGUAUUACAUGUACUCUUGGUUUACCUUAUGUGAUGUUGGGUUGAGUCCGUUAAUGUAGAUUUACUCAUACGACCUGUUAAAGCUUACCGGGUUUGUUGUUUAUAACCCGGUGCACUAAUUCAUGAUGUAGGGGUUAUACCUGCAAGUGAUGAUCAGCAGGGUUGAGGCGGAGGCAUAGUAGCUGGGUUCUAGAGGCUGUACAUUUUAUUUUUAAUAUUAUGGCUGUUUGUUUUUACGCUCUUGCAAGCGACUGUAUUUUACUAGACUUUUUGAAGUUGAUGUAAUUAAGGAGAGAUAAUGUUUAACUCAGUUAAUGAGUUUUGUUGACAUUUACAUUUCUAGCAUUUGAUUUUAGUUGGAAGUUGUUAAGCAGGUUUUGGAAUAUUAAGAUUUUGAGUUAUAUCAUGCCCAAAUUUUUGAAAAUUAUCCUUAAAAAAAUUGGGGUGUGACAAAUGACAUCCAUUACGAGAGCAUAUCUCAUCCCAGUGCGUGUUAGUGAGAGACCUAGCGCUAUAAGGUGAGUAUAAGCUUUUGUUCUUACUACGCUAUCUAACAAACACUACAAGAAUUCGGGGCAUUUACCGAGCAAAAUUUAUGGUGUGCACCAAUGCACACCGUAUUAUGUGCUCUUUUAUGGCGUGCUUUUAAUGCGUGUCGUAAAAAACCUCUGACAUGUAUUCUUUUACUGCGUGCUUUUAAUGCAUGCCAUAAAUGACCAAUCACAUUAAGUCUUUCGUUGCACGCAUGUAUAACGUGCCGUAAUCGUGAUAUGUUUUUACUGCACACAUAUCAAAUGUUUUCCUCUUCUAAGAAGUCCCGCACCUUUGCAAAGCCUCAAACGUCAACCCCCAAACCUCAAUAAUCUCGAUAGAGUUAGAAAGAAGCUCUAAUCCUCCAUCGAAUUCUACAAUGAGUUGCAAACCGGAAAGCCUGCAAAUCGGUUUCUAGGGAUUUCUGGCUGUGGUGGUGCAAGGUAGGUUUGUUUCUUCUUCUUCUUCUCUCUUAUCUUAAUCGAUUUUUGUAUUCUACUUUCUCUUUGAAGCGAUUAGAAUCGCUGAAACCCUUAAUCCUUUUAUUUCUCCGGUUAUGAAUGUCGUUGUUUCAACCCCAGCCGUCAGCCUUCCUCAUCAAUCGCAGCCCCAAACUAUCGUCGGCCACAAACUCUUGGGCUAUCAGACUUCGUGACAUUCGUUGUUGUGUACGGCUGAGAUUGUGAUUCUUAAUCAUAAAAUUCAGGUAUGGCUAAUAGUAAUCCCUAUUAUAGUGUGGGAUUGUAAAUUUCACAGUAAUGUCAAAAGUAAUUUUCUUUUAUAACCUAAGUAAGCUGUGAGUAGGUUGUUAAGUGUUUCAUUGUUAUGUCGAUUGCAAUAUGCUUAUAUGCAGAAGUGUAAAUGUAUUUUUUUGCUAGUAUCAAUUUUGGGAGUGUAAUGAUCUCAAUUUUAUUUAGGUUUAUUUAUCGAAUUGCUUUUGUGUGUUUUUUUUUUCUCUGACUAGGAUUUUGAUUUUGAUUAUAUUUUGGACUACCAAUUAUAUUUCCAAAUUAGAUUUUCUUUUCUACGUGUAUAGUUGUUCUUUAUUUAAUUUUGGGUGAAAAUAUUUAUUUGGGUCUAGAACUAUCCAGUCAUCAUCAGAAGCAGAACACGUUGCCCAUUCUUUUUCGUUCACGUGUCCCUAACUGAUUUCUCCAGAAUUUACUCGUCAGUCUCUCUUCCUCUUCUCCCUUCUCUUCUUGUUCUUCUUCCCCUUUUCUCUACUCUUCACUUCUGUCUCUACUCUGAUCAUCACUCUCUUCUCUAAAUCAACAACACCGAUUUCACUAGCUCACAAGGAAGAGGGGAGGAAUCGCCAUGAAAUUCGUUGCCAAAGAAUCUGAAAUUCUUUGUCUAUUCGCAGCUAACUCCUAUAAGUUUCAAUCUCUUGUAAGUUUCAGUCUUCUCUCUCUCAAACUAGUUAUCCAAUCUCAGUUGUUUCUGUCAAGACCCACCCUGAAUUUCACACUGAAACAUGAAGUAAAUUCUACGGGGACCACCUCUAAGGAAAGUUUACCGAAAAUUCGGCAUAACCUCUCUUGAAAAUGAACAACCCUUCCUAAUAAAACCUGCAUACACUUAUGAUAAACCAAAUCCAACCUUAAACUCCUGGAGCCUUCAUGCUCCCCCAAAUCACAACAUCUCCCAAUUAUUUACUAACUUUAAUAAGAAUAAUCCCACAACCAACAAUCACAGUUUAGAGCAAUUCUAAUUGAGAGGAAAUGAACUAGAAAUUUAGAAAUGAGCGGAAGCUAUACUAUUAACUAUGCCUCUUCUCCAUGUACGCCCGACCUCAACUAUGCUAACCUGCAAACUGGGCAUUUUUAAAACGAAGAGCCCAGGGGAAAACAUUUGAAACCGUUAAAGUGAGUGGACAAAGAUAAAUUAAUAAAUAAAAUAUUUAUGUUUCCCCAAAUCAAUUUCCAAGGAAAAAUCAAAUGUAUGCUGCAAGCGAUAAAACUUUAAUCUCGUAAAAUAUCGAGCCUCUCAGGCUCUAAAAUAUAUGUAUGUAUUUACACACGUCCAUACUCCCUAUAUAAAUUCAUGGGUCUAUAUAGGGCUACUACGCUCGCGUCCAAUGCUCACGUGACGUCUUAAUGCGGUGCUACACUACGCCAUUAAGGUGGACAGACGGGUGUAUAAAUAUGUGUCCAUACCCCCUAUAUGAAUUAAACACUCAUAUAGGGCUACUACGCUCACGUCCAACGCUCACGUCACACCAUAAUGCGGCUAUAUGCUACGCCAUUACGGUGGACAGACACAUAUGGCUAGCUAGCAUUUAUAUACAUACUCUCCUCAAUAUACAUAUUUAUACUCAACGAAAAAUCUCAUUUUUCGGUAACUCUCCAAAAGAAAUAAAAACGUCAAAAAUUAAAUGACGUCAAAACUCCAACAAUUUAAAUGUUCAACCAUGACCAUAGCAUGCAUAUUAUUUAAAACAAAAGUCCCCCCACAACUUUAGGCCUAAGUCUGACGUCGAUCCGAGGUCUCUUCUGCUUGAGCCUCCUCACGUCCUGUUUCCAAAUGUAAAAAUAAUUUCGCAACUAAAAAUCCAAAUAUUUAUACAAAAUAGGCAAAAUAAACAUGAGCUACUAUAUGAACUCCCUAUAUGAAAGCCUAAAUAAACCAAAUAAGAAAAUAGUUUUCAUAUAGGGCUACUACGCUUGUGUCUAACACUCACGUCACACCAUAAUGGUAUUUUACCUCAUUAUGGCGGAUCAAACACGUAUGGCUAGCUACCAUUUACAUAUACAUACUAUCAUCAUAAACAUCCAAUAAACAUAUCCACCGAAAAUCUCAUUUUCGGGAUCUCUCCAAAGGAGGAAAAUUGCCAAAUAUCCGAGAAAUAAAUAAAUUUCAGGAAAAGAAAUAAAUAAUCAACAGAUAAUUCAUCGCAUGCUUUUCAAUUAAAAUAAAGGUCCACUCACAAAUUAGGCCUAAGCCUGAUGACGCUCCGAGGUUUCCUCUGCUCGGGCCUCCUCUCGUCCUGUUCCAAAUAUAUAAUUAAUUUCCCACCAAAAAUCCAAUAAUUAAACAAAAUGGGCAAAAUUAAACGUGAGGCUCCUACACACUCAUCAUUGCCCAAAUUCGCCAUUCUUAACUCAAUACCGCUCAAACUUCGCAGAACAUACCGGCAGCCGUAAAAACAACUUCCCACAGAAUACGACUUAAAUCCUACGGCCGGAUUCUACAUUAAUUAACCGCCAAAAAUACCAAACUUCGGAAAUUCACAAACCUAUCCAAAACUCAUCCAAAAAUACCAUAACUCACUUCAAUAAACUCCCCUUAAUAUUCCAAAUCUAAAAAAACAUUAAAAUCUCCCAAACAACUCCGGUAGCGGCGGCCGGAGGCCGAUUCCGGCGACCUCCAAUUCUUAUGAAAUUUUAACAGCAUCUUCCUCUCAUCAUGCUCUACAACUUUCCUAACUAGCACAAACCCAAAAUCCAAGCCUAGCUAUGCCAAUCGAACAAAAACAUCAAAAACGCCCUAGAGCUUCCACCUCAAAUUUCUCCUUACCUGAAGCAAACCGGGGUGACUCCAUUUAGGGCAAGGCAGCUGGGUUAGAGACCUACAAAACCGUACCAAGCUUGCCCGGAUUGGUGGUCGGAGGAGGGAGAGGAGGUGAUGGGGGUCCGAACUGGGGUGGAGUGGUGGCUGGUGGCUAGUCGGACGGCGGCAGCUGGCAGCUGGAAAUUUCCGGCGAAGGGAGAGAGAGCACGGGAGGGAGAAGGAAGAGAAAAGAGAGAAGAAGAGAAAGAGAGGAAAUGGGUUGGGCCUCUCCAACCGGUCCAACUCCACUAAUAUACCUAACUCCCACAAAUAAAACACCCCGAAAAAUAAUACCCGAAAAAAAUUACCUUUUACUAGCUAAAAUUUACCCCUUUUACCGUCGCCAUAUUUUCGUCCUACGAGUAAUCCUCCGCACAUAAUCGUCCCCGUAACCCCUCUAGGGACCAAUUAAACUAUUAACUCAGUGACGGAGACGGUAAAAUUCUUAUUAAAAACAAGGUAGUAAAUAAGGUAAAAAUAUAAGAGUCGGGAUAUGAUAAUUCUCCCCUCCUUAUAAAAAUUUCGUCCUCGAAAUUUGCAUACCUGUCAUCCGAAGAGAUAGGGAUACUGCUGCAUCAUUUGCUGCUCUGAUUCCCAAGUAGCUUCUUCUACUUGAUGACUUCUCCAAAGCACCUUGACAAGUGAGAUUGUCUUAUUCCUAAGCACUUGCUCCUUUCGGUCGAGAAUCUGAACCGGUUCCUCUUCAUAUGUCAAAUCUCUCGUCAAACUGAUCGGCUGCUCUUGCAGCACAUGAGAAGGAUCGGCAAUAUACUUGCAAAGCAUGGAUACAUGAAACACAUUAUGUAUCCUAGCUAACUCUGGAGGCAAAAGUAGCCGAUAAGCAAGUGAGCCAACUCGCUCUAUGAUCACAUAAGGGCCAAUAUACCUCAGACUAAGCUUCCCACGCUUACCGAAACGCACAACCCCUUUCCAAGGAGAUAAUUUCAGGAACACCCAAUCACCCACUUGAAAUUCAAGAUCUCUCCUACGGACAUCUGCAUAACUCUUCUGCCUACUUUGAGCGGUCUUGAGUCUAUCUCUAACCACUUUAAUCUUCUCAUUCGUAACAUGGAUUAAUUCUGGGCCACAGAGCUCUUUUUCCCCCACUUCAUUUCAACACAAAGGCGUGCGACACAGCCUCCCAUAAAGACCCUCAAAGGGAGCCAUACCAAUGCUAGAAUGAAAGAUAUUAUUAUAGGCAAAUUCCAUCAAAGAUAGGUUUUUAUCCCAACUUCCUCUGAACUGCAAGACACAAGCCCUCAACAUAUCCUCCAACGUCAGAAUUGUCCUCUCGGACUGCCCAUCAGUCUGAGGAUGAAAAGCAGUGCUGAAGAGUAAUUGGGUACCUAAAGCUGCCUGAAGAGCUCCCCAGAAUUUAGAAGCAAAUCGAGGAUCCCGAUCUGACACUAUUGAUUCAGGAACACCAUGAAGCCUCACAAUUUCAUUCACAUAAAGCUCCGCCAAUUUAUCCAAUUUAUACUUCUUUCCCACUGGCAAGAAAUGUGCAGACUUGGUGAGUCGAUCCACAAUCACCCAAAUACCGUCAUGCCCUUUACGGGUACGAGGUAAACUGAAAACGAAAUCCAUGGUGAUGUGGUCCCACUUCCACACUGGAAUAGGCAACGGCUCAAGCAAUCCAGAAGGCUUCUGCCUUUCAGCUUUUACUUGCUGACAAACCAGACAUCUACUCACAUAAGCUGCAAUUUCCCUCUUCAUGUUUGGCCACCAAUAAUAAUUCUUCAAAAUCCGAUACAUUUUUGUGCUACCCGGAUGAGCAGCAUAUGCAGAGCUAUGAGCUUCCUCCAUAAUCUCAUUCUUCAACUCUUCAUUUCUUUUUGGAACUACAUUAGCCGAUUCUUAAACAUAGAGUCCCAUCUCUUCUAACUGAAAAAUGAUCGGCAGCGGCUCCAUUCGAAGCUCUUUCCAUUCAAUCAAACUAUGGAAGGAUCAUUAUACUGUGCUUCCCGCACUCUAUCAACCAAAACUGGCCUCACAUGAAAACUGGCUAUCAAAGCACCAACCUCAUCUACUGAUAAAUCCACUCCUGUAGCUUGCAACUCACAAAGAAGCGGAACACGAACCAUCUUUAUAUGAGAUAAAGAUAUAGAGGGAUUUCGACUAAGAGCAUCCGCUACCACAUUAGCUUUUCCAGGGUGAUACUCAAUAGUGCAAUCAUAAUCAUUGAUUAACUCCAUCCACCUUCUCUGUCCCAUAUUUAGCUCUCUUUGAGUGAAUACAUACCGAAGACUCUUGUGAUCGGUAAAUAUCUGACACUUGCCUCCAUAAAGAUAGUGUUUCCACAACUUGAGAGCAAAAACUACCGCUGCAAGCUCCAGAUCAUGAGUAGGAUAAUUCCCCUCAUGCGGCUUUAAUUGCCUAGAAGCGUAGGCAAUAACUCGUCCAUGCUGCAUCAAUACUCCACCUAGACCAUGUCUAGAAGCAUCACAAUAGAUCACAUACUCUCCACUAUCAUCCGGAAGUGCCAAAACAGGAGCACUUGUUAAGCAAUUCUUCAAUUCUUGGAAACUUUGCUCACAUUGAUCUGACCAUUCAAACUUAACCCUCUUCCUGGUCAAUCUUGUGAGAGGAGCAACAAUCUUUGAAAAAUCUUUCACAAAGCGCCGAUAAUAACCUACUAAUCCCAAGAAACUACGAAUCUCCAUCACAGUGGUGGGUCUUCUCCAAUUCGACACUGCUUUCACCUUUUGGGGAUCCCCACUAACUCCUUCUACCGAAAUCACAUGACCCAAAAACCCCUCUUUAUCUAGCCAAAACUCACACUUGCUAAACUUAGCAAAUAACUGCGACUUUUCCAAAGUCCGUAAUAUUAUUCUUAGAUGCUUGGCAUGCUCCUUCUCACUUCUUGAGUAAACCAAUAUGUCAUCUAUGAAUACGAUCACGAAACGAUCAAGAUAUGGACUAAACACCCUAUUCAUGAGAUCCAUGAACGCCACGGGUGCAUUAGUAAGUCCAAAUAGCAUCACCAUAAACUCAUAAUGACCAUAUCGUGACCGAAAAGCAGUCUUGGCUAUGUCCCCCUCUCGGAUCCGCAACUGAUGAUAACCCGAUCUCAAAUCAAUNNNNNNNNNNNNNNNNNNNNUUAGAGAAAACAGAGGCACCCGUCAACUGAUCAAAUAAAUCAUCGAUCCGAGGCAACGGAUAUUUAUUCUUCACUGUGACCUGAUUCAACUUCCUAUAAUCAAUGCAUAGUCUCAUGGUGCCGUCUUUCUUCUUAACAAACAACACCGGAGCACCCCAUGGAGACAUGCUAGGCCGAAUAAAACCCUUAUGUACCAACUUCUGCAAUUGAGUCUUCAACUCUUUCAAUUCCGCUGGAGCCAUUUUGUAAGGUGCCUGAGAGAUAGAUAUAGUUCCAGGAAGUAAUUCUAUAGAGAAGUCUAUCUCCCUUGCAGGAGGCAAACCAGGCAACUCCUCAGGAAAAACAUCCGGAAACUCCCUUACUACCGGAAUAUCUUCUAAUCCCACAACUCCCAUAAUUGUAUCCACGACAUGAGCUAAAUAUGCCUGACAGCCUUUACUCAACAAUUUCCUUGUAGCAACAGCGGAAAUUAUGCAACUAGAAAUAACAUCUCUUUCCCCUUGGAAAGCAACCUCAAAACCAUCUGGACUUCGAAGCACCACUACUUUUUGAAAACAAUCUACCAUAGCUCUAUAUGCUUCCAAAAAGUCCAUUCCCAAGAUCACAUCAAACUCCACUAUAUCUAAAGGAAUUAAAUCAGCCUCAAAAUUAACUCCUUCCACUAAAACUUCACAACCACUAAAUACCCAAUUUAUUCUCAUCACCUCACCGGAGGGUAGAGACACAUGCCACUCGCCUGGAAGAGACGAUGAUAGCACAUUGGCAUGGAGAGCGAAUCUACUAGACAUGAAUGAAUGCGUGGCUCCUGGAUCAAUUAAAGUAAAAGCAGGCUGACCGAAAAUUAAUAACGUACCAAUGAUGACAUCUGGAGAAGUACGACCCUCCUGCUGGGUCAUAGUAUGUAGUCUAGCGCGAGUCAUGGGACGUCUAUGCUGACCACCACCCCGCUGAGAGCCACCUCUGACCGAUGCACUGCCCUGGGCACCACUACUGGAGCCUCCAGCUGAAGACUGACCAACUGGCUGAGUAGGGGUGGGGGUGGUCCUCUGAGCCAACAAUGGGCAAUCUCUCCUGAAGUUGUCUUGACCACCACACUCAAAGCACCCAGAAAACUGCUGCUACCCAUAAGAAAAAGUCUAGCUACCGGAUGACCCACCAUGGAAAUUACCACCAGAACCAUACUGCCCAGACUGCUGCCUACCCAAAUGACUCCGAGAAGGUCUCCUGAAACAUCCUCUAGUCCUGUUUCGAGCACCAGAGCUCGAUCCCCCACUACUGCCACUACCAGCAGAAGACCCAGAAGCGGAUGAUGUAGCAGCCUUCUUAGAUGGACCUUGACUAGGGCCACCGUAAUCACGAGGCCGAACACCAUAUGUCCCCCUAAACUCAAUGGCCAUGGCUGCACCAACUGCAUCCUCAAAAGUCGGGUAAAUUACCCAUGUCAUCUUGUCCGCAUACACUCCACCAAGUACCCCAAUGAACAUCUCAAUCCUGGUCCUCUCAUCAGAAACCAGAUAUGACACAUGGUAGCUCAGGGAAGUGAAUCUUUCCUGAAACUCUAAGAUACCCUCAUCGUCCCUCUUUGACAUAUGCAGGAAAUCCGACUGAAUUCUGCUGCGGUGGGCAUGAUUGAAAUACUGCCCCAAGAAGAGAGUCUUAAACUACUCCCACGACAUAUUCAGCGCAUCCUCAACAUUCCUGUUGGCAAGUGACCACCAGUGAUGUGCUGAAUCAUCCAGAAAAGUCACUGCUAUCUUCACCUUUCUUUCUUCUGGCAGCUCAGUGCUCGCAAAAGCCUUUUCCAUCUUAUCCACCUAAUUGUGAGCAUCAAGAGGUCCCUUGGCACCCUUGAACUCUCUGGCUCCAGCAUAAAAAACUUCUCUCCUUUUCACAGUAGGAGGGCGUGGAGCUCGAUCCAUGACAUCCCUUAGCAUAUUUCCAAUAUCAUCAACCAGUCCCCUGACCUCAUUGCCCUCAUCGGCAUUGGUUGAAGUGGCCACACGGGGUUGCCGUGGGCGCCUAGGAGGCAUAGUACCUGAGAAAGAAGAAAUUUAGUAGUCCAUAAACAAGACUAACACAACAAUCACACAUACCCAAUAACACAUAGCAUCAAAAGCAUAAAAUGCCAAUGAAUCCGCCGCGGUCUGAUCAUCACUCUAUAGACACUACGUGCUACUUAGGCAAAUAUGAUAGUGACAAGGAAGCAGGAAAAGGAAACCUAAAGCUCUGAUACCAACUGACACGACCCACCCCAAAUUUCACCCUGAAACCCGAAGUCGUGCGGGGACCACCUCCAAGAAAAAUUUACUGAAAAGAUUGAUAAAAUCUCCCUUGAAAAUGGACAACCCUAACUCGAAAAUUCCAAAUUACACUCUUAAUACAACACGUCCAAACAUCACAUAAUUAACCUUCAGAAAUUCUAAACAUAAUAUACAAUAAUCUCAAAGUAUUCAGAGCUACUAGACACUAGCGGAAGCAAGAAAACACGAGUAGGUUAAACAUGUAAUCUACUGAUGAAAACUGGCGGAAAUCCGGGUGACUAUGCCUCGCCUCCUACUAGAUCCAACUCGAACUCUGCAGACUGGGCAAUUUAAAACGAAGAGCCCAAGGGAAAACAUGUGGAACAGUUAGAGUGAGUGGACAAAAACUAAAUUAAAUAAAAAUAUUUCUUUAUGCUUUCCCAAUUUAAUUUCCAAAUAAAAUAAUACUGCAUGCAAUCGCUCAAAAGCGCUCAACUCAAAAACUGACAACUUCACGACUAGCACCGGCUAGUCUCCAAAACUUAAUAAAAUACAGCCUCUCAGGCUAAAUUAUAUAUAAACAUAUAUAAGUGUAUGUAUUUACACUCGUCAGACUCCUUGUAUGAAUUCUAAGAACAAAUUAGAAAAAUAGAAAUUCAUACAAGGCUACUACGCUUGCGUCUAACGCUCACGUCACACCAUAAUGGAAUUGUACCUCAGUAUGGCGGAAAAAGCACGAGUGUAUAUACGUGUGGACUCCCUAUAUGAAAACCUAAAUAAACCAAAUAAGAAAAUAGUUUUCAUAUAGGGCUACUACGCUUGUGUCUAACACUCACGUCACACCAUAAUGGUAUUUUACCUCAUUAUGGCAGAUCAAACACGUAUGGCUAGCUAGCAUUUACAUAUACAUACUAUCAUCAUAAACAUCCAAUAAACAUAUCCACCGAAAAUCUCAUUUUCGGGAUCUUUCCAAAGGAGGAAAAUUGCCAAAUAUCCGAGAAAUAAAUAAAUCUCAUGAAAAGAAAUAAAUAAUCAACAUAUAAUUCAUCGCAUGCUUUUCAAUUAAAAUAGAGGUCCACUCACAAAUUAGGCCUAAGCCUGAUGACGCUCCGACGCUUCCUCUGCUCGGGCCUCCUCUCGUCCUGUUCCAAAUAUAUAAUUAAUUUCCCACCAAAAAUCCAAUAAUUAAACAAAAUGGGCAAAAUUAAACGUGAGCCUCCAACACACUCAUCAUUGCCCAAACCAAAUUCGUCAUUCUUAACUCAAUACAGCUCAAACUUCGGCGAACAUACCGGCAGCUGUAAAAACAACUUCCCACAGAAUACGACUUAAAUCCUACGGCCGGAUUCUACAUUAAUUAACCGCCAAAAAUACCAAACUUCGAAAAUUCAUAAACCUAUCCAAAACUCAUCCAAAAAUUCCAUAACUCACUUCAAUAAACUCCCCUUAAUAUUCCUAAUCUAAAAACAUUAAAAUCUCCCAAACAGCUCCGGUAGCGGCGGCCGGAGGCCGAUUCCGGCGACCUCCAAUUCCUAUGAAAUUUUAACAGCAUCUUCCUCUCAUCAUGCUCUACAACUUUCCUAACUAGCACAAACCCAAAAUCCAAGCCUAGCUAUGUCAAUCGAACAAAAACAUCAAAAACGCCCUAGAGCUUCCACCUCAAAUUGCUCCUUACCUGAAGCAAACCGGAGUGAGUCCUUUUAGGGCAAGGCAGCUGGGUUAGAGACCUACAAAACCGUACCAAGCUUGCCCGGAUUGGUGGCCGGAGGAGGGAUUUCCGACGAAAAGCUUCCCGGCGUUUCCGGUGCGUUUUCUCUUCUUCCGGCGGGCUAACGGCUCGGGGGCUAGGCCGGGGAGGGAGAGGAGGUGAUGGGGGUCCGAACUGGGGUGGAGUGGUGGCUGGUGGCUGGCCGAACGGCGGCAGCUGGCAGCUGGAAGUUUCCGGCGAAGGGAGAGAGAGCACGGGAGGGAGAAGGAAGAGAAAAGAGAGAAGAAGAGAAAGAGAGGAAAUGGGUUGGGCCUCUCCAACCGGUCCAACUCCACUAAUAUACCUAACUCCCACAAAUAAAACACCCCGAAAAAAAAUUACCUUUUACUAACUAAAAUUUACCAUUUUUACCGUCGCCAUAUUUUCCUCCUACGAAUAAUCCUCCGCCCAUAAUCGUCCCCGAAACCCCUCUAAGGACCAAUUAAACUAUUAACUCAAUGACGGAGAUGGUAAAAUUCUUAUUAUAAACAAGCUAGUAAAUAAGGUAAAAAUAUAAGAGUCGGGAUGUGACAGGAGCAGUCGGCGUUUCCGGUGGUUUUCUUCUCUCCGGCGGCGCUACCAGCUCGGACACUAGGCCGGGAAGAGAGAAGAGGUGGCAGGGCUCCAAACUGGGCUGGAGCGGCGGCCGGUUGCUGGCCGGAUGGCGGCAGGCGAUGGUCGGAAGUCGGACGGAGAGAUAAGCUCUGGGGGAGAGGGAGAGAGAAGAGAAAGAGGAGGAAAAAGAAGGAAGAAAAAAAAUGGGCCACUCCUCUAACCCAGUCCAACACCUUAAACAAAACCCCAACUCCCAAAAAUUAACACCUCAGAAUAAUACCCAAAUAAAAAUUACCUUUUACCAGCUAAAAUUUACUAUUUUUACCGUCGUCAAAUUUUUCUCUUACGAAUAGUUCCUCCGAAAUAAUCGUCCAUCAAAACCCCUCUAGGGACUAUUUAAACUAUAAACUCAUUGACAAAGACGGUAAAACUCUUAUUAUUACCAAGCUAGUAAAUAAGUUAAGAAUUUAAGGGUCGGGAUGUGACAGUUUUCCUAAUAAAAUUGGACUCUGAAUUGUAUCAUGAAUCUCAAAUUAGGGAACUUGAAUUGCUUGGGUGCAAGCUGGGACUUUGCUUUCGGAAUCAAACUGCUAUUGUUUGAUUUGGGUGCUUAUGUGUUUGGAGUUGCUUGCUUAUGCCGGUUGCUAUGACAUGAGGUAGGGAAAACAAACUUUUCUUUAUAGCUUUGAUUCUAGUUUCAUGUGUAUUUGGUGUGAUUGUGUUGGAAUGUCUUCUCUGCUAUUUUUCCUUGAUUGAAACUGUCAAGCAUACAUAGCUUGUCGAAUAGAAAUCUUGUUGAGUGUCAUUGUUACUCUGAUUCAAGGUAAUAUGUACCCUUGUCUUAUAUUUAAUAUUGAAAUGAUAGCCUUGAGUAUUUUGGCUGGUAUUCUUUGAAGAAGUUCACAUUGGACAAGGUCCUUCUCGUUCCCAACUCUCUUCUUAUUAUGUUAGUUGCAGCCGUGGCUUGUAUCUUGUUAUACCAUCUAAAGUGGUUUUAUCUGUGUCUACUUUGUCUUAUGUUACUGCUUUCUUGGCUUCUCCUUUGAGUCUAUUACUUAGUUUAGUCCUGCUCUCUGUUAAUGCUCAUGAACUCACUGUACAAAGCUGCUCAAGUUAGUGUCUUUACCCAUUGAUAUUUAUAUUCUUGAGGCCGAUACAAAUCUGAUUCUUGCCCUGUUCUUUAUAAUUUAAAAGGAAGUUUUUAUACAUGGUUUUACUUGAACCAAAAAUUCAAGGCUUUGCUUAUUUUCACUGAUAUGACCUCUGUAAGGGAAUAGAUAAAUGAGAUAACUAGAUUUCUUGCUCUUAGCUAUUCUACUUGUUUGUUUUAUUCUUGGUGCCCGCUACCCUAUAAUUUCUGAAAUUAAUCAAGUACGACUUUUGAAACUGAAGUAUGUCUUCUCACAAUUAUCUGAUUUGUAGCAAAAAGACGUCGUACAUGUGUUAUAUACUUACCUAUACAUACGUUCUUGGUCUUUUGACCUCAAAGUGAAAUUAGCUUUUGGCCUAUUUCAUGUCCAGGCUUACCUAUCAAAUGUUGGUGUUUAAAAUAUACCACUUUUACCUGGUUUUCGACCUAUGAUGCGGCUCCUUAUUUAACGUAUUUUGAAAUAGUCUCAUACUCAUUACCUGGACUUCAUAACCAUAAGUACUGUACAGUUUCUAUGUUAUAUAUCUUAAGAUGCAGCAAAGUGAUUUAUGCAUCCUUUCAAAACCAAAGGUAUAUCUUGUGUACUUCUGGCCAUAUGAAACCAUGAAUUCCAAGUCAAUUUGUACAUGGUUGUACUUGAGUUUAUUCCUACCACUUGAUUGCAAUUUGAAAGUGAUCGUACCUCAUUGUCAUUAUUCUUAGAAAGCUACUUUUGUUCAUAGAAUGAUCCAAUGCUUUGUAUUAUGAGUUGGAGUAUGCGCUUAUUACUAGCUCAUUGUUCGUUGAGGUCUUCUCCAUCAGUCAUGGUCUUUGUUGUUGAUUACUCCAACAGUUUGAAAACCCAAGUCUUUGCUGCUGGCUUUGAAAUCCAUGUAUUGAUGCUUAUCUCAUAACCAGUUUGCUAUUGAAAGUUGAUUCCUCUGUUAUGCCUGUUCAAAUUUACUUGGAAAUAAGCUCCCAUUCUUUGAUAAUUUCCUCUUGUCAUCUGUGAGUUUAUGAACUCAAGUUCUCUACCUCAUUGUCAUUAGUUCUAAACUCGUGUACCUAUUGCUUUGAUCUUCACCUAAAGAUCUGCUCUGUUCAGAUUCCUUUCUAUUGAAAGAACAGAGGUCCAUGUUACAGUACUAUUUCUGGGCAGUGUCAUAUGAUAUUCUGAAAAGGGAUUUCAAGUUUGUUUCUGAAAUCCUUGUUUGAUCAGUUGGUUUGGAAAAUGAAACUUCCUGGAAAGAAAUGAUUGUAUUUCAAAUUUUCUGUUCGGUUAGGCCCGGUGAAUUAUGUGAGUGGGGAUUGUGCCUCCCUUGGGUUGUUUAACCCUAAACCUGAUCAGGGUACCGCAUGUGCGGGGUUUGCUCGGUGGUAUAGCUGGGCGAUGGGCUCUAACCGGCAUCUUAAGGAUUUGUUGAAAUUCGAGUGAAAGAAAGUUCUAUGAGCUUCAUGAGUUUUUCUCAUCAACACCUUUGUUGGUUCAUGAUUAUUCUUAUUUGUUGACCUGGUUGUCAGGUUAUCCUUAUGAUUAGCUUUCUUCUACCUCGUAUGUGUAUAUUGACUGCUGAUGCUUGUUAUACUUGGUAAAGUGUGAUAUCUGAAAUUCCAAUGUUAUGUUUGAGUCGAGUUCAUUUAUUCUACUUCCAGACUUCUGAUUUUCUCUCUCUCACUAGUGUAGCAGCAAUUAUUGGGGUUAAUCUCAUUUCAUUGGUUAUAUCUCUUAAGCUUCAUGUAUGUUCCUACCUUUCAUUUCCAAGUGCAUAUUGAAUUAGAGUCUUUGUUAUAAAGAUUAUUUUGGUCGUACCUACUGAGCUUGUGAAGCUCAUUUCUUAUAUUCUUAUUGUUUUCAGGGAGUCUAUUAGUGGACAAGAUAAUGAUAUUCUGGAGUUUCUUAAGCUUAAGUAUGUUUGUUUCUUACUUUGGGUUGGUGUUGCUGCUAUGGUGUUGUUGGAUGUGUUAUGUUUAAAGGAUUGGAAUAGUUGUCAAGCUCUUAAGCAAUAACCUGGUAUGGUUAUGAUACAAAAUGUGAUGUUUCUUCUAAAAAGUAUCUUCCAUGUUUGUACAAAAUGUAAAGUUGUAUUCAGCCUUCCUCUUAUCAGAUUUAAUUAUUGCUGUGUACUUUUAAAAGGAUUCUACAUUUAUCCAUUGCUUCUGUACAGUUUUACAAUCUUUGGAAAAGAGUGUAGUUUUAUUUCAUGGGAUGUUUAUUGCUCAAGUUCAUGCUUAAUGUUGUUAUUAGAGUGAUUCUUCAGGCAAAUAUUUUGAAUCAGUUGGUUUUAACAAAAUGGUUAUUCCUUCAAAGUUUUAGUGACUAUUUUCGGGUUUUUAUAAAAGUUCCUCAUUCCAAAAGUUUGUUUUAAAAAGAAAUAAUAAUAAUUUCACCGAUCUUUCUUUCGAUUUAUUCCAUCACAUUAGUCAUACCUUGAGGUCAGGGUGUGGCAGGGAGUGUGAUGUUUAGUGGUAGUAGACAGUCAACCUUUUCGCUGGGCUUUUGAUUUGAAUAAAGUUUUGAACUUGGUUGUAAAGGAGGGUUUUAGUUAAUGAUUCUAAUUGCUUGAGAUGCAGGGAUGCACUUGAUGCAUUGGGGUUGGUUCGUUACUGCUACAGGCGCAUGCUUAUGACUCAUGUUAAUCUCAUUGAGAAGCUUCUCAACUACAACAGUAAGUUUUAACUCUUUUUCUAGCUGUCUUUCUCCUGCACAUACACGCAUAGAGUUCCCACAGGUGUAAUCUGUCCUGAGUGUGGCUGAUUUGUUUAUUGGAACUGAGAUUGAAUCUUUGUUACAGCUUUGGAGAAGUCAGAUUUAGUGUCCUGAGUAAUACUUAUGGGAUACUCAUCAGAAUUGGGAGUUGGCUUGAGUUUUUAUCGAAAUGUGACGUUUCUUGUUAGAUUGGAUGAUUCUCUUACUCAUGUGUUGUUUUGUUGAAUGCAAAUAUGGCUUUAUUUUGUUGGAUUUUUAUUUCUUUUUAUCAAUUGGGAUAUAAAUUUUAGCUUUUUAAAACUUCAAUUGAGUUUCAUAUUAGCUUCUACUUGUUGAAAUGUAGAAGGAACAAAGUGAAAAUCUAGAAGCAAUAACAAGGUCUAUUGUAUGGGUACAUGCUUAUGAAACAAAGAAGAAGAAGGGCUCAGAUGAAGUAGUUGAGGAUCAUGAAAUAGUGGUUAGUAUACUCUUCUUGUCGUGUUUGCAGAUAUCAUGUCAAUUUAUCAAAGUUGCAUGAGAUUAACAUUAGUCUUUUUUAGAAACAAGUGAAAUAAUAUCAUGCAGAGGAACAACCUUCACAACCUUGUUCUUUAAAACACAAUGUUGUAGCAAAAGUUCUAGGUCCGGAUCCACGAGGAAGGGUAAGAGGGUUAGGAUUUGGAGAAGUUCCUUCAAGGGUAGAAUAUCAAACUACUGUUGGAAACAAAGUUGCUAAAUUAGAGAAUGCUUUGUCCGCUCAAGCACAAGAGAUGCUUUCUCAAUCGCAAGAGAUUGAACGAUUAAAAGAAGUGUUUAACACUCUUUUAGCUCGAUCAGAGAAAGAAGGGGAUAACUAUGUAAGUUAGUUAGAAUUAUUAACUUUUGGCAGAUAACUCAACUAGGUUACUGAUUUCCUGAACUUUAAAAUGACAGGGUAGUACCAGUGUUCAGCAUUCUGCUAAUAAGGUUGCACAAUAGAAAGAGAAUGCGAAUCAAAGUGUAACCCAAAGCAAGCAAAACAGUCCAAGUGUUCAGAGAUCUGAAAUUCGAAGUCCAAAGAGAAAGCAGAGUAACCAAAGAAAAACUUCACGUCUUCAACACUCUACUGAUCAUGGGAUGCAAAGUAAAGACAAGGAAGGUACAAGGGCCAAAAGUACAAAGGAUGAUCAAAAUAGAAUUGAAUUGUUAAGUUGGUUUGAGAUGAGCAAAGGUGUUGUUGCAAUUGCAAAACUUGAUUCCAAAGAUCCAAAUGCUAUGGUUCAUCAUAUGCCCUUUGGUCCUGAAUGCUGGAAAGUUUGGGUGCUUGAUGUUUUUGAUGAUAUAGCUUUAUAUCGACCAACCAGGGAGUUUGGAACACUGAGCGAGGCUACAGGAAGUACAAUUGCCUAGCCUAUCCAAUACAUCAGACAAAUUUAAUCUAUUAACAAGAUAUAGCAGGUAACAUACUCUUAACAUAUACUUCUUGCAAUAUUUGUUUUCAGUAUUGUACUCUAUUCAUUCAUUAAAUUAAACUCAGUAUAUAUUCAUCGAGAUUCUAUGUUUUGGUUUGUUCUUGUAGAUAGUGCAACCACUCAAUUUGCUUAUAAAUUAAUUACUUUGGCGUAGUUGUAGAUUUGAUAGGUUAUAUGAGGACUGCCACAUUCUUGUCAGCUGGAUACCUAAACUCAAUUUUACAUGUGCUAGGAGACCAUAACUCAUCAUAUUUGGAGAUCUAAACUGAACUCAUAUUUUCUUUUUUCUUGAGUAUUGCCUUAUAUAUGUACGCAAUUAUUUGGAUUCUUAUGAUUCUUAGAUCAACCAAUGUGUAAUAUGUAUAUUUUCAAACUUGUUUCUAGCAGGUAAUGUGAAGUUUUGAGGUGAAUGAAGAUUAAUGCUUAUGUUGCUACUGGUGGGACAUUUUGCAGUUGGAUAAUGGAGUUUGAAAGCUUCCAAGUACUAUGAAUUGUAAUGUUAUUUUUUGAUGGAAUUUUUAGGGGCAUAUAUGCAGUUGUUAUGUGUUGAGAUACAUAAUGAAUAUCCAAAUUGUUCAGAUAUGAAUGUGUAUAUAUAUAUAUAUGAUGUUAGUUCACCUUUGCUAGCUUUAAAUUAGAUUGUUGUUCUUGUAUAAGGUUUUGAAGUUAGUUAUUGUUAACUCUGAUUUGAGUAGCCAAUGGAAUGUAGUACCAUGAAUUUGGAAUAUGAUCAGUAAAUCAUAUAUAAUUGUGGAAACAAUAAAUGCAAAAAGCAACAUGCAGAGCAAAUAGGUUAUUACGGCAUACUUGUGCGCCGUAAAUGUCUUUAAACUAAUACUCUUUUACGGCACGCUAGAGCGCCGUGAAAACAUUCUAAUCCAAGUCUUUGACAGCAUUCUUUUGGAUCAUAUACGGCGCACAAAUAUGCUCAUUUGGAUGUUAUAACGUUGGAGGGAACAUGUCACACCCCGGUCCCGGCGUCAGUGGGUUUUAAGCACCGGACGCCGAUCCUGAAGCGUGAACGAGUGUUACAAAGCGGAAUAAAACAAAAACACUGUCUUCUAGGCUCGUCGGCUACCCUUUCCCGGCUCGAUCAAAUCUAAGUACUUCUCUGCAAAAAAUAUUAGAGAUGGGUGGGUGAGCAUAACCACGCGCUCAGUGAGUAGACCAAUGUAAUAUGCCCGCAAAGCCAUGUCAUUUUACAUACGCUACAAAAUACGUAUAUCGUAUACACAUCACUUCAAGCAAUUCAUCACAUCGCACAAUCCCUUUUUAUUGGAUAUCCUUCAAUUUAGUGAUCCCCAUGGGAACUUAAUGACCUUCAAGUCCAAUACCUCCAUGUGUCACAUCCUUACUUCGGCAUAACCAAUCAAGAAGUUCACAUGUUUUAUGACCAGUCAAACAAUGGAUCCAACACAAAAUAAUAUAUAAAACUCCAUAUAUUUCGCAAAUCGACAUGCUUCACUAUAAAAAUAGAGAGAUAUUUUGUAAAUAGAUCAAAAUCAUGCUUUUUGAAUAUUUGAUAACAAACAAGAAUAUUUAAAACAUAUUACACAAAUCCACUCACCUCGUCAAUACGAAUCCCUACCAAAAACGUCGAGUAAACUGAGCCUCCUAAAACAAGCCAUCUAGAAUCACCGUUGGAUCUAGCUCAAACCUCUAGGGAAGAAAGAGGACAUCGAGACGAACUCGUAGCACUUCACGGAUUCGAAAUCAGAGUUACAGAUCAAAAGUUAUGAUCCGCUAAAGUUUAGUCACAAAAUUCUAGAGAGAGAAAAUUUAGGAGAGAGAGAGAGAAUCUCUCGAAAAAACUACAGAAUGAGAGAAGAAAUGGUGCUGCUCCUCUCUAUAUAUAGCUUCACAAUUGACACGUGUCAACAAAUGAUUGGUCUAUUUGUUGUCACGUGUCAAACCCACACAAUACCUCUCCACUUGAUGACACAUGGGAGGUGACUAAUUGCAGAUGAUGACAUCAUCAGCCCACAUGGGUGACGUCAUCGUCAGCUGUUAUCUUUUUAAAAUGCCACGUGUCAGCUUCUUGGCCAAUUCGAGUUCAACACGUCAUCGUCUCUAUCUUCUUCCGAGAAACUUCGAAAAAUCGUUAAAAAUAGCUCGGAAGUCUGAAAAAUUCACCGAAAAAUACGACGAACUCGUGGCAACAUCUAGUUUCUAAUUCUAAGAAGAAAAAUGAAUUUUGAGAAAUUUCAAAAAUUCGGAAUGUUACAAUCUACCCUCCUAACAAGAAUUUCGUCCCCGAAAUUCAACACACCUCCAAAAACUCCAAAAACACUUAUGGUUCUACGCUAAGAUGCUAGAAUCCUAAUCUACCACAGAUCCUGGGGUUCUAAUCCCUAGUUUGCUCUGAUACCAUUCUCACACCCCAGUCCCGGCGUCGGUGGGUUUUAAGCACCGAACGCCGACUCGAGGCGUGAACGAGUGUUACAAAGCGGAAUAAAACAAAAAACACUAUCUUCUAGGCUCGUCGGCUACCCUUUCCCGGCUCGAUCAAAUCUAAGUACUUCUCUGCAAAAAAUAUUAGAGAUGGGUGGGUGAGCAUAACCACGCGCUCAGUGAGUAGACCAAUGUAAUAUGCCCGCAAAGCCAUGUCAUUUUACACACGCUACAAAAUACGUAUAUCGUAUACACAUCACUUCAAGCAAUUCAUCACAUCGCACAAUCCUUUCUUAUUGGAUAUCCUUCAAUUUAGUGAUCCCCAUGGGAACCUAAUGACCUUCAAGUCCUAUACCUCCAUGUGUCACAUCGUUACUUCGGCAUAACCAAUCAAGAAGUUCACAUGUUUCAUGACUAGUCAAACAAUGGAUCCAACACAAAAUAAUAUAUAAAAAUGGAGAGAUAUUUCGUAAAUAGAUCAAAAUCAUGCUUUUCGAAUAUUUUGAUAACAAAUAAGAAUAUUUAAAACAUAUUACACAAAUCCACUCACCUCGUCAAUACAAAUCCCCACCAAGAACGUCGAUUGUAAACCGAGCCUCCUAAAACGAGCCAUCUAGAAUCACUAUUGGAUCUAGCUCAAACCUCUAGGAUAGAAAGAGGACAUCGAGACGAACCCGUAGCACUUCACAGAUUCGAAAUCGGAGUUACAGAUCAAUAGUUAUGAUCCGCCGAAGUUUAGUCGCAAAAUUCUAGAGAGAAAAUUUAGGGGAGAGAGAGAGAGAGAAUCUCUACGGAAAAACUACAGAAUGAGAGAAGAAAUAGUGCUGCUCCUCUCUAUAUAUAGCUUCACAAUUGACACUUGUCAACAAAUGAUUGGUCCAUUUGUUGUCACGUGUCAAACCCACACAAUACCUUUCCACUUGACGACAUAUGGGAGGUGACUAAUUGCAAAUGAUGACAUCAUCAGCCCACAUGGGUGACGUUAUCGUCAGCUGUUUUCUUUUCAAAAUGCCACGUGUUAGCUUAUUGGCCAAUCCGAGUUCGACACGUCAUCGUCUCUAUCUUCUUCCGAGAAACUUUGAAAAAUUCACCGAAAAAUACGGCGAACUCGUGGCGACAUCUAGUUUCUAAUUCUAAGAAGAAAAAUGAAUUUUGAGAAAUUUCAAAAAUUCGGAAUGUUACAGAUCAGUUUUACAGCGUGUAUUUAUCUAUUUUUAUGGCUCGCAUUGGCGCGCCGUUAAUGUAAUGCGUCUUUUACGGCGUGCAUUGCUGGCCGUAAAAGCCUGUUUUUGGCGUAGUGGAAGACAUAGUUGAUAGGUUUUAGCUUACGGUGUCGGCAUCACUUGUCCAAGGACCUAUCUCUUUGUUAAUGCUGGAUUGCAUCUUUCCAUUGUUCUUACUACGCUAUCUAACAAAGACAUAGUUGAUAGGUUUUAGCUUGCGGUGUCGGCAUCACUUGCCCAAUGACUUAUCUCUUUGUUAAUGCUGGAUCGCAUCUUUCCAUUUGGCUAAUCAACUAAGUUGAUAUCCAUCAAUAAAGGGUGGUUCGAUAGUAGACUCAUUAUCCCACGUUCUCAUGUACACUAGUGUAAUACUUGUAGAGAUCUCUAUAUAGAUUGGAUUUGACAUUGAGGCGUCCCCCAACGAUAAUCACAAUUCAGACUUCAUGAGACCGAUUUGAGUAUCACUGAUCAAUGGAUCACGUUGUGCCAAGCUCGCUUUCUUCCUAGUGCGAGAAAGUAUCGAACCUAAGGGCCUCCUUCCUUUUUAGGGAGCCACACGGCCUUCUGACACCAAUUUUGCCACCAUAUGGUGUCAGCCUAUCACCAUCUAUGGUGAUGGCAUCAAGACCAACUCCUUUUGGUCGUGCUUGAUAGGACAUCAAUCCUUGCAGACAUAUUUGUAGCAUGUGAUCUCAUCACUUUAAAACUUUAAGCAUUUGGGAUUAAGAUGAGAUUUAGUGGGAACAAACCACGACAAUUCAUGACGUUCCACUUGAACACUUGUGUUCUUAUCUCCCCCUAACGGUGGGAAUAUUGUCUCACCAAAAUGAAUCCUACGGAGCUCAAGGAUUGCAAUUUCGUGUCAAUCCUCGUACACAGUCACGAGUUGUCACACCCUGACCUUAGAGUAUGACUAAAGUGGUGGAUUUUUGAAAAUAGAAAAUCUGUGGAAUUUUUUUUUUUUUUUUCUGGAAUUUAGAAAAUAUGAAUCUGCAUCCUUUUGUUUUAAAAGCAUUUGAAUUUGAACAAAAUAAUAACUAGUAUGUAAUGCAUAUGGUGAGCCAAAGAAUUUGGUUUAACAAUAAAACUGAAAGCUUGUAAUAUGUUCUGAGUGAAACAAAACCUAUACAAGGUUCAACAAAAGAAAAGGCUAACUGUACAAGGAUAUUUUCCUAUUGUAAAAGAGAGUACAUUUAACACCAAAGUGGACAUUUAGGAAUUUGAGUUUAACUUUAAAGAUCAAGUAGUUCAAGUCUAAAACAUAAACAGUUGCUGGAACUUAGUAAGAUAAAAUACUUCAUUUUUAUACAUGUGCGAAAUAUACAUUUUACUUACAAAAUAUCUCACCACUUAGCAUCAAAAUUUACAUCAAAUUUACCCAGAUCAGUGUGGACUUUCUACUUCAUACAACUAUCUUAACAAAAACCUCCAUUCCGAACAAAAUGCAUACUGAGCACAAACUAAUGAAAACCAUAGCACAUACUCAAUAAAGCCAAAAUAGAGGCACUUAAUCUACAAGUAAGCAAAACUUGAUCAUGAACUCUGAUUUAAGACAACUCUGGAAUGUCAGAAAUAUCACCAAACUUUUUUCCUGAAAACACAUGAAACAUAGGGAAAUGAGCUUCACAAGCUCAAUAGGUACAACAUAAUAAUCGUUAUAACUAAGAUUCUAAACCAGCAACUACAUCUGAAAUGUGAAGGAUGGUAGAGAUGCUUCAAAUGUACUUUUAAAUGAGAAUAAGAAUAUGGCUGCAAACAAAUUUGGAAUUAAGCUUGAGGAACAAAUGCCAACCGUUAACUGAAUCAAGCACAGAUGAUAACAUGAUAACAUAGAAUUAUUAGGCUGCAACUCACCAAGCAACUCAUAUCAAAUGAGCAGACAACUGAACAUGAAGGAAUCAAGGACAGAUAAUAACAAUCUAAAAUACUUUACUGCAAAUAGACCAAUCAAUUCUGAUCCAAAUCAAUAGAUAACUGAACAAAUGAAGGAUCAAGAGAUAGAUUACGACAUAUAAUCAAUUAUUUCAGAUCAACUAAGUAGACUAAUAAUGAACAGGAAAGGAAAAGUGAGCAAACUGAAAUUCGAGAUUUUCUCACUGGAUACUCAAACACAAGGGAAAGAUUUUCUUUAACUUCCUUUUCUCUUUUUCAAAGUCUAAAAUCUUUCCUUUCCUUUCCAAAACAUUUGUAAAACUCUUUUCCAUAAACCAAACUUCAGCGAAAUCCUUGGAAACCGGUUAGAGCCCACUGCCCAGCUAUACCACUGAGCAAACCCCGCACAUGCGGUACCCUAAUCAGGUUUAGGGUUAAACAACCCAAGGGAGGCACAAUCCCUACUCACACAAUUCACCGGGUCUAACUAAAUAAAACAAAUAAAACCAAAUCUGAUCUUUCCAUGAAACACUUUGCUUUUCCAAACCUAGUCAAUCUGUGACAACCCGGAAUUUUAUUAUGUAUAUAUUAUGUAUAUACCUAUUUACAAACUUGCUUAUAUAUAUAUAUAUAUAGGUAUGAUUGUUUUAAGUGUGUGUGUAUAUAUUUAGUGUUAUAUAUGCUGAAAAUUAAUAUAGUUAUUUAGUUUUUUUUUUAUUAAAAUUUAAUGAGUAGGGUUUUUAUCCAAGCCCAAUACCCAAAUACAAAGCCCAAGCCCAAACUUGAUAGCAAGGAAAAGAGAAGUGUUUGUCGUUCAGGCAAAACGAUGUCGUCCUCUUCUUCUUCAUCUCCUUCACCGCCUUCUGCUUCUUCUCCUCCGCCUUCCUUCCGACCUCUAAACUCGAAGUUUUAUCCUCUCUUCUUCACCGACUUCUUCUUUCUUCCGACCAGAUGUUUCCUAAUCCGAAACAUUGCCGCCAUAAAACCCAGAAACCGUCCUUGAAACGCCUAGCAGCCGACUUCAUUAAGCAGGAGAUGUCAAGAUUCUUGGAGACUAAGUUUCCAGAUGGAUAAGAAUUGGGUUGAAGUGCUCAAUUUGACUUCCUUGAGUCUUUCUUGGACUCCACGUUCUUCCCUCUUUCUAGACCCUAUAAAUAGAGGUUAGUAUUCAGAGUUUUCCAUAUGGUUUCCUUGAAUUCACUGAUAGAGAGAGAGAGAGAGAAGAGAAGAGAAAUUGGUGUUGUAGGAAAUUGGUAGAACUCAGGUUAGAUUCUCUUUAUGUUCAGACCAAUUAAUUGUGUUUAUAUGCUCUUAGUUUGUGAAUUUAGAAUUUGACAUCACUUUGGAAUCUUUGUAUGAUUGUUUAUUUGAUUGGAAUAGUUCCUAUUAAGAAUUGGUUUUGGUUUUGUUGCUGUUGAAUUCUGUGGCAAGUAGGAUUACUAAAUCCUUUGGUUUUGGUUAUCUUUGAUUUGAUUUCUUUGUUAGCCAAAUCAGUUCUUAUAUGUUAUUAAUAGCUAGAGAAUCAAGUAUAUGAUGUUGUUGUUAUUGUUGUUGUUGCUGUUGUUUGAAUUAGCUUAAAAUUUUGUUCAUGUAGUAGAUUUAUUCUUUUGUAAACAGAAUAGAAACUGAUGAAGAUGAUUAUCUUUAGUUCUGCAAGUUUGGGUGUCCUGAGUAAUUACAAUGUUGUUGUUCGAAUUAGAGAUUCUUGUUUUCUCUUACACAACAAGGGCUUAGAGUGACUAAGAAACCUAUAUGAGUAUUUAGACAUCGAUAGAAUUGAUUAGGAACCUUAGACUUUGCAUGAACUGAAGUGACAUUUGAAUGGAAAAGUUUUUGUAACUUGUUCAUUUAGUUAACUUUGAGCAACCAUAUCUUUGAAUUAAUCAUGCUUUUUAGAAAUCAUUUGCAUGUAUUGAAAGUUCAUAUUCUUAGCUUGAUAUCUGGGUAGUUUCAUGCAAGUUCAUUUAGAAUUCGUUAGUCAAGUUUGGAGCCGAAAACAUAGCUGAACAUUCUGCAAAUCAGCUUUCUUGUAUUUUGGAGUCAGUCACCUUGAUUUCUAAAAACCGUACAUUUAGGUUGGUUAUUUGAAGUUUGUUUCUUCAUAAAAGGUGUAGUAGACAUCUUAAAUAUUAUUUUAGAAUUUGAAUCACUUCAAAAGGAUUUCUUUAGGUUAAGAUAUGAUUUUUCAAAGUUCAGGGUCUGCAGUAAGAAAUUCUGCAGAUCAAUUUUCUGUGUUUUUGACCCAGCUGUAUUUUUACUAAACCCUGUGCAUUUCAGUUGAGUAUUUGAAGUUAUUAUCUUCAUAAAAGUUAUAGUACACAUGUUAAAUAUCAUUCCUGAAUUUGAAUCUCUUCAAAAGGAGUUUUGUAGAUUAAGUUAUGAUUUUUCAAAGUUAAGGUUCUGCAUCAGGAAAUUUCUGCAAAUCCGUUUUCCAAGUUUUGGACCAAGUGACCUUUCUAUUAAAACCUGUACAUUUUGGUUCAGUAUUUGCAGUUUGUGUUUUCUCAAAAGUUUUGGUAGACAUCUUAGUUAUCAUUUACUGAAAUCUCCUGAAAAUGAUUUAUGUACAUUAAGUUAUGAAUUUUCAAAGUUGAAGGUUAGCUUUAAAUGGUUUAUGUAUUUGUUACUAUUUUACUGUUUGUUCAUUUUGAUUUCAAUGGUUUCUUUCAUUCAAACUUGUUUAGAUUCACCACCAACUGAACACACACAUUCUCAACUUUCAAACAAAGCUUGUGACAUUAUUUUCCAAAUUUAUUUGAGAUACUUAUGCCAUUUUGAAAUUAGCUAUGUGUAACAGUUUUUCUUCAAAAUAAAUCUACAUCACAUUUUGCUUAGUUUUUUUAACACGUCAAAUGUUAUCUUAAUGGCCUGAGAUUUUAGGUAGUAUGUUUUUGAGACGUAUGCUUUAAAGUAAAGCAUGUUCUUAAAACAUAUGAGGUCACACCCAAUUUUCGAAGGAUAAUUUUCAAAAAUUUGGGCAGGAUAAAUCUAAAAAAUUUGGGCAUGAUAAAUCUAAAAAAAAAACACUCCCAAAACCUAUUCAACAACUUCCAACUAAAUUCAAAUGCUGGAAAUGUAAUGUCAACAAAACUCUUUAACUGAGGUAAACAUUAUCUCUCCUUAAUUACACCAACUUCAAAAAGUCCAGUAAAAUACAGUCGCUCGCAUGAGUUUAAUACUGUCUACCAGAAAUAAUAAAAUAAAGUGUACAACAUCUAAAAUCCUGUCACUAUGCCUCCACCUCAACCCUACUGAUCACCACCUGCAGGUCUAACCCCUACACCAUGAAUUGGUGCACCGGGUUGUAAAACAACAAAACCGGUAAGCUUAAAAGCUCGUAUGAGUAAAUCCCAAAAUAAUAACUCAACAAUUCCAACAUCACAUAAGAUAAAACUGGUAAUUCCUGCAUUAGCAACUUAGUUUAGAAAUCGCCUAAAAGCAAGAGAAUUCAAAAGAAAUAAUUAAGAAAACACGACAAUUCAAAAUGAUAAAUGAAUCCUGCAAAAAGCGUAGUUUAGGAAUUCUAUUAAAAUCACAUAAUUAAGAUUAAAAAAUCUCCUGUGAAUAAGCAUAGUUCAAGAGAUACUCAAACCAAGAAAUUUAAAUGAUAACACAUAAGAACAUCACACAAUCGUUUCUCUACUCUUAUUUAUGAGUUCGUCAACACUUAGUCAUCCCCCAUAAAUAACCAAAAAACGCAUACUCAUGGGUUUGUCAACACUUAGUCAUCCCCCAUGAAGUCCCGACAUACAAACUGGAGCUCUAUACUGACCGUAACCAAUCACCCGGUCAAGACUUGGUUCCUGGUCCACCACGAAGGCUCAUAAUCUAAUGCACACAAUCACCACUAAGGCACAAAUCCACAACUAAUUGAUAGGAGCAUAAAAUGCGACAUUCUUAAUGUGUUAUUAUCUCCAUUUGUACUUUGAUUAUCUCUUAUUGUUGUAGAAUAGAGUCAUAAUGUAAAGUCGAAAGUUUUUGGUAGAGUUGUGCGUAAAAUGUGUUAAACAUAGAGGAAUGAUGUAGAAAAUUGUCAAAAGCCGAUUUGUGGAGCCUUAGAGAUGUUCUUAUGAUUAUGUAAAGCUUUUACAUUGUCACAAAUUGAUUUAACUUCUCUGAUACUUAGGUGAUAUGAGAAGAGUUAUGGGAGAAAGAAUCAGGAGAAUUGAAGUUAUGCUUGAAUCAUUGCCGAGAGAAGUCUUCCUGAUGGACCUAGGGAAGCAAAGCAGCUGAUCCACGAAGCCUAGUCCAUGAAGGAGAGGUCCAAACCAAGUCCAAUAUGGAGAAGAAGAUCUAAAUUCGGCAGAAUAUCAAGGAAUAUCCAAGUCUUGAAAAUCCGGAUUAAAUCGGGAGAAUCCCUGUGCACGUCUGUCAAUUUCAACGGACUCUCCAGGACAGAUCACAAUGAAUCAGAAAACGUGCUAGAUAUGGAUAGAGAGCUACGGGAGUCUAGUUUCCAAAUCAAUUGGAAUCACCUCAAUAUCUAUUUUCUAGAGGGAGUUAUGAUGUAAUCAUCAGACGGAGGUCAUUCUGCCGAAAUUGAGAAGAACUAGGAAUCCUAAACCAACUUGGUUUAGGCUUUGUGGCCGACUUCUCUAGGGUUUUUCCUCUAUAUAAAGCAUGACUUCAAGAGCAGAAAAACAUCAUCUCUACUCUUGCAAUUACAUAGCCGAAACUCUACCAAACCCUAUACAGAAAAUUACUUAGCCGAUUCAUCCACCACAAACCAUAAGAAUCAUUCCAUCCUUCCACCGAUUUUCCCCACACUUGCCGAAUCUUUCAAGGUUGUAAAAGUGUGAUUUUCUCAUGGCUUCUUGUAUUAUUUUCUGUAUGGUUUCGAACUCUAUUGUAAUAUACUUUUCGAUUUUGGUUUUAUUUAUCAAACAUGGUUUUCGGAUUUCUUUGUGAUCUUUGAUUGUUCUUUGUUUUGAUUUGUAACUUCUUGAAUAUAUGAUGAUUUCGUGAUUUAGGUUUUGGGGCAGUAGCAUGUUCUUAUGUGUUUUUGAUUUCUAAUUGAUUAAUUGUCAUGAAUUCGUGCAUCUAAAUCAAUCCUUGAGGCUGCCUCGGCCAUGGUUGUCCUUAAGGUGCGGUUUCAUCUACCAUAAUAAUUUUGGAUCGAUUCAUAUGCAAAGUUGUCUUGGUCUCUGUUAUUAACUUAGGGCCGAUAUAAUUCUGAUAAUUUGCAUGCUAAUAGGAUGAGUGACGCCAUGCCUUAGAUCAUGUUUCCGAUUGACUCGUGUGCUAAAGUGUUUUCUUGUUUAAUCUCUACGCAACGUGUCUUUAAAUGAGUUAGCAUUCAUGUUUAAGAUCAAGCGCAAAGAUGGUUCUAAAUACUUGAGGAGUCUUAACAAUUAGAUAACCGCAAAGGCUCUAAUUAAAUCGGAAUUGGUUAGAGUCUAGGAUAAUUUGAACGUUGUUGCCCGGCCUUGCAUGAAGUUGUUAUGUGUUCUUGAUGGUUUUUCGUGUUAUGUGUUGCAUGAGUAUGUUGAUCACUUGUAUAUAAUAAUCUUAGGUUAAAUUUUCAAAAGGUUAUUUGUUAGAAUUAAUCAAUCUUAAACCCCCAAUAUUUCGAUGUAUAUAUGUGAAUACUUGUUUAUAAAUUGUUUGGUUUCUCUUCUUUCGAUCGCCCUUUGGUUUCCCCGGCUAGAACGAUCCCUACUUGUCCAUAUUACUACGAUUGCAGGGUAAUUAAAUUGAAGUUGUUUGACCCCGGUUACGCGACACGUCACUAAUGCACACAAUCACCACUAAAGCACACAUUCACAACUAAGACACACAAUCACCACCAAGGCAUCAUUCCACAACGAAUGUACACAAUCACCACUAAUGUCACAUCCCGACUCUUAAAUUUUUACCUUAUUUACUAGCUUGGUAAUAAUAAGAGUUUUACUGUAACAUCCCGGACCCAAAUUUUACCUAUUUACUCGGUAUUUCACGAGUUACUGGAGAAUUUAACAGUGCUCGGUAACUUAGUAAGUUAACACUCGAGUUUAUUUGUGAGUUUUUCUGGAAAUGUCAAACUCUUCUUUUUAGGUCCCGAUGUCGUAGUUCAAGUCGAUUCGAGUUCUUCGGUGUCUUCAGAAUUGUUUUGCGGAGCUCCGGAUUAUUUUUCUAUGUUUUAUCGAAGGUUUGGUACUAGGAUUAUUCUUACUGAGAUUAGGGUAUAAAUUUUUUUCGAGUUUUAAAGGAAAAGAAGUGGUGGACUUCGGUCAAAAGCCCAAAGUGGGUGUUGACCAGCUCUUCCACUCCUCUCCCCGACUCCCUCUCUCUCUCGUCUCUCAGUCUUGCCGUGCCGGAGUGGCGCCGUCCGGCCACCUAUGACGACAAGACCCCCACCAAUUCUCUUCCUCUCCCUCUUCUUUACAACGUCUAGCUUUCAAUUCACCAGUGUCCGAACUUUGGAAGGAGAUCGACGGGAAGAAGCACAGCAGCCCUCCGGCGAUUCUUGUUGAUGUCGGCCAUGACUUGGCACCCGAACGGUAGGGUUCGUCUCCUCUAUCCUUCUUCCUUCUUUCUCUGCCUUUGACUCUUCAAAACGAGUUCAAAUUCGGGAGCCCCUUUUUGUGUUUUUAGGUUUUCGUCGGGGUUUUCCGGCGAGUUCGUUCUUGGAGCUCCGGCGGGACUACCGUGCUCUAGUGAGUCUAGAAUCAGUUGAAUGGAGCCCAGACACGUCUUGGGAAGGGUUGGAGGAAGCAAUGGUGGUAUUGAACCGAGGUAGAGGUUUUCUGCCAAAGGGAGGUCCCCUAUUCUUCUAUUGGUUCUUUAUUUUUGUCAAGACGAAGGCUUGGUGAGUUUGGCUUGUGAGGAACCGAAGUAAUCUGGAACUGUUUCGGUGAAGGUGGCAGCUAAGGCAGCCGUUGGGAAUGUUUGGAGGUCUUUCAUGUGGAGUCUGGCAAGGAGGAGCUCUGGUUUGCGAAAUAGAGCAAAUUGAAGGUAAGUUGGUGUUUUCGGCUAUUGUAUUGAGUUGUAUUGAGGUUUGGGUGCUAGUUAGGUGAUUUGGAAUUAUGCUCGGUGUUUUUCGGAAAUGGUUAAUGACUGUUCUUGUUGUUGUGGUUGUUGCAUGUCGAGAACUUGGAGUUCUGAAGAAUACGGGGAGGCUAUGGCGAAAUUCCGGCAAGUCACCAGAAUCCGACGAGUAUUUCUGGCAGAACCCAUGAAGGUAGCUUGUCGACUUUUCUUUUCGUGUAAGUGGUAGUUUACGGUUUAGGAAAACCUGCCAUAUUUAGAAAGUCUCUUUUUAGGGAACUUUCCCCUUUAUGGAAACUUCCAUUCUUGGAAACCCUUUUGGGUGCCCUUAGUAAUUGUUGGUGUGAAGUUGGGUAGAAAAGAAAUGUUGGAAUUGUUGGUUCUGGUUGGCUUAAGCUAGGGGACCAUAAAAUAAUUUUUGUUAAUAUGAUUACUAUCCAUAGUAACCCUAAAAUCUAGACCAUUGGCUUCAUGGUGAUUUUGGAAGUGAAUUGCUUAGUGUGUUAAAGGCAUAGAGAUAGUGUGUGACUUCGAUUUCAGGUUAAGGUUUGGUUUGAAACCGAAUAAGUUUUGGAUGCGAAGUUAGUAGUAGAAAAUGAUUCUUUUAUCUAUUGGUCAACCUAGGAAAUCUUAGUCAAACCAGGAAGAAGUCGAUUCGUUAAUGUUGAUGGAGUCCGGUCUGACCAAUUUAUUCUUCUGUUUAUCGUCAGACGUGGGAUUGGCUAGAGUGUGUAAUUAGUUGGAGGCAGCGCUCGAGGAGUAUUCCGAGCAUUGGAAGGCUUAGGCCUAAUACUGUGAGUGGACUUUUAUUUUAAAUAAUAUGCAUGCUAUGGUUUUGGUUGAGCAUUUAAAAUUGUUGGAGUUUUAACGUCAUUUAAUUUUGACGCUUUUAUUUCUUUUGGAGAGUUACCGAAAAAUAGGAUUUUUCGGUGAGUAUAAAUAUGUAUAUUGAGGAGAGUAUGUAUAUAAAUGCUAGCUAGCCAUAUGUGUUUGUCCACCUUAAUGGCGUAGCAUAUAACCGUAUUAUGGUGUGACGUGAGCGUUGGAUGCGAGCGUAGUAGCCCUAUAUGAGUGUUUAAUUCAUAUAGGGGGUAUGGGCACAUAUUUAUACACCCGUCUGUCCACCUUAAUGGCGUAGUGUAACACCGCAUUAAGACGUGACGUGAGCGUUGGACGCGAGCGUAGUAGCUCUAUAUAGACCCAUGAAUUUAUAUAGGGAGUAUGGACGUGUGUAAAUACAUACAUAUAUUUUUUUAGAGUCUGAGAGACUCGAUAUGUAUGGGAUAAAAGUUCUAUCGCUUGCAGCAUGCAUUCAACUUUCCUUGGAAAUUGAUUUGGGGAAACAUAAAUAUUUUAUUCGUUAAUUUAUUUUUGUCUACUCACUCUAACGUUUAGUUUUCAAAUGUUUUUCCCCUGGGCUCUUCGUUUUAAAAAUGCCCAGUUUGCAAGAUUGCAUAGUUGUGGUCGGACGUAUUUGGAGAAGAGGCAUAGUCAAUAGUGUUGCUUCCGCUCAUUUUUAUAUUUCUAGUUCAUUUCCUUUCAAAUAGAGUUGCUCUGAACUAUGGCUGUUGGCUAUGAGAUUUUCUUGUUUAAGUUAGUAAUUAAAUUUGGAGAUGUUGUGAUUUGGGGAGCACGAAGGCUCCAGGAGUUUAAGGUUGGAUUUGGAUUUUUCAGAAGUGUUUGCAGGUAUUUAUUAGAAAGGGUUGUCCAUUUUCAAGGGAGGUUGUGCCGAUUUUUCGGUAAACUUUCCUUGGAGGUGGUCCCCGCAGGAUUUACUUCGGGUUUCAGGGUGAAAUUCGGGGUGGGUCUUGAUAGUUGGUAUCAGAGCACUAGGUUAUUCGUUUCCUUUCUCAUUUUAGUACUACCUCAUAUUCUUGGUCAUGCUUAGUGUCUAUAGAGUGAUGGUCCGACCGCGGCGGAUCUAUUAGCAUUAUAUGCUUUAGACACUAUGUGUUGAUUAGGUUUGUGAUGUAGUUGUUCUUGUUUUAUUUAUGGUCAGUAUUAUGCCAUAAAUAUCUAUAUCUUCAAGACUAUGCCUCCGUACGCUGACCUUUUAGGUAAUCUUUAUGUUUCGUGUAAUAUAAAGGUAUAUUGAUUACGCCUUUUCCAAGGAUAUUCGAGUUGAUAUCAUAAAUUAUUAGAGUUUAAUUGCGAGUUGGGAACUCCAGUUGGGAACUCAUAAGAGUGGUAGCAUUCGUUUCAUUUGAUCAAUGAUUGUUUGGGUAAUGAUUAAGAUGCUGAGGGGAACAUCUUGUGCGAAUCUGUAGUACGUGAAACGUUUGAUUCGACGGAUGUCUUGAGAGUUUUCUAUUUUUGGUGGGCAAGUAAAGAGCUGUGGUAAUCCGAUAGAAAAUCUUGGCAUCUAGUUACGUGACUUCUGAAAGAAAAGAGUUGGAAAGAAAGUUUGGAGUAGUGGUGUACUCUAUAGAUUUAAAGGUUGGUGGAAGUGAUGUGGUGAGGUACCCAUAGUAAUUCGAAGAGGUACCUAUACGAGUCGAUGAGGACUCUAAUUUUGGGCUGAUUAGUCACGAGGGAUUGUGUGGCUAAUAAAAAGGCUAUCAAUUUAGAGAAGUCUUGAUUCUUGACCAAAUUCCCAACUGCUUUAUCCGCAGCGAAAGUUAGUUGGGAUUGUUUUGGUUAAUGCUUGUUAUGGUCGCGCAUGUUCUGGCCGUACAACUCUAAUUAAGGAUAUGUUUUUAUCCUUGGAAUCAUCAUAUUAAACAGUAAAAUCGGAGAAUUUAGGAGAAGGAGGUUAGCAGCAGUCGGCGGAUAGUAAGAUUUUUUGAUGAAUUUCGCCUAAAUUAAAGAUGGAUUAGUUGAAGUUGGUUUUACAACAGUCAUUAGUCAAUGGCAUUAUGGCAAACUUGAUGUUGUGUCGUGGUCGGGGAAUUAUUAGAAAUUGAAUGGUGUCAUCAAAAGUUUCGAGUUUUGAGUUUCGAGCAAGCUUUAAAGCGUUGAGCGACUUCUGUCAGCUAUAGUAUUUUAAUCGUGGGCCGUUGUAGAUUCUUUCGGAAUUCUAAGUGUUGAAGUUGGAUUCCAGUUUUGUUGAGUGUUUUGGGAAGAAAAUAAAUUUAAAUGAAAUUGAAAAGUAAUGGUGGAGUGAGAGCGGAUGGUUGUGGUCACUCCGGUUUUACGACAACAUCUGGUGAAUUUGUGAUGUGUUGUCAGGGGUAUUCUAAAAUAGUUGUGUAGAGCUGGUGGAAGUGGUAGCAGUGGAAUAAAACCCACUGGAUCUUGGAGCAAGACUGUGUGGGUGUCCAUAGUAAAUUUCAAGCUGCAUUGUUUUAAGUAGUGAUGUAUGUCUCAAAUUUGUGAUCGAAGUUGGUUUUUGAUAUCAUUUCGUUCACAAUGGGUGACUAAUUACGACACAACAAUGAGAGGAUUUGUUCUCGCCUUAUUUCUAAUUCAGUGAGAUGGAGUAAGGUUUUGGUUGUGGUGUGUGUGGGAAUAUUUCAAUUAUUCCUACUGUAGUUUGUGGGUAGCAUCCUCAGAGCUUGAAAUUAUGGAAUGCGAUUUCAACGCUUCGAUUUGAAGGUUAGAGAUUAUGGUUAGUUUGUCGAAUUUUUGAGGCAAAUCAUAAAUUGGUAGUUGUGUCGUAGUCAUGGAGUUCAUUUAAGCGAUGAGUCUUGAUGCCGUAAAUCCUAUGUGGUAGUUUGAGAGUUGCACGGUGAUGUUCAUUUGAUGGUUUGUGCCGUUAUAGACAUGUUGUAGCCUUAUGGAAAAGGGUUUUUCCCUGUUGACUCAAGAAGCGUCUAGAGGUUUAUUAAGAGUUAUAAUAUUGAGGGUAGUAGAUAUGGGGAUAGGUUGAACGAUGUCUCUUCUCGAGAUCGUAUUGUGGUGGGACCACUUAUUGAUCCAAGUUUGAUUUGGGAGAUCUUUGCUUUUUGGUGGUGUGUUCAUCCAUUGGUGUCAGGAUGAUUAGUUGAGGUUUCUAAUGCGAUUUUGAAACGGUUCUGGCGGAUAUCGGAGAUUUGUGGAGCUUUUGAGCUCGAAGUUAGAGGACUUGCCUUUCGUGUGCUUUAAGUUAUUUCUUCUGGAACUUGAGCUGAGUUUAGCCUUGAGUUUUGAUUCUUGCUUGAAUUCAUGGUUUUCAUUGGUUGGAGAACCACAAAAUGUGGUAAUGGGUCUUGUAUAAAAUUUAUCUUUGCAUUUGAUAGUUGCAUGAUUCUGCAUGCUCGGUUAUCAAAGAAUUUUUUUGGUGGGAAGCCGUGGCCCUAGGCGGUGUAGGAGACUUGAGCAUAUUUGUUUUUCAGAUCGUCUUCUGCUAUUAGACUAAUCGUUAAGAAGUGUAUUUGUCGGGUGCAAAGGUUUUGGCUUUUAGAAUCAUUCUUGUGGAACGGCUAGAGUGAGCCAUGUGCUUUUAAUUGUUGCACUUAGGGUCGCAGUUGCACCCGAAUAAUUAGCAUGGUUGGAGAUGUAAAUUUUGUCAAUGCUUAAAGAAGGUGUUCUAUUUAUGUGGAUUUCAACAUCAAGUUUAGCAUCACGAAUUGACUGUGCCAAUUUUUCAUGGGCAUUAUUAGUCAGUUUUGUUUAUGGCGAGCAUGGGGGAAUUUCUAGUUUCCACAUGAUAGUCAUGUUUCAGAUUGUCUUCUGAUUUGUGGUAAAGAGAUUGGUAGAGAUAGCAGAAUCAAGAGAGAGUUGGAUUUCCUAUAAGCUGCUAGUUUGUGGUGCAUAAAAUGGUAAUGUAAUAGUUUUGGUGGAGAUACCUAAGUGACGUGGUAUUGAUCUUUUCAUAAUGUUAUCUCGAAAAUCAAGGUUAUCAUAUGUUGGUGGACUGGUCACUGAGGCAAAGCAAAGCUGUCUUGUGGACUUGCGAGGGCUUUGACUCCACGAAAGACUUUGCGAGGUGUCUCGGUAUUAAAAGUGAUUGUUACAGUUCUGCAGUGUGUGCAUCCUUAAAUCUGUUCAAUUAGCAGGUCUUAAUUUUGACCCCUAUGAGCAUGUGGGAAUGUGUGAACUUUAGUUUUUUUAGCAAGUUGGCUUCGACGCUGAGUUUGUGAGUUGCAUAAUGACUAGUUUGUUGUAUGUCAUUAGGAGAUUUAAGCCUGGCAGUGAUAUUGAAUUUUUCUCUGUAUUAGCUAUUUUAAGUUUCUUAAUGAAACAAAUUGUGAUUUGUUGUCGAUCAAUGAUCAUUACCUUUGGCUCGUUCAGUUUAAAAUUUCGAGCACGAAAUUUUUAUAAGGAGGGGAGAUUGUAACAUCCCGGACCCAAAUUUUACCUAUUUACUUAGUAAGUUAACACUCGAGUUUAUUUGCGAGUUUUUCUGGAAAUGUCAAACUCUUCUUUUAAGGUCCCGAUGUCGUAGUUCAAGUCGAUUCGAGUUCUUCGGUGUCUUCAGAAUUGUUUUACGGAGCUCCGGAUUAUUUUUCUAUGUUUUAUCAUAGGUUUGGUACUAGGAUUAUUCUUACUGAGAUUAGGGUAUAAAUUUUUUUCGAGUUUUAAAGGAAAAGAAGUGGUGGACUUCGGUUAAAAGCCCAAAGUGGGUGUUGACCAGCUCUCCCACUCCUCUCCCCGACUCCCUCUCUCUCUCGUCUCUCAGUCUUGCCGCGCCGGAGUGGCGCCGUCCGGCCACCUAUGACGACAAGACCCCCACCAAUUCUCUUCCUCUCCCUCUUCUUUACAACGUCUAGCUUUCAGUUCACCCGUGCCUGAACUUUGGAAGGAGAUUGACGGGAAGAAGCACAACGGCCCUCCGGCGAUUCUUGUCGAUGUCGGCCAUGACUUGGCACCCGAACGGUAGGGUUCGUCUCCUCUAUCCUUCUUCCUUCUUUCUCUGCCUUUGACUCUUCAAAACGAGUUCAAAUUCGGGAGCCCCUUUUUGUGUUUUUAGGUUUUCGUCGGGGUUUUCCGGCGAGUUCGUUCUUGGAGCUCCGGCGGGACUACCGAGCUCCGGUGAGUCUAGAACCGGUUGAAUGGAGCCCAGACACGUCUUGGGAAGGGUUGGAGGAAGCGACGGUGGUAUUGAACCGAGGUAGAGGCUUUCCGCCAAAGGGAGGUCCCCUGUUCUUCUAUUGGUUCUAUGUUUUAUGGUGUGACGUGAGCGUUCGACGCGAGCGUAGUAGCCCUAUAUGAGUGUUUAAUUCAUAUAGUGGGUAUGGGCACAUAUUUAUACACCCGUCUGUCCACCUUAAUGGCGUAGUGUAGCACCGCAUUAAGGCGUGACGUGAGCGUUGGACGCGAGCGUAGUAGCCCUAUAUAGACCCAUGAAUUUAUAUAGGGAGUAUGGACGUGUGUAAAUACAUACAUAUAUUUUUUUUAGAGUCUGAGAGACUCGAUAUUUAUGGGAUAAAAGUUCUAUCGCUUGCAGCAUGCAUUCAACUUUCCUUAGAAAUUGAUUUGGGGAAACAUAAAUAUUUUAUUCGUUAAUUUAUUUUUAUCCACUCACUCUAACGUUUCGUUUUCAAAUGUUUUUCCCCUGGGCUCUUCGUUUUAAAAAUGCCCAGUUUGCAAGAUUGCAUAGUUGUGGUCGGACGUAUUUGGAGAAGAGGCAUAGUCAAUAGUGUUGCUUCUGCUCAUUUUUAUAUUUCUAGUUCAUUUCCUUUCAAAUAAAGUUGCUCUGAACUGUGGCUGUUGGCUAUGAGAUUUUCUUGUUUAAGUUAGUAAUUAAAUUGGGAGAUGUUGUGAUUUGGGGAGCACGAAAGCUCCAGGAGUUUAAGGUUGGAUUUGGAUUUUUCAGAAGUGUUUGCAGGUAUUUAUUACGAAGGGUUGUCCAUUUUCAAGGGAGGUUAUGCCGAUUUUUCGUUAAACUUUCCUUGGAGGUAGUCCCCGCAGGAUUUACUUCGGGUUUCAGGGUGAAAUUCGGGGUGGGUCUUGAUAUUUACCGUCUUCGUCAAUGAGUUUAUAGUUUAAAUAGUCCCUAGAGAGGUUUUGAGGGACGAUUAUUUCGGAGGAAAUAUUCGUAGGAGAAAAUUGUGACGACGGUAAAAAUAGUAAAUUUCAGCUAGUAAAAGGUAAUUUUUAUUGGGGUAUUAUUUUUGGGGUGUUUUAUUUGUGGAGUUGGGUUUAUUUGGUGGUAUUGGACCGGUUAAGAGUAGAAACCCAAACCAUUUCUCUCUCUUCAUCUCUUCUUCCUCCUGACUCUCUCCCUCUCCCGCUGUAGGAUUUUUCGUCGCCAGCCUGCCGCCAUCCGGCCACCGUUCGCCGCCGCACCGGUCCCAAACAGUCGGCCGUCCACCUAGCUGUCUCCCUGGACCGGUGAGAGCCGCCCUAGCGCGCCGUGAGGGAGAGUUGCCGCUCGAAACCUCCGGCUGUCCAAAGCUCUCCAUCGUCGGAACUCUCUCCUCCGGCCGCCAUAGCCGGAGCAGCUUGGCUCAAAAGAAAGCCCUCCUCCCGAGCAUUCAUCCCUCCAAAGGUUCCACUCCCCCUUGGUCUAGGUAAGGAGAAAGGUGGAGUAGAAAUUCUAGGGCUUAUGUAAUGUUUUCGUUCGAUUGGCAUAGUUAGACUUGGAAUUGGGUAUUGUGCUAGUUAAGAAAGUUGUAGGGUGAGUUGAGAGGAAGAUACUGUCAAAUUUUGGUAGGCAUUGGAGGUCGUCGGAGUCGGCCGCCGGCCGCUGCUGCCGGCGGAGCAGACGGCGGCUCUGCCGCUGUUAAGGGGUUUUUCAUGGUUUUAAGUGUGUUAUAUUAAGGGGAGUUUAAUGGUAUGAAGUUUAGAAUUCUUGGAAGAGUUUUGAAUAAGUUUUGGAUUUUUGAAAGAUUGGUGAAUUUAGCGGUUAAUGGGGUAGAAUCCGACCGUUGGAUUUUCCUUAUUAUUGUUUUAGAAUGUUGAAAUAAAGGAAAUAAGGCUGUGGUUGGAAUUUAAUGUGAAUUCGAUAAGCUUAACCCUAGAAAGGGUAGUGGGUUAGGCGGAAGAGUUUUAGGUUAUAUAUUUAAGUAUUAUUUAUUUCUAAAAUUGAAGUUUGAUCCUAAGCAUGGUUAUUGUGCCAGGAUUCAAGGAGACCUUACUUGAGUGGCGAAUUGGAUUUGAUCGGGCUUAUGGCUAAAGUUGUGAGGGGACUUUUGUUUUAAAUAAUAUGCAUGCAAUGAUUGAUUGUUAAGCAAUUUAUUUUGUUGGAGCAUUGACGUCAUUUUAUUUUGACGAUUUUAUUUUUCGUUUGAAGAGUUACUGAAAAUGGGAUUUUCGGCAAAUAUAAUUAUAUAUUGAUGAGGAGAGUAUGUAUAUAAAUGCUAGCUAGCCAUUUGUGUCUAUCCAGCUUAAUGGCGUAGCAUAUAACCGUAUUAUGGUGUGACAUGAGCGUUGGACGCGAGGGUAGUAGCCCUAUAUGAGUAUCUAAUUCAUAUAGGGGGUAUGGACACAUAUUUAUACACCCGUCCGUCCACCUUAAUGGCGUAGUGUAGCACCGCAUUAAGACGUGACGUGAGCGUUAGACGCAAGCGUAGUAGCCUUAUAUGAAUUUCUAUUUUUCUUAUAUUUCCUUCAUAGAAUUCAUAUAAGGAGUAUGGACGUGUGUAGAUACAUACAUAUAUAUUGAUGGAUAUAUAUUAAUUUACCCUGAGAGGCUCUAUUUUAUAAAGCUUUGGAGACUAGCCGGAGCUAGUCGUGUUAUUGCCAGUUUAUGAGUUGAGAGCUUUUGAGCUUGUUGCAUACAGCAUAAUUUCUGUGGAAAAUAAAUGGGAAUGCAUAAAUAUUUUUAUUGAAUUCAGUUUUGUCCACUCACUCUAACAUUUUCGAAUAUUUCCCCUGGGCCCUUCGUUUUAAAAAUGCCUAACUUGCAGGUUAGCUUAGUUGAGGUCGGGCGUAUAUGGAAAUGAGGCAUAGUCCAUCAUAUAGCUUCCGCUUGUUAAUUUAUUAUGUUUCCUUUCUUCCUAUUAGAGUUGCUCUGAACCUAUAAAUGGUUGGAUAUGGGAUUUGUUUAGAUUAGUAAAUAAAUUGGGUGGUGUUGUGAUUUGGGGAGCACGAAGGCUCCAGGUUUUUAAAGUUGGAUUUGGAAUUUUAGAAGUGUGUGCAGGUGCUUUUAGGAAGGGUUGUCCAUUUUCAAGGGAGGUUAUGCCAAAUUUUCGGUGAAUUUUCAGUAAAUUUUCCUUUGAGGUGGUCCCCGCAGGAUUUACCUCGGGUUUCAGGGUGAAAUUCGGGGUGGGUCCUGACAACUAAGGCACACAUUCACAAGUAAGACACACAAUCACCACUAAGGGUCCAAGGCACCAAUAAUCACAUCAAUAGAACUAAAAAUAUUAUGGUCACAAGAACCUUAAAAAUAAUUAUUUAAAUCAUCAUAAUCAUUAUCAACAUCAUCAUCAUCAAAAUCAUCAUCAUAAUAAUUAUAAAUAAUUGGUCUCAAAAUGAACCUUGGUGAGAUUUUACUCACCUAAAUAAUCCCGCUGCGUCUUCAACACAAAACACAUUUCACAAGUCACCUAUAAUUACACAAUUAAUAACCUUAGUAACCAAAGUACCAUAGGAUAUCAAACACCCUUAAACUAAACCUUAUCCCAAAAGAGGACAACCUUCCAAGGUCAUCGAAUUUAACAACCCAAAACUGCUGCUUCUAAUUCUCAAAACAGAAACUCAAACCUUGCACAAGUCUAAGAUUAACCAAAAAGUCCUAGCAAGAAAUAAUGGUAACCAAAACCUACAACCCAUAUAUCAACACGUUUGUAUCGAAGAGUACUACCUAACCAGCACCAUAAAACACUCCAGACACUACCGGACGCGCUGCCAUGCGCCGCCAUAGGCGACGGCGAGUGGGCCCUAUGCGCCACCCUACCAACCUUCGAAUUAGGGCAAACUCACAACACAAAACUUGUAGAUUGAAGAGCGGGAAGCAUCUUUUAUACCUAAGGUUUCGCCUCAAUCAGCUGGAAAACACCGAGAAACUUGCCGAAAGGUUGGCAUCCACCACCACCACUCUACACCGAGAGUCGAGCUUCAAGACCACCAGAAGUCGAACCAGGACGCCAAGGAGCUUCUAUCCCGACCGGUUUCCAGCCUCGUCACCGCCGUCAGAGGUGAGAAUUCCGGUCGGGUUGCAAACCAGGUCGCUGCCCUCACUGUGGCGCUCAAUUAGCACCGAUCCGGUCGAGUCUUCCUCACUCACCAACACAACGAGGAUUGCGCUGAGGAGAGGAAGAGUUUCCGACUAGUGCCGCCGUCUAAGUCGGCCGGAAAAGUCAGGUCAGGUCGACCGGGUCUAGGUCGGGUCAGCUGAAGAACUUUGAUAGCUACAGUUCGGGGAGAGAGAGAGGGAAAGGGAGAAAGAAAUGGUUCCGGAAAAAACGAAAAGGAAACCUAAAACUUUUCUUAUUUAACCCCAAAUUCCUGUAAAGCCACGAACUUCCACUGACCGUAACUUUCUCAUACGAAGUCCGUUUUACUCGUGCCACGUGUUUACAAACUUGUAUCGUCGUGCUCUACAACUUUCGUGAAGAAAGUUUCUCAAGAAACCCAACAGAUUAGAAAGUCAACUCUUGACUCUUGAAAACCAUAAAACCGUUUUGGGUGACUUAUGCAUCCGAACACUUCCGCCCUUCCUUCGAACCUCAAAACACACUAACUUCUAACUCGAAAAUUCCUAAAUAAUAUUAGAAACUAAUACAUAGGAAUAGGCAUAUGUGUGUCAUGCUUUUGAGUCUUCCUUAACUAGUUUGCCUAUUGAACCUAGACCAUGGGAUCUCCAAUGUUGCUAGGUUAGGUUCCCGCCAAGUAAUGACUCAUUGUAUGGGCUUGAGACUCAUUCCCCUCGAUGUAAAUACAACUUGCUCUUUAGUUAGGCCUUUAGUCAAUGGAUCGGCUAGAUUUUCCUUUGAUUUGAUGUAAUCCAAUGCUAUAACUCCAUUGGAGAGCAAUUGUCGUACUGUAGCAUGUCGUCAUCUUAUAUGCCGAGAUUUCCCAUUGUACAUUUUGUUUUUGGCUUGAUGUAUGGCAGCCAUACUAUCACAAUGAAUACAAAGGGGUGUUAAAGGCUUAGGCCACAAUGGAAUAUCUUCAACAAAAUUUCUAAGCCAUUCGGCUUCUUUGGCAGCUUUAUCCAAAGCAAUGAAUUCCGAUUCCAUUGUUGAUCGUGCUAUACAUGUUUGUUUGGAUGACUUCCAUGACACAGCUCCUCCACCAAGUGUAAACACAUAACCACUUGUGGACUUACUUUCCGUACUACCCGAGAUCCAAUUUGCAUCACUAUAUCCUUCCAAAACAGGAGGAUAUUUUGUAUAAUGUAGACCACAGUUCAUUGUAUACUUUAAGUACCUUAAUACUCUUAUCAAAGCAUGCCAAUGGUCUAUACUAGGAUUGCUUGAAUAUCGACUUAAUCGACUUAUUGAAUAAGCCAAAUCCGGUCUUGUGCAAUUCAUAACGUACAUCAAGCUUCCUAUGAUUUGUGUGUAUUCCAGUUGAGACACACUCUCACCAUUGUUCUUUGCAAGCUUAUAUGUUGGAUCAAAUGGAGUCAUCAUCAUUUUAUCAUAAUAGUGUCCAAAUUUCUUUAGCACUUUCUCCACAUAAUGAGAUUGAGUGAGUAUAUAACCAUUACUAUCUCUUUGAAUUCUCACUCCAAGGAUUAAAUCUGCUAAUCCCAUAUCUUUCAUUUCAAAUUUGGAACUGAGCAUCUUCUUUGUGGAAUUGAUAAUGUCCUUGUUUGUUCCCAUUAUCAACAUGUCAUCCACAUACAGACAUACAAUGAUACAAGCAUUUUUGGUUUGCUUGAUAUAAACACAAUUAUCACACUCGUUUAUGGUAAAUCCAGAAGACAACAUUGUAUAAUCAAACUUCUCAUGCCAUUGUUUUGGGGCUUGUUUAAGUCCAUAUAACGAUUUAACAAGUUUGCAGACUUUCUUCUCUUGCCCUUUAACAAUGAAGCCUUCAGGUUGCUCCAUAUAGAUUUCUUCCUCUAACUCACCAUUUAAGAAUGCCGUUUUGACAUCCAUUUGGUGUAUCUCGAGAUCAUAUAUAGCAACAAUUGCUAUUAGCAUUCGAAUGGAAGUAAUUCGAGUGACAGGGGAAUAGGUGUAAAAGAAAUCAAGACCUUCUUUUUGUCGAUACCCUUUUGCAACUAGUCUUGCUUUAUAUUUGUCUAUGGAACCAUCUGGUUUUAACUUCUUUUUGAAUAUCCAUUUAUAUCCAAUUGGUUUGUUUCCAGGUGAUAAAUCAACCAAUUCCCAUGUAUGGUUAUUCAUAAUGGAUUCCACUUCACUUUGAAUUGCUUCCUUCCAAUAAGGUGCUUCUACAGAUUCCAUUGCAGCCUUAUAUGUCUGAGGUUCUUGUUCAGUUAGAAAAGUCAGAAAAUCUGAACCAAAGUCUUUUGCAACUCUUGCUCUUUUACUUCUUCUUGGUUCCAAUUCUUGCUCUUGAACCUUUGAAAUAGAAGCAUUGUUAUUAUUUUCCUGUGUUUUUGGAUCUUCAUGUACUCUCUUCUUUGUAGUACUUGAUCUAUCUUUGUAUGGAAAUAUAUCCUCAAAGAAUUCAGCUUCAUUGGACUCAAGAAUAGUGUUCACAUGUACUUCUUCAUUUCCAGAUUUGUGAACUAAAAAUCGAUAUGUUGCACUGUUAUUUGCAGGUCCAAUAUAUACACAGUCUACUAUUUUUGGUCCAAGCAUUUGCAUCUUUGGAGGAGGAAUUCUAACUUUAGCAUGGCAACCCCACACUUUCAUGGUUUUAUAUGUAGGCAGCCUACCUUUCCAGAUUUCAUAUGGGGAUUGAUCAUUCCUUUUAAGAGGAAUUUUAUUCAAUAUUGAGUUUGCAUACAGAAGACCUUCACCCCAUAAACUGUGUGGAGCACCUGAACUGUUUAACAUGGAAUUUAUCAUUUCUCUUACGCUCAGCAACUUCAUUUUGCAUUGGAGUGUAGGGUUUUGUUGUUUGAUGAACAAUUCCAUGUGUGGAACAAAAUUCAGAGAAUUCAUUUGAUAUGUAUUCUCCACCACGAUCUGAUUUGAGUGUUUUUAUCUUCUUGUCUAAUUGAUUUUCAACUUCAGCUUUGUAUAUCUUAAACAUACUCAAAGCUUCAUCUUUACUAGUUAUCAAAUAGGCAUAGCAGAAUUUGUUGCAAUCAUCAAUGAAUGUAAUAUAGUAAUUCUUUCCAGAUCGACUUGGAGUUGAUUGGAAGUCACAGAGAUCAGUAUGAAUCAAUCCAAGUACUUCGUUGGAUUUUUCAACACAUUUGUAAGAGUGCUUUGCAUACUUUGAUUCAACACAGAUUUCACAUUUAUGUUCAUCAGCAUUAGUAUUGCUGUUUGAGAUGCAUUCUAACUUAGGACUGCAUUUUGGUAACAAUCCCAAGUUGAUCAUCCUGUCUAGACAACGAUAAUUCACAUGACCUAAUCUUGCAUGCCAUAAAUCAACUGAAUCAAGUAAGUAGAUAGAAGCAGUGCUAUUGCCUGCAUUAUUAUUAUUAAUAUCAGCCGUAGGAAUUACAUUGAGUUUGAACAGCCCCUCAGAUAGGUAGCCUUUUCCUACAUACAUUCCACCCUUGGUGAGUACAAACUUAUCAGAUUCAAAUAGUAACUUAAAGCCUUUGUUGAUAAGAAGAGAACCAGAAAUCAGAUUCUUUCUAAUCUCAGGGACAUGGAGCACAUUGGUCAGUGCAAGUUCUUUUCCAGAAGUGAGUUUCAGUAUCACUUUUCCUUUCCCUUCAACUACAGCAGUACUAGAAUUUCCCAUGUAAAGAUUUUCUCCACCAGAUCCUUGCUCAUAUGUUGCAAACAUGCUUCUUUCAGCACAAACAUGCCUUGAUGCACCUGUGUCAACCCACCAGUCAUUGGUAUUGGUCAUUAGAUUGACCUCAGAUACAACAACAACAAAUUGAUCUUCUGCCAUGUUUGCUUGAUUAUUAUUUCCGGCAGGUCUGUCCUUCUCUUGGCGACAAUCCAUGGCUUUAUGACCAGGCUUACCACACACUCAGCAAGAACCUUGAAUUUUCUUUUUGAACAUAACAGCUUUUGGGGCAGUAGAUGCUCUCUUGGCAGCAGUUUUUCCCUUCUUAUGAUUGUGAGAAAACUUAGGCUUGGAGGUGCUACCUUCAAUCACAUUGGCUUUUGCUUCCAUUGAGGACCAAUCGGUUUUUUCAUUCUUUCUGUUCUCUUCCUCCACACAAAGCUUGAGAAUGAGUUGCUCAAGGUUCAUCUCUUUAGAUAGGUGCUUGAGGUAUAUCUUGAAAUCCUUCCAAGAGGGAGGCAGCUUUUCAAUAAUGGAAGCAACAAGAAAGUCUCAUUGAGUCCCAUACCUUCAGCAAGUAAUUCAUGAGCAGUAAUUUGGAGUUCCUCCACUUGCUUCACCACAGAAUUGGCAUCACUCAUCUUAAAAUUCAGAAAUUUUCCAACAACAAACUUCUUGGCACUUGCAACCUCAGACUUGUAUUUCUUGUUCAAAGAAUCCCAUAGCUCUUCUGCAGUUUUGAAUGUUGAAUAAACAUCAUACAAUGAAUCAUCUAAGGCAUUCAGAAUAUAAUUCUUACACAGAAACUUGUUUUGCUCCCAAGCUUCAACAGCCUUAAUAGUUGCAUCUAGGAUAUCACCCUCUACUGGCAAAUCUGGAGCCUCAGAUGUAAUCACUUAUGCCAAGUUCAGUGUUGUUAGAUAAAACAACAUCUUUUGCUGCCAUCUUUUGAAGUCCACGCCUUUGAACACAAAUGGCUUCUCAAUAUGGUUCUUAACACCAACAGCAGUAGGUUGAUCCAUCACAAUUGUAAUAGAAUUUCUGUCUUAGAUUGUUAGAACAAGGGAACAAUCAGUUAUGGAACAACCCAAUCAACACCAGAUGUUGUGUUAAAAUCUUAUAUUUAUACUUUAAUUACAACAAUAAGAACACAAUUCCUAAUCUAUGAACACAGUAAUAUCAGUUGAAACAAUGAAUUGAAAUCAAAACAAAAUUGAGAGCAAUGAAACUGACUUGAUGAUUUUGAUAGAGGCUUGCUUGCAGCAAUCUCCUAAGACAGAAAUUCACCCCUACACUUGUGCACGUAGAUCUUGGACGUCUGUCUUGUAGGAUACAACUAUCGAACCCAAUCGAUGCACUCCGGUUGAAUCCCUGGCAAACUCUACUUUGUGUUUCUCAUAAAUAUUAAGGGGAGAAGAGAGAGGAGAACUGAAUGAAUCUCCCAUCUGCUUGGGCUGAUUGUCUUUAUAAAGAUGAAGGACAACUUUUGGGGAAUAGAGGUGUAGCUUCAGUUGUUCUGGUUUGAAACCCAGAAGACACAACCUUCUGUUCGUACUCAACUCUUCCAAUAGAUAUAAUCUCUUCCAACAAAUAUCUAUUAUUAUCCAAAUAAUAAAAACAGAUAAUAAUAAUAAUAAAAGCAGAUGGUAAAAUGGUAAAGUAAAAACACAGAUGGUUAAUUCUAAUUUUUACCCCACAUUCUCCAACACAAAUCCUAUACAUAUCGACAUUUAGAGAUACUUGCUGGGAUAAAGCUUAAGGAAUAAGUAGGAAAAGUAGAUGGUAGUCAAAUUUAGCAGUACUAGAGAUGAUAUUGGUAAAAAGCUUAUGUGCUACGACCAAGAUUCUUGUUAUAAUAGAAGAAGAACAGAAGAAUCCAGAUGGCUAUUUGUAUAGCUACAAAGGACAUUUAACACAAUUUAAGGAGGCAAGACUGUAAUUGACAUGACAUGAAUGGAUUAAACAAGACGAAAAGAAAAAGUCUGUUGUGCAAAGGCUAGGUUAUAUCAAGAUUAAAGCAUCCAAAACAAAUGAUACUUUUUACAAUGAACAAGUUGGUAAUUCUGCAUUCAUAUCAUCACAAGUGAAAGGGAUUAAAGUCCCGAAGAAGCAUCAUAUGGAUGAGAACUCAAUAAGAUUCAAGUUUGACAAGCGAACAAAGCUGGCCAAAUUACAGUCAAGAUCAAACAAACAGAAAACAUUCCAACACAAUCACACCUAAACAUAGAUACUAGAAUAGAAUCAAAGCUAUAAAUAAAAUUAUGCUUUCCCUACCUCAAAUCCUACAUAUCAGUAGCAAUCUCCAAAAGCAAUCAUGCAAGCACCCAACAAUUCCAAAGCAAUCCACUCUAUACCAUAGCAAUCCAGCCACCUGAUACAGAAGUUUUCAUAUACGAAUUCAAACUCCCCUCUAAUCGAAGAUAGAUUAAUCGAUUACAAGUAGUUUUGGAAGAUCAAGAAAUUAAUUGAACUUACAAGGAUCAAGCCUUUGUCUAGAUGGAGAAACUCUGAAAUUCUAGAGCAAUGGAUUAGUGAAUAUCCACUUUAGUCUCUUGAAAACUAGAUAAAACUUUGGGUAAGUGAUGGGACGACAUUUUUGAGCAAAGCAGAAGUGCGAAGAAAGAAAAGAACAAAAAGGAGUUCGUGUAUGGUUCAAAUGAAAUCGUACAAGGAAGGCUUGAAUCACCGACACAGAUGAAGAAGCGUGUAUGGUUCUAGAAGGUAGUACANNNNNNNNNNNNNNNNNNNNNNNNNNNNNNNNNNNNNNNNNNNNNNNNNNNNNNNNNNNNNNNNNNNNNNNNNNNNNNNNNNNNNNNNNNNNNNNNNNNNNNNNNNNNNNNNNNNNNNNNNNNNNNNNNNNNNNNNNNNNNNNNNNNNNNNNNNNNNNNNNNNNNNNNNNNNNNNNNNNNNNNNNNNNNNNNNNNNNNNNNNNNNNNNNNNNNNNNNNNNNNNNNNNNNNNNNNNNNNNNNNNNNNNNNNNNNNNNNNNNNNNNNNNNNNNNNNNNNNNNNNNNNNNNNNNNNNNNNNNNNNNNNNNNNNNNNNNNNNNNNNNNNNNNNNNNNNNNNNNNNNNNNNNNNNNNNNNNNNNNNNNNNNNNNNNNNNNNNNNNNNNNNNNNNNNAACAUGUAACCUACUGAUGAAAACUGGUGGAAAUGCGGGUGACUAUGCCUCGCCUCCUACUAGAUCCAAUCCGAACUCUGCAAACUGGGCAAUUUAAAACGAAGGCCCAGGGGAAAACAUUUAAUAACGUUAGAGUGAGUGGACAAAAAAAUAAAAUAAUAAAUAAAAUAUUUAUGUUUCCCCAAAUUAAUUUCUAAGGAGAAAAUCGACUGCAUGCCGCAAGCGAUGAAACCUUUAUCUCAUAAAAUAUCGAGCCUCUUAGACUCUAAAAUAUAUGUAUGUAUUUACACUCGUCCAUACUCCCUAUAUAAAUUCAUGGGUCUAUAUAGGGCUACUACACUCGCGUCCAACGCUCACGUCACGCCUUAAUGCGGUGCUGCACUACGCCAUUAAGGUGGACAGACGGGUGUAUAAAUAUGUGUCCAUACCCCCUAUGUGAAUUAAACACUCAUAUAGGGCUACUACGCUCACGUCACACCAUAAUGCGGCUAUAUGCUACGCCAUUAAGGUAGACAGACACAUAUGGCUAGCUAGCAUUUUAUAUACAUACUCUCUCAUAAAUACAUAUUUAUAUCCACCGAAAAUCCCAUUUUCGGUAACUCUCCAAGAGAAAUAAAAUUCGUCAAAUAAAAUGACGUUAAAAUAUUCCGCAACAAUUAUUGUUCAACCAUGAACUUUAGCAUGCAUUUUAUUUAAAACAAAAGUCCACUCACAAAUUAGGCCUAAGCCUGACGUCGAUCUGGGGUCUCGUCUGCUCGAGCCUCCUCACGUCCUGAUCCAAAAAUAAUAUUAAUUUCCCAACUAAUAAUCCAAUAUUUAGUCAAAAUAGGCAAAAUUACCCGAGAGCCAUAAAUACGCUCAUCAUUGCCUAACUUCGAUAUUCUUAAAUCGGAACGAUCUGAACUUAAAUAUCAUACUCGACAGUCGUAACUACAACCUCCCCAAAAUACGACUUAAAUCAUACGGCCGGAUUCUACAUUAAUUAACCGCCAAAAAUACCAAACUUCGGAAAUUCACAAACCUAUCCAAAUCUCAUCCAAAAAUUCCAUAAAUCACAUCAAUAAUAUCCCCUUAAUAUUCCACAUUUAAAACCCUAAAAAUCUCCCAAACCGCGGCGGCUCCGCCGGCAGCGGCGGCCGGAGGCCAAUUCCGGCGACCUCCAAAACCUAUGAAAUUUUGACAGAAUAAUGCUCUCAUCAUGCUCUAAAACUUUCCUAACUAGCACAAACACCAAUUCCAAGCCUAACUAGGGUAAUCGACUAAAAACAUCAAAAACGCCAAAAAACUUCCACCUCAAAUUUCUCCUUACCUAGCUCAAGAGGGAGUGAGUCCUUUUAGGGCAAGGCUGCUGGGUUGGAGGGCUACAAAACCGAACCAAGCUUGCCCGGAUUGGUGGCCGGAGGAGGGAGUUCCGGCAACGUGAAACCUAACACAGUCGGACCUCUCGGGCCCGAUAUCUUCUUCACGGCGGCGCUAGGGGAGCUGUCACCGGUCCAAGAAGGUUUCUGGGUUGAUGGCCGACCGAACGGGACCGGUGCGGCGGCGGUUGGUGGCCGGACGGCGGUUGGCCGGCGACGGAAAGAUCGGCUGCGGGAGGGAGUUCGGGUGCGGGAAAACCGGGAGGGAGAGAGAGAGAAAAGAGGGCUGGGCUUGACCACCCCUUGGCCCGGUCCAACCUUCUUAUACCACCCAAAUCCAAAAUAAAACACCCCGAAAAAUAAUACCCGAAUAAAAAUUACCUUUUACUAGCUAAAAUUUACCAUUUUUACCGUUGUCAUAUUUUCUCCCACGAAUAAUUCCCCGAAAUUAAUCAUCCCUUAAAAUACCUCUAGGGACCAAUUAAACUAUUAAUUCAAUGACGGAGACGGUAAAAUUUUUAUUAUAAUUAAGCUAGUAAAUAAGGUAAAAAUAUAAGGGUCGGGAUGUCACAUAUAGUUUCUAAAUGGUGGCUGAAUCCUUCUAAACCCCAAACAUAUAUUUUCCAUAUAAAAAUAAUAAUAAAACAAAAGCUACAUAAACAAGAAUGUCUAAUUUGAAAUUAUAUUGCUAAAAACCAAAAUAGCACUAAAAAUCUAUUCCUAAUCAUAUAAUGAAACACACAAAGAAAAAAGAAUGAAACCAAUUAAAUUAAAUAACCUAUUAAAAAUUGAGAUCAUUACACGAGCUCUAGUACAAAAAUAUUCAAUGAUGUUGGGUCGUAGAUGAAUAGUAAAGCUACAUGCAAAUAUUGCAUAGCCUCAAGACGCAAUAGAAAGAUUGGUGCGUAUCAAUAAUGUUCGAGCGACAAACUAAAGUUGCUUGGUCGUAGCCUCAGUGAGACCGUAUUGCGUGUGAACAUGGGGUAUAAGACACUUCAACUUAUAUCCCAAUAAACUUCUUUAAAGAAUGGGUAGUGAGCCCGUAGAAGUAUAAGUAGCAUAAGUAGUAGAUAAUGGUGUAACACGUGACCAUUGUGUUAACACUUCAACCAACACCAUAAAGCAUAAAAAACUGUCCUCAAGUUGGUUGUAUCGAUUUACAAAAUUUGAUGUAAGAAUGAAAUAUUCUCUUUUGUGUCAUUUAGCAUAGGAGGGUCUCGCUCAUAAUUUAGCCAAAAAAUAGGCUUUCAAAACUAGCAAUGAGCAUUGCAGGGGGCCAAUGAGACAUCGAGGGAAGGCUGGUGCACCUCAAUUUCUUGAGGGAUUGACCAGACGGCCUCCGGGAAGUUAGAGCCGUGUUCGGGUGACGUUAAUGUCCCCCGGGUGCCGCCAUUUACCAUCAUGGCGUCACCAUCAUGCUUCAUGAAGAGGCUAGAUCCUGAAUGUCUUCGUUUUGAGCGGAAGAAUAGAUGUCCAUGAGAACUUCUCAAAAAUUCGGACCAUUAUAUCUUUUCCAGGAUGACCGAAUUGGUUAAACCAAAGCCUAUAUGAGUCGGUGUCCCAAAUAUCAUGUUUGGCGACAACAUGAGAUUCGAUAUUCGAAUCGUAGUGACAUACAAUCCACUAAAUUGACACAUGAACUUUUCCAAGAUGCACUUUAGUCCGCAUUCAUGAGAAGAUAUACACAAAAGAAUUCUUGUUCAUUCUCAUAAUGUGUUUUCAAAUGAAAACUAUUAACGUGAAUGUGUUUAAAGCUCAACAUGGUUCGGUUGCCUCUCAAUGCAUAG